rnacentral:lncRNA from 1 species
GCCUGCUUGUUCGCAUAGAUUUUAACGACAUGAACAUUGUGGUAAGGUUAGAGAGUAAUGCGAAUGUAGGAGCUUAUAUUAGAAAUGACACAAACACGUAAAUAGAAGUAAUCUAUAUAUGAUAUUACUCAUGGACUACAAGCAAAGAAGUACAAUACAUGGAGUAAGUGAUGAAAUGAGCAUUCCUCACUACUACUGCUUGACUGAUGGAACAUGAUGCACGAGAUAGCAUAAGUAGUAGUAGGAAGCAGCUCUUAUUUGUGGCGUCGGUAUACAUCAUACUAGGUAGAUGGUUCAAUUGGCAUGGAUGGGUGGUGGAGCCUUGAAGUGCUUGUGAUGGGGAGCCCACGGCUUCUUCUCAGGAGUUGGUGGCUUCUUGUAUGGAGUUGAUGGAGGUGUUUCUACUGGAGGGUGGCCAGGGUAGUGACCCUGGGGUGGUGAAGGUUCUUUUGUCGGUGGUGGCCUCACUAUUAUUGGCGGUAGAGUUGGUGGCUUGGGCGUUGGCGGUGGUCUCACUACUCUUGGGGGUAGAGUUGGUGUCUUGUGUUUUGGUGGUGGAGGUGGCUUAACAGGAGUUGGUGGCUUGUAUUCUGGGGGUGGUUUCUCCACCGGAGGUGGCUUAUAAACUGGAGUUGGUGGCUUGUAUUCUGGGGGUGGCUUCUCCACUGGUGGUGGCCUGUAAACAGGGGUUGGUGGCUUAUAUUCUGGGGGAGGCUUCUCCACUGGAGGCGACUUAUAAACAGGGGUUGGUGGCUUGUAUUCCGGGGGUGGCUUCUCUACGGGAGGUGGCCUGUAAACAGGGGUUGGUGGCUUCUCCACCGGAGGUGGCUUAUAAACGGGGGUUGGUGGCUUGUAUUCUGGGGGUGGUUUCCCCAGUGGUGGAGACUUGUAAACAGGAAGAGGUGGUUUGUGCUCAUAUGGGGGUGGCUUGUGGUCAUUAGCAAGUGAGGGAGUGGUGAGGACCACCAAUCCAAGGAACAACACGAGUGAGCAAGCAGAAGACAUGUUUGGGCUCUGGUGAUGCACAAGUAGAAGAAAUGGGAACCAUUUAUAAUGCUUCGAGACCUUGGUUAGCACCAAAAUAUGUCAAAAUCUUGAUUACUUCAUUUCAUACAUAGAUUUAAAAUUAUUUCAAUCAACCAUGAUCCUUAAUUUUCUGGGUGGUCCAUAAAUGUAAUGGGGUCAAUUUGGGACCUAACAAGCUGAGAAGUUUGACAAUGCUGCAAGGCUUCAUCCGAAAGUCCGGGGAAGAAUAUUAGGAGUUACACUCCGUUUCCUUUUUUGGGUGCAUUUUUCUCCUUUAACAUUCUAUUCCCUUUUACAUUAGCAUUUGAUCUUAGCUCAUUUCAAGUACAAGUUUCUUGAACCCUAUACCAUUGUCAAAGUUGAGUAACCAUCUCUACUUUGCUCAAGAAACAUAAAAGACAAUGACAAUAAAGAAAAAGGAGAGAGACCAUACGUGACUUGGUUUAUAGGUGGCUUUGUGUUGACAUUUGAGUAUGGAAGCCGACAUGCAUCUUAGCUUCGAUUUUAAUUAAAUUUGUACAUUAGUGUCUGUGUCAUUCAUUUUGGUAUAAAAGGUCUCUUGAUUUCGUAAGUUUGGUAAGAACCGUUGAAAAUAGCAGUAGCAGCACAUGGUCCACUUUCUUUCACAAAAUAAUUUUAAAAGUUUAGAAGCAUAGGAGGUAACAUUAGUGGCCUUGUGGCUCAGCCACGAGUACUAUGUGGUGCUCGAGAAAUUGAGUUUAAUUUCCUUCCGAUAGUUCAUGAUAAGGUCCGUCACUGUCCUGAGACAGAUUGCGUUUUUUCUUUUUUCCUUUUUUAGUGUUUUAUUGACUAGCUAGGUGUGACUUUUCCUACUUUAAGGCACGAGGCAGAAAAGAAACUGGGAUUUAGUGCUUAAGAAGGCAAAUUUAAUUCGAUUUGGAUCUAAAAUUUGCCAGCAACAUGAGAUUUUCCAGCCUAUCGUUGCUCCACAUAUAGACAAGGCACUUGUAGAAGUGGCUUGUUUGUAGCCAUUCCCGAUAUUUGGACUCACUUGAUUCACCGGACACUUUGAUAAAAUUUAAUAUUUAUUAUUUAAUAAUUUAAAUUGAUUUAAAAUUAAAUUAUACCGAAGUUGUGAUUUAAAAAUUAUUAUUUAAUUCUUACUUUUAAAUAUGAAGAUUAUUUGAUAAAAAUAAUUUAAAAUUUAUUAUAAAUUAUCAAAUUAACAUAUUUAUCCUUAUAAAUUAUAAUUAAAACAGAAAAGGUCAAAUGAUUUGAGUAUCCAUAGAUGUGGUAAAAUAAUAAAAAAGAUUAUAAAAACAAUUAUGAUAAAUAAAGAUAAAAAGUAAAAUGAAUAUGUGAAUUUAAAGAAUAAAUUAAUUAUUUUUAUUUAUUACUUAAAAUUAUUUUUGACUUUAAAUUAUAUUAUUAAAUUAUUUUACCAAACAUACUUAAUUUAGUUAAUAAUUUAAAUUUAAUUUAAGUUAUUAAAUUGAUUCACCAAAUACCCACUUAAUCAAAGACUGAAGUAUACAUUAUUUGGCCAAAUGCAGCUAUUGAAAUUUAACUUUUUCCAAACUUAUUCAUUUUGUGGAAAUAUUUUUAGAAAUGAUUUUAAAAAUGCACUAUUCUGUGUGUUGAUUUUAUAUUUUGGCAUUAAUCCAACAUAGAAAACGGUUCUUAUUUUCGCUGUUAAAUAGGUACCAGAUCCUUAAUUAGUGCCGUGAAUCCGGCAGCUUCCAAUGAGUAAUUUGGACUUGGGUAUUGACAAUGUGUGGCCAUGCUUCUACUAUUUUAUUAUUCUUGAAACAUAUAUGAUAUAUUGGACUUUAUACAGGGAAAAAAAAAAAAAAAAGUCUUCACCAAAAAUGAUUCCUCCUAAAAAAUAGACUCCACAAACUAGGUUUAACAGGAAAAUGAUUCUAAUCUAGUAGUUUCCAGCCACAUGAGCAUUUACGUAACAAUAGUAUAGUUGAUAACGACUUUUAUUUUAUUUAUUUUUAAAUAGUUAAAGGGAUAAUUUUUGAGCUUAAAUUUUAUUUUUUUAUUUAGAAACAUUUUACUUUAUUUUUUAAUCAUAAUUCUAUUAUAUUAAUGUUUUAUUUUCUAUUUUUUAAUAUAUAAGGAGAUACUAAAUUUAUGUGAUUAUUUUUUAAAAAUUUAGUAUAUGAAAUUAAAUAAUUGGAUAUAUAUACAUAUAUCAUAUAAUGUUUUUUAAGUGUGAUUUUUGAACUUUUUAGUCAUUUUAUAAGUUUAAGCUUUUGAUUUUUUUUUUUAAACUUUGGUAUUUUUUAUUUUAUAUAAAACUAUUUUGAUUUAAUUUUAUUAAAAAAUAUUGGUAUUAUAAAUUAUUGUAUUAAUUAUUUUUUUAUAUUAUAAUGUAACUGGUAUAUACUAAAAAAUGUAUGCAAGUUCAAUUUAAGUUUCAAAUUAAAAAAUUUCAUUUAAAUAUUUAAUAACUUGUUCAUAAUAAAAAAUUAAACAACAUAAUACAAAUGAAAAGAAACAUAAAAGAAAAAGGAAAAAAUGGUCCUCUCUGUGUGUCACAUUACUAGGUCAUCCUCUUUUUCUAUGACCCUUACAAUAGAAUGGCAUAUUUGUCAAAUCUACUUAUGAAAGUUGGAAUGUUUCUACAUGUGUAGGGUCCAUUGGAACUAAUGGAGGAAAGGCUUAACGUCUAUGUAAAUCACAACGUUGCCUAGGUGGGCAUAGAUCUAGUUGUGUAACAUGAGAUGGUGUGAGAGUACAAUAUAUGCAUUGUAGUCUCUAUGGGAAGAGAGAUAGGUAAUGGUAGGGUGGUAGACGGUAGGGUGAUCUCUAAUAUAAUGACAUUUGAUGUGGUGGCUUCUAAGAGAGGAGAUAUAAGAGAUGGUAGAAUGACAUUUGGUGUAAUGGUCUCUAGUGCAAUGACAUGUGAUAUGGUGACCUAUAAAGAAGAGAUAUAGGUGAUGGUGAAGUGGUAUGUGGUGUAGUGACCUUUGAGAUAGAAAAUAGAGGUAAUGGUAGGUUGGCAGGUGGAGUGGUCUUUGGUGUAGUGACAUCAAUUAUAAAUGUCUCCAAGGGAGGAAAUAAAGGUGAUGGUAGGUAGUAAAUGUUGAGGUGGUCUUUGAUAUGUUAUGCUCUAAGAGAGAAGGUAUAGGUAAUGAUAAUAGGGAAUUUGACAUAGUGGUGUUGGAAAUAAAAAGUGAAAGUGACCGUAGAGGUGAAAGGGCAAGUGUAAAAGCCUCAAGUACGAAUGGAGUAAUUAAUGUGGAUGGUGCUAACAUAGUCUUAGGUGGAUACACAAAUAGUCAUAGUCAUCAACUAGCUUGCCCACCAUCUGUCUUUCUGCUAGUGAUAGGUUACAUCUUAAUAGUAAUGGCCAACAUAAGUGGUGUGGAUCCGAUUUUUUUACGUGUGUCCCCACUCAAUCGACAAGACUUAUUUUUUAUUAGUGAAAAAUUAAUUUUGGAAAAGUUGGAGUCACCACUUAUUUUAUUUUAUUUUAAAAAGGAAAGUAAAACAAGAAAGAGAACUCUAAAGAAGUGACUUCAUAGUUUUGGAAAAGUUAGUCUUAAAAAAUCCAAGUCUUGGUCCGGAGAUCAGGUUACUUAUUGGGAAGAUACCUCUAAGAGGUAAUACCCCUCUAAACCCUAAAGAAGUCUCUAAUGACUAAGUUGAGGAGAAUGUGGUAAUUAAUUAAUUGAUUGAGGGUACCUAGGUAGACUAAGGUGAUUUCAGAAUUAACAUACCAAGCUAGAAAGUCCAAUCAUGAUCAUAAAAGAGAGUCAAAGUAUGUACCUGAACUGCUUCUCAAACGCUAUCAUAAAACAUCAAAGUUAGUAUAGAAAUAUAACACAUAAUAUUUGUUUUAUCCAAGCAAAUAAAGCAUACAUCUAAGCACCCAAGAAUCACAUCAAGUAUGGAUAUAGUCAUCAAUAGCAUACGUGUCCAUAGAACUAUCGAAAGUAAAUGUGGAGGAGCGUAUCUGGACAACAUAGAUAACUUAUAAUGUGCUUCCACAAGACAUGGGGGUUAGAUAAAAGUUAUAAUAAUAAUUAGUAAAUGAAAGAAUUCUAGCAUGUUUGGUAUCUAAAUAACAUAGCAAAAAUGAACAAGAGUACACGAAAACAUCAAUUAUCACACGAGUCAUAUUGGCUAGUAUUUAAUCAAUAAACCAACAAUAAAUGACUAUAAACAUAUAAAAUGACAUAUUCAAAGAGACCCAAACAUAAAGAGCCUAGAACACAAGCUUACACUAAAUUUAGAAAACUAAAACAUGGAAUUUUAAAAGCAUAAAUUAGCAAACAAAUUGAUGGAAACUAAAUUUAGAUAACUUAAGAAUAUUUUUCUUAUCCUUCAAUUUAAAUCAGUAAGCCAACAAUAAAAAAUUAUAGAAACAUGGAAUAUCAAGAUCAAUGGGAUACCUAAACUAUAAUUUUUAAAAGAAAAUAAACUAAGCAUAAUAUCUACAAAGCAACUAAACUAACAUUUUUUUAAAAAUAAAUUAAACAUGACAUUAAUGGAGUAACCAAACUAAAUUAAAGUAAACUAAAAACAUUUAUGAAUUUUCAAACAUGGAAUCAGCUUUCUUAGUAAAUUAAAAUUAUUAAAAUAAAAUCUAAGCUUAAAAAUGAAUUAAAUACUAACUAAAGCAAAUCUAAAACCAAAUAUUUAACACAUAGGAUCAAUUAUAUUAACAAACUAAAAUUUUAUAAGAACACUUAAACCUAAAGUUGAAUUAAAAACUAACCAAUUUUUAAAACUAGAUCUUUAACCCAUAGGAUCAAUUAUAUUAACAAAUAAAUAAUAAAUAAUAAAUAAAUAAAACUCAAACCUAAAGAUGAACUAGAAAUGUACCAAAGUAAAUUCAAAACAAGAUCUUUAACACAUUAGAUCAAUUAUAUUGACUAACUAAAAAAAAAAAAAAAAAACACUCAAACCUGAAACGAUGUAUUAGAAACUAACCAAAGCAAAUUUAAAAUAGAGUCUUUAACACAUAGGAUCAAUUAUAAUCACUAACUUAAAUUACAAUUUUUGAAACAUGAACUAAUUAGUGUUGGAUUAAUUAAACUAAUUAACUAAAAAAAACUAUAAACUAGAAUACGGUGAAUCAAGAAUUCAAAUCAACAAACAUAAAAUAUGGGUACAAUGAAAUGAAAAUCUAUUAAACUAAUAAGACGGAAAUAUGACAAACUCAUGAACCCACAUUUUGAUCAACUAGGAAAUAGAAAUUAAUAGACCUGUAGCAUGGAUACAAUGAAAUGAGAUCAGUUAAAUUUAUUUGCCGAAAUUCUAAAAAACACAUACACUCAAAUAAGAUCUAAAUCUAAGACCAAGCAAAACUCAAACUUUCUCAAUCUAAUGCAAUGAAUCAAAACUAAAAUUAAAUAGAAAUCAAACCAUUUUUUUUUUAUCUAAUAUAAUAAAUCAAAGCUAAAACUAAACAAAAUCGAAUUUUCUUAAUUUAAUAUGAUGAGUCAAAGCUAAAAUUGAACAAAGUUCAAACCUUUAUAUAAUGGAUCAAAGUUAAAUCUAAAUGAAAUCCAUACUUCCACAAUUUGAUAUAACAAAUCAAAAAUAAAACUAGAUAAAAAAAAAGUCAAAGCCUUUCAACUUGACAUAGUGAAUCCAAACUGAAACGAAACAAAAUUUUAACUUUUCCAAUGAAACCCAAUAUAGAAAAAAUUAGCUUACCUUCUUUAGAAUAUAUGUAUGGGCCAUAAAGAAGUCACCUUGGUGCAUGUGUUCCUCACUUUGACGCCAAUGGACGACUUUCUAUGGUAGCAAAUGGAGAUCCUUUUUGGUGGUAACUUGCGUGUGGAAACCUAUGGUACAACCAAUGUCAUCUUUUAUUGUGCGUGUGGACCAAUUUCUUCUCGAGAACUCAUGUGUGUUGUGCUCAAAAUAUGUUGCCUGUGAGAAUCUAUUGGUAUACCCCACAUAUGGUUUCCUUGAGAGAAUCUGUGGUUGUGUGUGGGCGUUUUCUUCAUGACAGCAUGUGGAUGUUCCCAUCUAUGGUAGAUUGGUUGUGAUGCUUUAGUGCAUGGUCUCCAUAGGAAUAGUGUGUUAUGGAAAUUUGGUUUUUUUAUUGGUGCAUGUUGUCUAGACUUUCCCAUAUGCGUGGACUGUGUGUUCAUGCUUUUCUUUUCGGAUGGUCGCCUGUGUUAAUGUGUGGCGGUGUCUACAAUGAAAGAUACAACCCUUUCUCUCCUUCUGCGUGAUAGAAAAGUCAAUCCCCCAUGGUGCGACUAUGUUCCCUCGUCCUUUUUGAAAAAUUUUGGUGUUUUCCCCCCAAAAAAUCCCCUCCAAAAAUCUAAUUAUAAAUGUCUGCUUUGGCCUAAUGUGUGUGCUACUUUUUUUUUCCUUCUUUUUAUGGUUGUGCGUGCUUUUCUUGAUACGUGGCUUAUUUCUUAAGGAUAUGAUUCGCUCCCAAUUGGUGUCUCAGCUGAUUCAUGUCCUUUCAAUGGUCCCUGACAGUGGUGCCAUUUGAUUCGUGUCCAGCUGGUGUCCCUUGAUUGUGGUCCUCAGAAGGGAGUAAUCAAUAAAAUUUAUAACCUAUUACACCAUGUAUUAGGAUAGCCUUAGCUAGCAUAGCAUAGUGGCUCUAGGGUCGUUUAUUGGGAUGAGUUUUCACUUCACAAUUGAUAUUAAUUCAAGAGCUGAAUUGGUGCCUUUUCAUUUCAAGGUUAGCUUUAAAAGAAAACAUAAUCUUUGGUGGAAAAAGGUUUGGUUUUAAACUAACCAAAAAUAGUAACUGAUUUUACUUACAAAGAAAAGUGUUCUUUGGAGUUUAGAUCACUAGGCUCAGGUUCCUCAUACAAAAAGGAGAGUUCCGAUCAUUUGUUUCUUUUCCUCGCAUUAGAGAAUUAACAUAUAGUUAAUUCUCUAACCGGUGCGGUACAUAUGCUUCCCAUUAAUGGGUUCAAACACUAAAUACCUCUCACUGAUGCACCUUGCAAUGGCUCGUGCCUCUCACCUAGCAUUUAUCAUUCAAGGUGAUCUUUAACCUUGGAUUACCCAUCAAAAGCUCGCAAGAGAUAACUAAAGGAUGUCUCCUUAGAGUCCAAAAGCUUACCAAGUGUUGGUUAUUCUAGAAAAUCCUACCUUCAAACCACCUCCCAAAGGCUCGCAAGAGAUAAACAAGUGCAUCUCAAUGGAUGAAGAUCACUUGCCUUACCAAGUUUUGGCCCAGAUGAUUUAAUGACAUUUUAAGUUAACUAAAAAGAUAAAAACCAUUAACGGGUCACACUUUCUCUUCAUUAAAAACUAAAACAACAAAACUUCCAAUUUAUGCAUGAGGAAACUUACCUGGCUUUCUUCACUUCAAGAGAUGAAGAGCCUAGCCACUCAUCAUUUGAGGAAAAAUCCUCAGAGUUUGAUUUGCUAGAAAUAAAAAUAAUGAGAAAACAAAAAUAUAUAUAUGAAAAACAGAGCAAGUUCUCUGUAAUAUAUUUUUCUUCCUUAUACAAAAGGUUGUCUCUAAGAACAAGUUCCCGAGAUCUAUCUGAUUGUAAAUAAAAUUACAACUAUAUAUAAGAGGUUAUUCACCCCUUUGUUCUUUCUUAAAGACUAAGGAAUCCUAUGAUAGGUGGGUUACAAGGAGAGUUUGGGGAUUUAGACAUCAAAUAUCUAAAGCAAAAUAUCUCAAGAUGUUAGUCGGAAAUAUCAGGAAGCUUCAGGAGAACACCGCGACACUGUAUACUGAGAGAAAAACUCUCCGGGUAAGCUCUAUCAAAGGAUCCAGACAUGUCUGACUGGGAAAGUUGAAACGUCCUUCUCUCCCAUCCGGAUGUGAGAUAUCCGGAGAAAGUGAAAUGUCGGUCGGACAGAAUUCUUUCCCCGGGUGGAAUGAGUUGUGUUGCGCGUCGCAAGGGGGACCGUCUGCGUGUACAAGUUGUAGGGACCCCUCUCCCGGAUGACACCGAGCGCGUAAGGCUAUCCGGAUCAACUCCAUUCGGAUUCCCCAAGAGGACAUGUGGCGUGCUCCCCUAUCAGGACUCCCUUAGGGAGAAGCACACGACACUCGUGAACAUCAUACCCGGACGAUAGCAUGUCCUAUCCGGAUGUGUUGUCCGGAUCAUUGACUAAAGUGAGCAAGCCUUGCUACGUCAUUCGGACAGCUUGCCACAUACCAUGUUCCGUCGCCAUCUGAUGGUGUGUCCGAACGCCUUGUCCGGACAUCUUUUGCUCCUUGCAUUCCGGAUUUGCUUAUGACAAAGGACUUCAAAGCUUCGGUUCUUCAUGUUUCUGAGCUUUCCAUUGCUUUGCCAUGGAUUCCAAAGAACUCUCCUUAAUCACGGAUUGCUUUGGUGAUCAAAAAGUUAUCAAAACACAAAAACUUAACAUAGUUUGAUUAGAAUUGAUUGCAAGGGUUCUUAAUAUGUUAAUUGGGUUAAAAGGUGAUAACUACUACUCAAAAGUGUUUAUAAGAAUUAAUUACAAGCUAUGAAAUAACACUUUUUGAGUAGUAAUCAGGAUACAUCCUAGUUUUUCAUGGAAUUGAUAGUGGGUUGUUGUGCAUGAAUGCCACCAUUUCAACUAUGCUGUUGUUAUUUUUAAAAAAAAUAUGGAUUAUGCGCGAGUGGCAAUUCUCCACUAUGGAAAGUGGAUUGCUCCUUCAACCCAUGCAUGGCUACGUAUUCCUAUGUCUUUCUACUUGUGUUUGAUCCUCCAAAAAAAAUUUCGGUUUAGUGCUAGUAGAUUUUAAGUGGUGGAUCCCCAUUUUUUGAAAAUGAAGUGGCAGCCUCCCAUUUCAAGACAAAAUGGUAGCCUGCCUUUAAUCUUUGGAGAAAAAUCUGUGCAUGACCUUUUUUUUUCCCAAAAAAUCCGUGCAUGGUGUCCUUUAAUAUUUGGAGAAAAAUCUAUGUUGGAUCUUUUCUUUUCUAGAAACAUUUGUGUGGUCUUUUUUGUUAGCCCAAGGGUUCUUCUAAUCAAGUUUUGAUGAUAACAAACCAUGGUUAAGUGACUAAUUGGUUUAAUGAUUAAGAAUCUCAAACAUAAAAUCGAAAAUUCAUCAAAGGACCAAAUGGAUACAAGAUCGAGACGCUUGGAAGACUUGUAAUCAUAGGAAACUAAUGUAAGAUGAAUGCAUGAGUGCACUUAGGAUUUUCACACGUUUCAUGCAACUUAGAAAACCCAGUUUAUUCUUUAAAACUUCAUCCCAGUUUAUUCUUUUUAUGGUUGUGUGUGCUUUCCUUGAUACGUGGCUUAUUUAUUAAGGAUACAUCCCAGUUUUUCAUGGAAUUGACAGUGGGUUGUUGUGUGUGAAUGCCACCAUUUCAACUGUGCUGUUGUUAUUUAAAAAAAAAAAAAAUGGAUUGUGCGCGAGUGGCAAUUCUCCACUAUGGAAAGUGGAUUGCUCCUUCAACCCAUGCAUGGCUACGUAUUCCUAUGUCUUUCUGCUUGUGUGUGAUCCUCCAAAAAAAAUUUUGGUUUAGUGCUAGUAGAUUUUAAGUGGUGGAUCCCCUUUUUUUGAAAACUAAGUGGCAGCCUCCCAUUUCAAAACGAAGUGGUAGCCUGCCUUUAGUCUUUGGAGAAAAAUCUGUGCAUGACUUUUUUUUUCCCAAAAAAUCCAUGCAUGGUGUCCUUUAAUAUUUGGAGAAAAAUCUAUGUGGGAUCUUUUAUUUUCUAGAAAAAUUUGUGUGGUCUUUUUUGUUAGCCCAAGGGUUCUCCUAAUCAGGUUUUGAUGAUAACAAAUCAUGGUUAAGUGACUAAUUGGUUUAAUGAUUAAGAAUCUCAAACAUAAACUCGAAAAUUCAUCAAAUGACCAAAUGGAUACAAGAUCGAGACGCUUGGAAGACUUGUGAUCAUAGGAAACUAAUGUAAGAUGAAUGCAUGAGUGCACUUAGGAUUUUCACACGUUUCAUGCAAUUUAGAAAACCCAGUUUAUUCUUUAAAACUUCAAUUUCAUUAAAACCCGAGUUUUUAACUAAUGUACCUUAGGCAAAAUGUUUUAUAAUUGGCUUAAUAAUUCACCUAAAUACAUUUUCUAAGUGUUAGAAAAGAAAGGAAUUAAAAAAAGGUUUUCGGGGCAAAAAAGGCUCAACCGGUCGAGGCUAUGGUCAACCGGCUCAACCGGUUGAGGAACCAAUCGAUCGGUUGUGCUUGUCCGAUCGAAGACCAAUCGAGGGAUGCCAAAAAAUUUCUCUCUCUCCUAGUGGCCUUCUCUUCCCGGUCGAGGUUCGGUCUAGGCAACGGUAACAUGUCAAGCAUUAAAUGCUCCGACGACUAGUGAAUCGGUCGACCCCUAGCCCGAUCGGACGAGGUUGCCUUUUGCUGUUUUUGACUCCCGAGCUUAGAAACCUAUAAAUUGAGAGCUCCACUUCAUUUAUUGAUAAAAGAGAACACUUGCAUUCAAUAGUCUACCUACCUUUUCUUGAUCAAAAAGCUCUCAUUUCCUUCAUAGUGCAUUAAAUCAUCACUUGCAUAUCCUUUAGUGCACUAUUGUGUGUCAUCCUAGCUUUGUUUUGUAUUUGAGCUAUCCUUAAGCUAGGUUGAGGGAUUAUUUCUUAUAAAAAUCUGAGUGUUAAAGCCUUCAAGAGAUUUGAAUCUUGAAGAGAUUGUGUAAGAGCCCAUUGGAGCCGGAGUCCAAGUGUAAGAAGAUUGGAAGCUUGGUUGAAGCUUCAAGUUAGUGGAACCCUCACUCGGUUAGGAGGUUGAGGAGAGUGGACGUAGGUAAGGAAGUGUCGAACCAUUAUAAACCCGAGUUUGAAUUCUCUAACUCUAUCUCUUUAUUUUGCUUAUAUUGUGUUUGAAUUUGUUGUGAUUGAAAAGAUUUUAAAAACCUAAUUCACCCUCCCCCCUUUUGGGUUUUUUUUUCUUAAUUAAGCAUAACCUUUGUUUUCUAAUUUUCUUUUUAGGAAAAUCCAUGCGUGGUAUGUCCAAACUCUCCAAGUGGCAGUCUGCCUUCUUCUAAAAAAUUUGUUUCUAUUUCUUUAUUCGACUACCUUCCAUGUCUUCCUAAUGAGUGCUUGUGCUCAAUGGUCAAUCCCUGGUGGUUGCCUCCUUUUCCCAUAUAUACGUGUUGCAAAAUCAACAUCCCACUAUAUGUGGGUUGCCUCUAUGGCAAGUUCACAUUUCCCACAUGAAACCUAUGAGUUUCCACCAAAAAUUGCCAUGAAAAAGUCUUUAUAUGCAUCUCAUGCAAUAAAAAGUCAAGCCAAUACUCAUCUUAUCUCGAAAAAUAAGUAACCAAAAUCAAGAUCAUGCCUAAGUGAACUAUGCCAAAAGAAGUGUCCAAGUGACCUAUUAUGAAAAAAGUGCCUAAGUGACCUAAGGUGAAUGUGUGUAAGCUGGAAGGUGUCUAGGAUGUUUAGGACAAUGCCUAAGCCUAAAAUAGGGUUGCCAAGGGUCACAAUGGGGUUAGAUAAAUCUCUCAAUCAGAGUCUCCAAGGUGGCUCAUAAAAGAUAAGCUACACGAGUAAUGAUGGGCCACCAGGGAAUUAUUGUAAAGCACCAAACGAACACAUAAUAGGACAUGUGUUAGAAUGAAAAAAUGGAGGGUUUACAAGUGGUCUCAUGGAUGAGCUUGAUAAUUUAAAUGACUCACAUAAUGAACGUAUGUGAUGUUUCUCUCCAAUAACAAGCAAAACAUCACUAGCAAUAUGAUGAAUGUCUCCUAAAUCACUUGAAGUAGUCCUAGCAAAUCAAUUAGAAAAAUCACACAUAUUGCUCUAAUGUAAUAUUAUAUACAUCUGUCAAUGAAUGGGAGAACUAAUGACACAACCAUCAUGUUGAUAUCUCGAACCCUCUAAUCUCAUAUGUAGGUGGGAUCACACUUAGAAACUCAUAACACAGUAAUGACCAAUCUAAGUCAAAAUGUGUUGGUGAUCGGAGGCCCAUGAAUAUGAAGUUCUAGGAUGAUAAUGACAUCUUAUAAAGUAAUGAUCAUCUCCUUAAUAGAUAGGUGAAAUGUGUGUGUCUUAGGACACCAUCUCUCAACAAGACUUGUGAUCAAUCCCCAGUCUAGUGUAACAUGCCUAUUAUGACAUCCAUCGUAAAAUCUAGACUAGAUAAUAUAAGGACAAAUGUGAGGGUUCAUCUCCCUUUCCCACAUAAAUUUAAAAAAUUAUUAUUGACAAGUUAAGACCAAACUAAGUUGCAAAAUAUAAAUAAGUCCAUUAGAUAACAAAUUUAUGUUUUCUCAUUUUCUCAUUUUUAAAGAGAUAUUAUGUGCUUCCAUGUACAUACAUGCUAAAGUCAAUUAUACGAGACUUAUAUCCAUCUUGUAGAACCAAAUCGAACCUAUCUAAUAGAUCCAGAUUAGAAGUAUGUCCUCUAUACUCCAUAUUUAUAACACAUUUAUAAAGAUAAAUGCUAAAAAAAUGUUAAAGAUAUAAAUUUAAUGAACCAUACUUUAUGAUUUUAAUUCUCAAUUAUUGUUCAUAUUUAUAAGAGAAAAGUUAAAAAAAUUGAUAGAGUUUUCCCUCUAUCAUGGACAUUAUCCCAAAUAAAAAUAAAUUGAUUAUGCAAAUUACAUUAAUAUUUGUAACCAAAUGAUCAAUAACUAUCUUGUAUCAAUUUAGUAAAUAAAUUUAAGUAUAUCUUUUCAUUUAUGACUAACAAAUAACUCAUACUUGUCCAAUAAAAGCCACACCUAAUUUCUAAAAUUUUGUCUUCACCUCAAGUGAGUGUUACAUUGAGAAAGAAAAAAUAUGAAAGAAAAAAUGAACACCUUUUUCUUUUAAUAAAAAAAGGCCAUAACGAAACAUUAAAUCUCACUGUUACACCUAUCUUCAAUGGAAACAUGAGGAUGUGAAUGGUGGCGGUGAUAUUCUUUGCUUGAAGCUCAUAAACAAAUAUUCCUUACUAAGCCUAUGCCAUUUAGUAUUUCAAUAGUGGACCCCCCCCCCCCCCCCCCCCCCCUCCUUGCAUUUCAGAUUUAGCAAACUUAGAACCAAAUAACAAAGUGCAUUUGAACCCAUAAAGAAGUAAUGAGACUCUCCUAUAUUGGCAAUAGAAGAAAUUUUUGGAGGUAUAGGAGAUUCACGGAUGAAGAAGUUGGGCCCCAAUUGAGAUAAGACCCAAGAAAAGAUGGGGUAGAGAGGGAUGGUUGGAAAUUGUAAAGUAAGAUUUUCAAAAUGUAGUUGAUGACUAAGAUUUUGACAAUUUAAAAAAGGUUUAAAAAUGUAGUUAGCAAUCGGGGUUUUGUAACAUUUAAAAAAUAAAAUAAAAUCUCAGGCCACAUGGUAGCCCAUGUGAUUCAGAAGCUUGAGAAUUAUUUUAUAAGAAGACUUAAUUUGUGAUUUUUUUAUAACUAUAUUAUUUUUUUUCUUAACACACGAAAAAAAUUAUGAAAUAAGACAAUUUUCCUAAGAAAGCAUGUAAGUGACUCUUGGUUAUUUUAUUUAACUUCUUCUAGUUUGGAGAGGAUUAAUACCUUUGCUUUUACUCACUUGCUUGGAUAUGUACACGUUGUUCAUGUCACUUUUCAUUUAAUUUUCUGAUUAAGGGAAUUGGAACCGUACGUAACUGUCUUUAUUCCCUCUGAAACUUGGACUUGGAGUUGGACUUUCAAUCUCAUCAGUCGUGUUUCCAUAAAAAAGAAGAUGGAUUAACCAAUUUUCCUAUGCCUACUAAUCAUACACAAAACUCCACUUCCAAAUAAAAAGGAAUGGGAUAUCACUUGUUAAUAGUGGCUAAAGACUAUUAAUAACCAUGCAAAGAAAUGUCACAUUUUUUGUUCUACGCAAAUUUUAUUCAUCAACUACUAGAACCAUUUCAUACAAUAGUAGCUUUUCGAUCCUUUGAUAAAUGGACACUUGAUGUGAUAACACCAACUACACCUAUAUAUUCAAGCAAUCAUGCGUAUAUAAUAGUGGAUAUGGAUUACUUCUCUAAAUGGGCAAAAGUUUUGUCAUUCAAGGAAAGUGAACGAGGAAACACAAGUUUACUUUCAUCGGAACUAAUAUUAUAUAUUGAUAUGACUUCCCAUUAUUACUUACGAUGGAAUAUGCUUCCAUAAAAUGGCCUAGAUGAACAAACUAUCCAAGAAGUUUGGGAUCAAAUAAUAUAUAUAUAGUUCAUGUGUGAUUCUUUGGUUGACAACCUUGUUAAGGGGUGAGUGAAGCACUUUGGGCAUACCACAUACUACAUGCUAGACUUCCACCCAAGCUACCCUAUAUUCCUUAUGAACAAAGUAGAAGUUGUCAUCUCUCUUGAAUACCAAAUCCUUUCACCUAAUAAUGCUAUCUAAAAAGGUCUUAAAAAGGAUAAAAAUGCGCAUAUUUGAAUUUUUGAAUUAGGAGUGCUACUUAAAAAGAAGCUAGAUAUACAAUAAUAGAAUGUUAUCAAGCAUAUCUCUUCAAAGUUUUUGACCAAAAAAUAUAUGAUUUCUCAUUUUAGGUAGGAGACUUAGUACUCACUAUUCAAAAACCAAUUAUCAUUACUCAUAAAAACUAAUAGAAAGUUUGGGCCAAAGUAGGAUGGACCUUAUAUUAUGCAACAAUUAUGCCUAUAAAAUUGUUGCAAAAGAGGUUUUAGAAUCAAAUCAAUGAAUGAAAAAUUAUUAAAGCAUUACUAUGCUUGAAGGCUAGUCAUUUUCCCUUAAAGUGCAAUAUUAAGUUGCAUAGUACUAUGUGGAUCCGCAUUUUUCACAUGCGUUCCCACUCAUUGUCGAGACUCACUUUUUAGAAGUGAAAAAUUAGUUUUAUUAAAGUCGAAGUUGCCACUGGGGAUUUGAACCCUAACAAAAGGUUCAAUUUAAGGAUAAAAAUAUCGAUAAUCACAUAUAUAUAUAUUGGUACUUUGAUUUUAUGAAUAUAUUGAAGAAAUAUGGACAAAUAUUUUGACACAAAAUAUGUACAAAAUAAAAAUUAUAUAAAAAGUAAAAAUAAAUAUUUUAAAAUUAUUUUUUUAAAUAUAUAUAUAUAUAAUUUGACAUAUUUGAUAAUAAUAUAUAAGGGUCUCCAAAAAGCCCGUGGCCCGCUUUAGGCCCGGUCCGACCCGACAGGCUAAAGCCCGGCCCAAGCCCGCCGGGCCCAAGCUCGGCCCGAGCCCGUUUAUGGGUGGGCCGGGCCGCGAGCCCGUAGGCCUGCUCCUUUAAAAAAAAACUACAAAAAUAAAAAGUAUUAAAAAAAAUAUUCAUUUCAAAAUUUUAUUCAUUGAAUGUAUAAUUACAUUUGAAAAUGUGGGAAAAGUUUACAUCACUACAAAAUAAAUACAUCCCAACUAGGUUGGCACCUAUUUAUUUGUCAAUCAUCUGUAUUUUUCAACCACAAAAAAUAAAAAUAAAAAUAUAAUAUACAUUUAGUCAUUAUUUUCUGGCGGUGAUGGCGAACUAUCAUGCAUCCAUGAAGAUCUUGAUAAUUUUAAAGAUUCCAUAUCGGUAAGCAUCUUUGUUUCUCGAAUGGAAUCAUACAUCCUUUUAUCUGCUAUUUCCCAAUCUUUCACACAUAUCCCUGCUUUAAUAACAUCUGACGCUAAGUUGCAUCGUUUUUUACUAACUACUCUUCCACCUGCACUAAAAGCAGCUUCUGAUGCAACUGUACUCACAGGAACUGUUAGUACAUCACGAGCAAUUAUAGAAAGCACAGGAUAUUUGUGUUGAUGUGAUUUCCACCAUAUUAAAAUAUUAAAAUCUUCUUGAUCUUCAAAUGAAAUUAUAUCAGUAUUAAGAUAUUUAUCUAAAUCAGAUGUAUUAUUUGGAGAAUUAUUUGUUGUCUUUUUUCGACUUUUCAACAUUUCUAGAGCUCCUUUAUAAAAAGAUGAGGAGUUUGUAGAUGUAGGUGGUAAUUUAAUAGUAUUAAUAUCAUUACCAUAUUUUUCUUUAUAAUAGUUAUAUAAAUUAUAUAAUAAUGAAUUUAUUUCAUUUUUAAUUUCUUCAAUUUUUAUUUGGUCAUUAAAAUAAAUAAUUGUUAACCAUUCAUCCAAAGCUUCAAAUUUCAAUCUAGGGUCCACAAUUAAAGCAAUAUAAAAAAUUAAAGGUAUUUCUCCCCAAUAUUUUCUAAAUUUUUAUAUCAUUACAAAUAUUGUAUCAUUAAAUAUUUCAAAACUUAAAUAUUUUUGAAGUACAAUAAAAAUAUUAGUUAUUUGCGUAAUAACUCGAUUUGAAGUUGGAUAAUAUACACCACAAAAAAUGUUUGUUGAAGUAUCAAAAAUUUCAAAAAGAUCUCUUAAAACAUCCGCAAUAUGCCAAUCAUAAUCAUUUAAUGCAUAAAUAUCUGCUUCAUAAUCAUUGUUAAUUAAUUGUAUUUCAUAUAAUUCGACUACUUUUCUAUAUUUUGUAAUAUUUUCUAAAAGUUUAUAUGUGGAAUUCCAUCUAAUAGCCAUAUCCAAAUUUAUAUUUUUUCUUUUCAUAUUUAACAUUUUGCAACAAUCAAAAAAUAAUUCAUGUUUUGCUUGAAAACUAUUAAUACUAUAUGCAAUGCCUCUAAUUUUUUUCCAAUGUACUAUCAACAUUUUUUAAUCCAUCCUUUACAAUUAAAUUUAAAAUAUGUGCACAACAACGCACAUGAAAUAUUUUAGCAUGAUCUUCUUUUACUUGCCAAUAUCGUUUUAGUCUAUGUAUUGCUGCAUCAUUAUUAGCAGCAUUAUCUAAUGUUAUUGUCAAUAUUUUAUCACGAAUGCCUAAAUCUAUAAUUUCAUCAUUUAUUAAAGAUGCUAUAUUUUUACCACUAUGUGGAGUAUUUAUUAAUUUAAAUAAAAUUAUUCUUUUAUUUAAUUUCCAUUCAUUAUCAAUGUAGUGAACAAUUAUAUAUAAAAAACCAGUAUGAGUUAAAGAUGUCCAAAUGUCAGAUGUUAAACGAAUAUUUCCUUCAAAAUUUGCAAAAUUUUUUUUUAAAAUUUCUUUUUGUGUAUAAAUUUUUUUCAUAAUAUCUCUUUUAACUGUAUUUCCAGAUCAACCUUUAAAUUGAGGAUUAAUACCUCGUUGAAUUGUUCUUGCAAAAUCAUGAGUUUCCAUCAUGUUGAAAGGUUGUUCUGCUCUUAUUAUAUAAUCAAUCAUUUCUUCACAACAGUUAGAUUCAUCAUAAGAAAAUGUUUUUAAAUUUCCACUUUCAUUUUUACUUAAUUGCAUAUAAUUUCUAAUAUCUACAUUAUUUUUAGUUUUACAAUUUUCAUGAUGUCUUUUUAAAUGACUUGUAUCUGCAUUUGAGCCACCAGUAAGAAAUUUAUUACAAAUUUUACAUUUUGCUUUUAUUUUUUUUUUAUUAUUUUCUAAAAUUAUUUCUAUUCUAUCAAAAAAAUUCCAUAUAUUUAAAGUAAAUUUUUUGUUUGAUGAUAUUUCAUCACAUGGACUAGACGAAGAAGCACUUGUCAUAUUAUAAUUAUUGAUAAAAUAUUAUGCCAAAAAUAAUAAAGUAAUAAAUAUAAAAAAAAAUGUAACAAAAAAAAUAAAGUAGUAGGGGUGAAGUAUGUUACUCAAUUAGAGAACCUAUGCAGAAAUUCCUAGCAAAUUUGAACUCUUGGAGCCACCAAUGCUUGUUUUGCACCAUCAACAAUAUUGUAUAAUUUGAGGGAAAAAUAAAAGAAUUUAAAAUAUUGUAGAAUGUGAGAGAAAUAGAGAGAAUUUGAUGAAAAAAUGAAAAGGAAGAAAAUGUAUUUAUAGGAAGGUUAAAAAUAAUAAUAAUAAUAAUAAUAAUAAUAAUAAUAAUAAUAAUAAUAAUAAUAAUAAUAAUAAUUGGCCAUGUGACCGUUGGAGGCUUAGCUCCAACGGUCACAUGGGCUGGAGCUAGGCUCCAACAGUCACAUGACCGUUGGAGCCUUUAAUUUUUUUUUUUAAAAUAAUAUACUUUAUUUUUAUAUAUAUAUAACUAACUCAAUUAAUAAACAUAAAAAGAAUAUAGUUCAGUUGGUUAGAACCUUGAAGUUUAAACAUGAGGGGAGGGGUUUGAAUCCCUCCCUCUCCCUUAGGGGCUUUUUUAAAAGCCAUUUUGGCUUAUUUCAAAAAGCCUGUCGGCCCGACCCGCCCUGCAGCCCGCGGGCCUAGCAUUUUAGCAUGGCCUGGUCUGUUGACUAGUCAAAUGGCUCAUAGGCUCGGCCCGAACUGGGCCGCGGGCCUCUUAUUUACGGACCGGCCCGACCCGGCCCGCCCGUUGGAGACCCUUGAUAAUAUCUUCUAUAUUAAGUUACAUUAUAGUUUAUUUUACAAUAUUAUUAUGAUAAUAUGUCUAAUUUUAAAAUAUAUUUAAUAUUAAAAUUAUGAUCUAUUUUAAUUUAAAUGUAUUCAAUGAUAUCAAAUAAAUAAUAAUAUAUGUAUAAUUCUUUUAUUAUUUAUAUUUAUUAUUUUUAAUAAAUAUAUAGAUUAUAUAAAAAAGACCGGAUAUAUCUUUUCAAAUUUUGUAUCGCUCUCCAAGGAUAUUAGAUGUAUGGGAAUUUGUAUUGCUAUCUACGGAUACGUUGAUAUAUGGGUGAUUUAUCAGGAUAAUUAGAAAUUCUAAUUAUGUAAGCAGGUACGGAGUUCUGUGUCGGUGCGAUCUUGUCGACAACAGCUCCAAAUUGUGCAUCUUGCUCAUAGAGAGUAGCGGAAUGCACCAAUCGUAGGCUCAGAGUACCACUGAGUCGUCUGGCAGAGACCCAACUGAAGGUGCCUGUGUUGUUCCUGAUCUGAUCAGGCUUCAAACUACAAGGUGGAAUACUGGUUCCCCUAUAUCAGAAGCUGGAGAUACCCACCCCAUAUGCUCGUCUGGAUGUGCUCCUACCCUUUGAAGCCUUCUUCCGAGUCAAGUCCGAAUUGAUAAGGCUAGUGAGUUCCCAACCAACUGUACUCAGCAUGCUGCCAGGUGGAGACCCUCCAUAUUUGAUGGCUUCCUAAUAUUAAAAUGCUGACCACUGGUCUUCAUGUUCCACAGGCUUAAUUGUGUCCUUUGCUGAAAGAAUGGAUAGUGAUCCAUUUUAACACAUGAUUCACGCCGUCUUUGCCAUUCUUCAUGGUCUAGCCCUUUUAUAUAUAUGCUUCCUGAACUGUUGCUAUUAAUAAAAUGUGGUAUCUAUCCCGUACACCUUCCUGAUGGCCAGCGAAUGCAGAAGCUACAGAAACGGUUCCAUCUUUUGCUUCCGCCACUUUGGCAUCCUCCAUGAUGAGAUCGAAGGUGAAUAAUCAUAUUCUGGGGAUUUAUGUCCUGGAUAUUCUCAGUAAUGCCCAAUUUCCUGGUGCCGGCCUCAUUUCCAUGGGAACUGAUGGAUAACUUAAGGCUUCUACCAUCUGCGUGGUUCGCUUCUAACACAGGAAACUUCACGGCUAAAAGCAAGAUACCAAGAACAUCAAGGCUGUGACAAAAAUUAGUAUUUUUAACUUGUAGGAAUUUGAAAGGCAACCAACCAUCUAGCUCUGUUCUUAAAGCUCCCAUAGGAGGAUCAGAGGCUGGAUUGCUCAAGAUGAACUCAUCCAUUGUUGCACUUAAAAAGAAUUGGCAUGAAUUGUGGCCGCUCUAAUAGGUUCCCUAAACCAUCAUCCAAGUGGGCUUGCGGAAGGUAGCGAGUUUAAAACACCUAGGGCGAUGAACAGUGGACUGUGAUGCUCACAAAAGAGAAAAGGAAGAAUUCAAUAAUUCCUAAGAAUCCAUUUGCCUGUCAUCCAAAUUUUUAUAUUCUCUUCAGUCUGACGCGUUAUGCCAUAUAUUAAAAAUAGCGGCUUCUUCCAAGCCGAGACAGACUGUGCAAAGUUCGCAAGGCCAAUCAUCACCAUAAUCUGAAGUUGGCCUCCUCAAUCGCAGCUUGUAUCCGAAUGCUCACUUCACGGGAUGGAUUGUAAUGAAAACUAAUCUCAGUCCCAGCUAUGGCAGCAUCCUCACUUGACAGCAUUUUCUGCAUAUUCUAGAACAAAGCAAUAAACCCUCAAAGGCUCCUUCGGAUCAGAGUUAGAAGACUGUCCCUCAGGAACGUGAACACUAUGGUGGUUCUGAUAAGCAGUGAUAUUGCAUUAGAGCCUUUUGGAACAAGAGGAUCUUUUCAGGUGGAAACUGUAAACUGCUUCAUGUUGGGCUGCAACCUUUUCUUCAAGCAAUACUUUCUUUCUGUAUCACGACUUAUGUUGCUUCCGGAGCCAUCCCGUGUGGACUGCCCUUCAGUGAAAGAAUAUGUGUGUUGACAUGUUGGAUUGUAAUCUUUGUUCCACUCUAAUGGCUUUUGGUCCUCCUCUUUCUCUUUAUGACAGAGAACCAUUUAGUGAUCCAUCUCUAUAUUGUAGCAUUGCUGGUGCUUUGCAAUACUACACUCUCACCAAGCAUAACAUCUAUUUUUCCGUGACCAAAGUAUGUCGGUUUAUGCAUGCGCAAACUCUUAUUCAUUGGCAAGUUGUCAAGCGUAUCUCAUGAUUUCCCAAAGCCACAAGUUCUUAUGGUCUUUCUGUUCAAGCUUACAAUGAUCUAUCUUUUCUUGGUUAUACUGAUGUCGAUUGGGCUAGUUGCCCUGAUAACAAGCACAAUACUAGUGGGUACAACACUUUUCCUGGUCCUAAUCUCAUUUCAUGGGCAUUUUCAAAGCAGAAGGUUGUGUCUCACUCCAAUAACGAAUCUGAAUAUAGGGGACUCACUAAUUAAUGUUGUUGCCAAGGUCACUUGGAUUGAAUCUGUCUUACGUGAGUUGCGUGUUUCUCUACCCCAACCACCAAUUUUGUUGUGUGACAACAUUAGUGCUACACACUUGGACAAACCAUGUUGAAAUACACUAUCAUUUUAUCCAUGAAAGGCUUAUGCAUCACACACUCAAAAUUCAAUACACCUCUUCUAUAGACCAACUAGUCAAUGCUAUGACCAAAGCUCUUCCUUCAUCUCACUUGUACAAUCUUCAGUGCAAGCUGAUUGUUCUUCCCAAACCACUCAACUUGAGGGGAGAUGUUAAGCCAAUUUAAUAAAUUGAUUUCUUUUGGUUAAUUUGUUAGAAUCAUUUUUAUUAGAGGUUUGUUUGUACAAUUACAUCCAUUUAUCAGGAGAGUACACGUGUACAACUCCUCUUUUAAUCUCACCAUUGUAUAUAUAUGAUACACGACCUUACUCAGAAUUGCAUAACAUUUCCUCUGCUCAUUCCUUUUCUUCUUUGAAUUUUCCCUUACCUCACUGAUUUUGAUUUAUACCUGGUGUUUUCACCUUUGGUCUCUACCUUUCUAGCCAGUUUUCUAAUUAAUCCGUAUAUGGUAUACCUGUCAACUAAUGAGGAGAAAGAGAAAAGGGGAUUGCUGUUCCACCAGCUACAUAUAAUAAUUAAUUACAAUCAUGGUAAUGGAUCCUGAAAUCCAUCCUUUGUGGAUUUUGUACGGAAUAUUGUUGUUAUGUAUGUGGGCUCACUUAGAUGUAUAUUGCUAGCCUGUCUGGGAAAUGUGAUUGCAGGUCCAGAUUAUGAUGUUGAUAUUAGUGGGAUAAGCAAGAGAUGCAGUUAACACGUAUGUGAUGGACUUGAGUAACUUUUCCAUUUCAGUCCAUUUUUUAAGAUUAUGCUUAGUCUUAUUACAAGGAAAGACCAUAAGAAUCAUGAGUCAUUGGCAAGGUAAUAUCAUUCCCUCUUUACAGGCUUCUUCACCUUUUGGUUUUUUUAAUAUCCAUCAAGAUCUUUUAAUUGGAGGACAAUUACAAGUAUAUAUAUAUGUAUUAAAAGGGGAAAAUAUUAAAACAGGAAAUUUUAGGGAAAAUAUAAUAAUUAUUUCUUCCUUCUUUCCCAUAUAGAACUACACAAAAUAAAACUUUAAUAAUUUUUUCUUAUCUUUUUUAUUAUUAUUUUUUCUUAGAAACAUCCGUGGUCUCACAAGCUUGUAAUCCUAGAUUGUUAGGCUCCUUUAACAGUGCCCCAACAUCGUGGUCCAAUGACAAGCUUCCACGCCUUAAAAUCAGAAAAUGCCAUUAAACUUUAUCAGACAUUACAGUUCAAGACAAAGCUUUCAUUUGCUUAAUGUGAUAAUGAAAUUGUUAAUUUCAUUUCGUGGGCAUCUAAAUUUGGACGAGCAAGACCUCUGAAUUCCCUGUUUUUAUCACCAGCAGAGGAGAUAAAAUCUUAAUGGUGAGAAUCUCCACGUGAAAUUUAUGUGUACUGUCAACAUAUUUUUGUUUAUAUAGUCCAGUAGCUGCAGGAAGUCUAGAUUAUAUAGGUAGCAGUAGCACUAUUUAUAGCACUCGAUAUUCGCUGUAUGAAUACAUUAAACCUUGUUUUCAAUACGCAUCACAAGCAAGUACUAGAUACUACAAGGAGUGACAGUCGCAUCAACAUUUCUUGAUAAUAGCAGUGACUGAUUUAUACACAGAACAGUACUGUACACGUACCAGUCACCAGAGAUAGGAUCUUAUUCCUACAUACGACUCUUAUUGAUCGAAGUCACUCAGUUGGGGUAGCCUGGAGUUGGAGGUUUGUGUGGUGGCUUCUUCUUUGGAGGAGGCUUUAUCUUUGGAGGCAUCAUCUUUGGAGGCAUCUUGUGUGAGUCUUCUUCAGCAUUCUCUACAGGAGGAUGGCCAGGCUUAUGACCCUUAGGUGGUUUGCCAACUGGGAUUGGUGGCUUGUGUCCUGAGAGUGGCUCCUCUUCUUCGGGAGGUUUGCCAACUGACGUUGGUGGCCCGUGUCCUGGGGGUGGCUUGUGUUUUGGGGGUGGUUUCACUCCACCGGGAGGUUUACCAAUUGGUGUUGGUGGUUUGUGCUCAAUCGGUGGCCUCUCAACUGGGGGGCGCUUGGGGUAAUCAGCGAGUGAAGAAGUGGUGAGAACCACCACUCCAAGCAACAACACUAGCAAGUAUGUGGAAGACAUCUUUGAGUUUGGCUCAGAUGGUGUAGAACUAGAAUCCUGGGUGGCCUUUUAUAUUAGUUGGGCCCUAUGCCCGAACGACAAGUGUCAUGGUGACACAUAAAGUGAUGGGGUCGAUUUGGGCCUACCGGAUUUGAAAACUUGGACAAUUCGAGAAGCGUCUCCUGACUCCGGGUUGUAAAGUGAAAGAUUAGGUAUCGACCAUUGAAGUAUGAUCACAACUUUUGGCCUUUGGCUCUCUCUACUGCCGUAUAGCUUUUUUCCUUUGGAUAUUUUUCUUAGCUAGACACAAUUAUUGAGCAGUCUAAUCUCGAAAUGGGAUUAGUAUAGCUUUAAGCAAAUUUAUUAUAGUUAGUGGAGGACUUUUAAGAGUGCAGACGACAUUUAACACAUGCAUGCAGUAGUAUAGGGGACAUAACACUAUUCUUUUUCCAAAGAUUCACAUGAUUUUUAUAUUAUAGUAUUGGCACAUUGUAUGUAGCUGGUUUUGUGGUUAAAAUUCCAUAUGUAGACACUGGCGUUUCUCCAUUUCUCACAAUUGAUGUUUACCUCCACGAUUACUAGAUUAGAUAUACCAAACAAUAACACAUUGUAUAAUCUAUCCGCCCUUCAAAAUCUACUGUAUGAUGAAAUGUUUCAUGUGUGUGUGAAGUGUUAGAAAUGCACUAUAGGCAACAUCAUCUUCUUUUGUCUAGGCUUGGGCCUCAAAUUAUACUCCCAUGCCAUGAUAAAUUUUCAUGUGCAUUCUCUAAAGAAGAGUGUCUUGAAUGUGCCAAAUCAUUUUGAUUGAUUUUAUGAUGUUAAUUGCUCCGCAUAUGGAUGGGUAUGUGCUUUAUUUGCUUAUUCAAUCCACAAUUACCUUGAACUGAAGUCCUAUUGGAGCUCUAUUAUUUUAGCAACGUCCUGUCAAAUAGGCUGCUAACUUGGGGUGGUAUGGACCCAAUGAUCCAUCUUAAUCUUGGGUUGAUUUUGUCUGACUCUAUCUAUCUCAGAGAGAACCAGGAUCACCAGUGCUGGUCUGCUUAAAGAAGACUCAGUACUGGAUUAAUAUUGGUUUGGGUCAAUAGCUUAUAAUGCAUUGAAUGCAGAAUAAACAAGAUCAAUGAAACCCAAAACACACUGCCCACACAACUUCACUCUGGUGUCUGUUAUUCAUCAAUUCUAUUCCCACAUGAACUGGUUCAAGUUUAAGAAAAUGACAACGGAUCCACUGUAUUAACUUGGUUUUGCUUGGUUUUGAGCUAGUUGCCAAACCAGCCAUGAGUUUUACCUCUAAUGUCAAUGAACAAACCCCAAAUGAACAACUGCAACAGCUUAAAGAGAAGGAAUGGAGAUGAAAAUCCCUGUUUCUUCUCAUUCUGGGGACAAAUUAGAACAUAACUACAAAGGUUCUAUUAAUUGACUUACUCUACCAUGAAUUAUGGUUCUUUGGUUUUCCAAAUUUAAAUUGUACAUGAGAUUAUUUUUUUCCUUUAUAUAUAAACAUAUUAAGGUUUUCUUAUUUCGUGGGCAAAUGCGCUAAGGAUGAAAGUCAUUUCAUUUGGCUGCAACAGCAUCUUAUAAUCAACAUGCAUAAGCAGCAGUUUUAAUUGAUCGAUUGAACACCGACUCACAAGAAUAGAUAGAAUGGUACAAGACAGCUCUUAUUAAUUUAUACUCGUUACUCAUUUUAUGUAGCCCCAUUAAGAUGGCUGGCUGGACCACCGAGGUCUGGGGGUGGUGUUGCUUGUGUGAUGCAGCGGGCCGGGCAGACACUUCUCUAGUUGCUUCUAUUUGGAGUUAGAGGAUCAGUCUCUGCCAACCUUGAGGACUCUCUACCUCAGAGGGUCCAGGUGGUGGACUCUGGUGUCGGUAGCUUUGAACUCUCAGUAGACUAGUGUGUCUUAAUCAGUCACUGCCAGAGGCUGGCGUAGGCAGUGACGAUAAGGUGAGACAAAUUACCGAAUAGUCAAUAUCGACUGCACUUGACCAUUAUAGAUUUGUUCUGACAAAAGUGAGAAAAGGGAGAAAAUCGGAUGUUGACCUUUAUAGAAAAAGAUAAGAUUUACUGCAACACAGAGCACUGAUUUGUUACUUGGAAACCAAGUUAUGCUAUUAGCUAGCCUCCAUUAGCAGCAGGGUACCUUGCUGCCUGAUCCUAAUCUGAGUUCCCAAGGUUUCAAUCUUCGUUUGUUAACGCUUCAGGAUUUGGAUAUUUCAGCUUCGUUUCUCCAUUUAGCCAACGCUGCCUGGUUUGGAUUUCAAUCCUCAUCUGGAACAUUCUUUUUUCGGUCUGAUUCAGGAAGUGUUUGGUGAUAGUUGAUUAAAAUUAAACAGUACUAUCAUACAAAUAAAGCUGAUCUAAUUUUGGUGGGCAAUAUACCAACUCAUUUAUUCUUGAAAACACCAUGGGGAAUUGGAGGUCCAUCCGAAGUACUAUUUGAUGGGACUCACAAAAAGAACAGGUGCACAUUUAUGAGAUCCGUGGAAGAGAUAACUAUGACAGCUAUGCAUGUACAACAGAUUUAUGUCGAGUUCACCUCGUAGAUAUUUUGUUUUCAGUGUCGGUGGACCCCAAAAUGGAAAUCGGAAAUUAAGGUUAUAUUUAUUUUUUUAUUUAAUUUUAAAUAGAAUUUUAAUUUUUAAUAAUAUUAAGUAUUAAAUUAUUUUUUUAAGGGUAUUUUAUUUUUAUUAAGUAUUAAAAAGUAAAAAAAAUUAAUAUGUUGCUUUUUUAUUUUAAAAAAAUUAUAUAUUUUAAUUUUUUCUAUUUACUAAAAAGUUUAUAAUAAAUUAUAAAAAAAUAAAAAAAUAAAAAACUUAAAUUCUGAAAAUAAAUUAUUUUUAAUAAAAAAAUCCAAAAAAGCAAACACCACCUAAAUUUGAGAUGACUCAAAAUUUUAUAUUUUUUUUCACCUAAAUUAUAUUCAUAAAUUUAAAAUUAAAAAAUUAGGAAGUUGAAUUUUAUUUUGGAUAAUUGGAAACUACAAGAAAUCAAUAAAAAUAUUUGGAAAAAAAAGAAAAAGAAAAACUAUCUAUAUAUUCACCCCCUUCUAAGAAACAUAACUUUAGUUUUUAACUAUUUUUUAAAAUAAUUUUUGAAAAAUGUUAUAUAAUAUUUUAUAAAACAAAAAAUCUGUUUGACAAUUUGAUAUGUCUUUAACUUAUUUUUAAUAUUUAUAUAUAUAUAUUUUAAAAAUAAUUUUAUAUUUAGAACUUUAUCUUUAAUUAUUAUAUAUAUUUAUAUAAUUAUUUUUUUUAAAACAACUCUUAAAAAAUAAGUGAAAGUAAUUGAAAACAACUCAAAGAUAUUUGAUGAAAACACUCUAAUUUGUAUUUUUGAGAAUAAAAAAAUAAAUAAAUAAAUUUCUAGUUAUCAAAUGUAUUUUUUAAUUCUUUUAUUCUAAAAAAUAGAAAAUCGUUUUUGAAAAUAAUUAUUAAACAACAUUCUUAAAAAUUCACUCGUUACAAUCUAGAUUUAAUGCAAGAAUGAUUGAAGGAGUCCUCCAAUAGAACCCAAAGUUAUAAACAUGAACAAGAAGCCCUAGAAACACCAAAGAUCUCAUAUGGUAUAUAUAUGAGCUUGAUUGAGAACUGUUUUAAAUUCAGUUUUUUUUUUUUUUUUUUUUUUUUGUUUUCAAAGUCAAAACAAGUUUACUUUUAAUUUUUACUUCUUUUUUUUAAUUUUAUAAAUAACAGUUUUUUAAUAAUUUAUUUUGAAAACAUGAUUAUUUUUAAAACUUAUAAUGAAAAUAGGAAUUUUUUUUUUAAUAUCAUGGUUAUUUUCCCUUCUUUUAAGGAGGGCUAUUUUAAAAAUAAAUUUACAAAUAUGAAAAAUGAUUCAAACUAAAGCAGUACAAAUAAAAAACAUUUUUAAGAAAUAUUUAAAAAUAGAGAAAAUUAUUUGAGAACAUUUGAAGUCCUUAAAUAGACUUUUGUUUUAGAAAAGGCAAGAUAAUUAUUUUUGAAAAUUGUUUUCAUAAUGAUAUGCAAAAACCUACGUAAAAACCAUAAUUAUAAUCGGCCACAUAUCAAAUCUACUAAAUAUGAAAAGUAAGUACAUAAUUAUAUUUGACUUAGAUGCAAGGAGGAAAAUGUCGCGAUAUUAUCGCCGAAAUAUCGUGUGUCGAAGGGUAUCGACACGAUUUUUCUUGCAGAAAUAUCGGCCAGUCGAUUUUUCGGGAUAAAUCUCGAGAAAUCGGCAAUUUAUCGCGAUAUAUCGGCGAUUUUUCCUCGAUAUAUCUUCUGGUCAACGCGGGUCAACGGAGUCAACACGCUACAGUGAAAGUCAAAUGUGCUACAAUGUCCCCGCUACAAUCACCUCCCCAAACAAAUUGCCAAAUUGCUUCCGAGGGGAUUUGAACCAGCCUUCUUGCCAUUUGGGCUAACUCGCCCUUAUGAUAUAUAUUGCAUUAAACAUAUAUAUACUUAAAGUCCUUAUAUAAAGAAAAUGUUAAAAAAAUAUUUUAAAGAGCAAAUUAAUUAUAAUUAUUUUAUAAUUAAAAGCAAAAUUUUCUUUUAAUUAAUUACCAAAAAUAUAAAAAUUAUAUAAUUUUCUUCAUAAUGUUUUUAAUAUCAUUAAUAAUUAAUUAAAUAUUAAAAAAUUAUAUAUAUAUAUAUAUAUAUAUAUAUAUAUAUUAUAAUUUAUUUUAUAUUGUUUAAUACAAUUGAAUUAAAUGGAUCAUAUUUUAAUAUUAAUAUAUAUUUUAAAAUUAGACAUAUUGUAAUCAAAUAUCAUAAUAUUAUAUGUAAUUUAAUAAUAAAUGUACACUUAUAAAAUUCAUAUUUUUAUCGAUGCAUACAAUAUUAUUAUCAAAUAUGAUAAAUCAUGUUAUACAUAUAUCAAAAUUUUCAAUAAAAUAACUUUAAAAUGUCUAUUAUACUUCUAAUUAUAUUAUUAUGAGGUUUUCUUUACAUUUUCAUGAGUUUUAAACAAUUUUAAGCACCAAUAUUUUUUUCCAAAAUAUCCACCGAUAUAUCUCCGAUAUAUCCAAUAUAUCUCCGAUAUCUCCGAUAUAUCCGUAAAAUCGAAGUACCGAUAUAUCCGUGAUUACCGAUAUUUUCAUCAUUGCUUAGAUGCAACCUUCUUCCAAAUGACAUACUUUAGUCAAUACUUAUAUUUUUUCGUUUCACUUCUUUGAUACAACACCUCAUGGAUUUAUUGUUUAAUUUAUUUGUAAUUAUAAAACUAUUUUUCAUUUUUAAUAAGACUUGAAUUAAUUUAAUAAAUAUUAUAUAAUUUGAAUUUAUAAUUCUUUUUAUAAAAUCAAAGUAUAUUAAAAAAAAAACAAUUUAUCCGAAGAAAGUUUUUUAUUUUUUAUUUUUUAAAACCGAUUUUAAAAAUAACUAGCUAGACACCCUUAUUUUGAUAAAAUACGAAAUAAAAGUGUAAAAACAACAUGGCCAAAUAGGGGCUUAAAUUUUAUUUUUAAAACAUUUUUUUACACUAAAGUGCAUUUUAAAAACACCAUCAAAACCAACUACAAGUUAUGCUUCUUCCCGUAAUAGAAAUAUUUUAGGCCAAAAUAGAACCUCCCCAAAUAAAGACCCUAUACUAAACUCCUUUUCAUUUUAUUAAUACAAAAGUGGGGAAAAAAGGUCUAUGCUCACCUAAAAAACAUGAAUAUUGUGAAUUCACCAUUUCUAUAAGGAAGUUGAAAACUUCAAAAUUUUAUCAACAAAUUCUCUAAAAUCCUCAAAAUAUAUAGGGCCUGUUUCACAAAGUUUUUUAAAAUUUGUUUUUAUAAAUUGCUUUUAAAAUAUAGAAUAAAUAACAGUUUUUUAGAUUUUUUGAAAAAUAAGAGUGUUUGGUAAGAUGUUUUUUUUUUUUUUUUUUUUUUUAAGAAUUAAAUAAAAAAUAAAAAAAUUGUUUAGAUAAAAGAAUUUGUAUUGUUUUUAAAAACAAUGUCUUACUUUUAUGUUAUAAAAAUUUUAUUAAUUUAAUUUAUAAUAAUAUGAAAUGAAAUUCAAGUUAAGUCUUAUUAAAAAAUACAAAUUAAAUCUAUAAUUAUGCAUGAGUUAAAGAUAAAUAUAUAUUUUUUAAAACUAUAAAAUAAAUUUUCUAUUAUAGUGAAACAAAAAUUACUAUAAAAUAAAAAUAAUUUUAAUAUUCAUUUUUAAUACAAGUCAAAUAAGUACUUUAAUUAAUUUUUUUUAUCAUGAUUUCUUAUGUUUUUUUUUUUUUCUAGAAAUUAUUUUAAGUAAUAUAACUAAUUUUUUUUUUAAUGUUUUAUAAAAAUAAGGAUAUUUGGCAAGUUGUUUUUAUAAAAGGAUUUUAAAAAUAAAUGGAUUUUUUUUUUUUUUAAAAAAAGAACAAAAUGAUUUGUUUGAAUAAAUUGUUUUGAUUUUGUAAAAACAUUUUAAAUUCAAUUUAUAUAAUAUUAAUUAAUUAAAUUAAAUUGAAGUUUUAUUGAAAAUAAAAAUAAUUUUGUAAUUAAAAUUAGAUUAAAAAAUAUAUAGGUUUUAAUAAAUCGUAAAUAGUAAUAUUAUAAUAAAAUUAUAAAUUAUAUUUUUAACAUAAAAUAUACUAUUUAUUACAUAUUAAAAAAAAUAUUUUAUUAUAUUAAUAAUUUUAUGGUAUUAAUGAGUUUAUUAUUUAAGUUUUAAAUUAUUUUUAAAAAUUAAUAAAUUUGUUAACAAAUGCAAUGUACUAAAUGUGGUUUAAUUUGGAGUUAAUUUGUUUAGGGAAAAAAAUAAAAAAUAAAAAUCUUAUGUAAAAGAGAAAUAAUAGAGUGUGUGUGUUUUUUUUUAUUAUUUUUAAAAAUCAGUAAAAAGAACUUUUACUUAUUGCCUAAAAAUUAUUCUCUAUUUUAUUUUAUUUUUUAAAUCUAGAAAUAGAUAACAAUAAUAAAAAAAAUUAAAAAAGAAAAAUGUUUUUUAAAACUCAGACUUAUAAUUGCUUUUGUUUCUCAUUCGCACCCCUGGAUUCCUGGAUUCUAAACACAAAAUUAAGUUGAAUCGUCCAUCUAUCUUGUAAGCCAAGAAUUCACAUAGAAGAAAUAAUCGGAAUUUGAUUUGAUAUCAGAUUUAGAGUGGCUCACUACUCAUGCAUUGUCCCACAAUAGUAAUGCUUUGGGCCGAGAUAAACCCAUUUGUGGGCCCAAAUAAAACCCCUGGUUUGAAAACAUCGAUUUUACAGUGGCCCAAAAGAUUAUCUAUGAGGGGAAGAUAACUUGGAAGUCAAGCAAACACAUUUAUCGCUAACUUUUCUCUAAUUAUAAAAUUAUAACUUGGUCUUCUACACGUCUCACUUAAGAGGCGGAGCCACUUGGCACUACCUUUCCAUAUUGUAAAAGGAGAAGAAGCAGAAGGAGAAGAUUCUUAUGCCAUUCCACACACCAUGGCUAGUACUGCUAUGCUGCUUGGCCCGCCGGCUCUCCGCCAUCCUAAUUCUCCCGCCGGCACUGUCUUUGAAGAUGGGGUCAUUCUAACGGAUUCCCUGAUCGUCCGCACCAGUAAUCUGGAGCUUUCUGAAAAACCGCCACUGGAAUCCCUGGCGUAGUGCUCUGUCAGUGGGGAUAUUGCUAUGGAUUGUUUGGAUUCCCAAGCCCACAAUCUUCAUCUUCCCGGGAAACCGCCGAUGGGCUUAACGGAAAACAAGUCUCCGACCUUUUUGUCUUCCGGGAACCCGUGCUUGGACUUCUUCUUCCAUGUGGUUCCCGAUACGUCGUCUGAUGAUCUGAUCCGACGGUUUGAGUUGGCUUGGGAAUUCAAUCCGCUGACGACGUUAAAACUGAUAUGCAACUUGAGAGAGGUGAGAGGCACCGGAAAAUCUGACAAAGAGGGUUUCUACACGGCGGUUCUCUGGCUCCACGACCACCAUCCCAAAACCCUAGCCUGCAAUGCUAGGGUGUUGGCCAGCUUCGGUUAUUUCAAGGAUUUUCUCGAGAUUCUCUACCGGCUUCUGGAGGGCCCUAAAAUUCGAAGAAUCGAAAAGAAAGACUGGCUGGAUCGAAAAGGAAGGAAGAAAAAUUCCCGGAAAAGGAACUCAAUAUUCAAGCGAGAAAAUAGGCCUGGAGUUGAAUUUCCUGUAGAAGAGAAGGAUGUGGAGUAUAUGGUGGAAGAAUUUGUGGAUAAAGAAAAGGCUAGGGUACUGAGAAAGGAGAGAGAACUUGCUCUUGCCAAAAGAGCCCUGCACAAGUAUUCUACUGAUUCUAAUUAUCAGUUCUUACAUGAUCAGAUUUCAGAUUUAUUUGCUGAACUUCUGAAAUCUGAUAUUCAGUAUUUAAACUCCGGUGAGCUUUACAAGAUUAGUCUCGCAUCCAAAUGGUGUCCCACAAUUGAUUCUUCUUAUGAUAAAUCCACCUUGAUAUGUGAAAAUAUUGCUCGAAAGGUUUAUUCUCGCGAGGAAUAUAUAUCCAGAAUACCAAGGAAUUGAGGAGGCUCACUAUGUUAAUAGAGUCAGGGAUAGGUUGAGAAAACAAGUACUUGUUCCAUUACGUAAGGCCCUGGAGUUGCCAGAGGUUUUCAUGUGUUCGAACCAGUGGGGAUCACUUCCCUACAACCGUGUGGCUUCAGUGGCCAUGAAAUCAUACAAGAGCCUCUUCUCAAAACAUGAUACAGAGCGGUUUGGUGUGUAUCUUGAGAAAGUGCAAACUGGGAAGGCUAAGAUUGCAGCUGGUGCAUUACUUCCCCAUGAGAUUAUAGCUUCAUUGAAUGAGGAGGAUGGCGAGAAAGUUGCAGAGCUUCAGUGGGCGAGAAUGGUGGAAGAUUUAUCAAAGAAUGGGAGGCUCACAAAUUGCAGUGCGGUAUGUGACGUAUCAGGAAGUAUGAGUGGAACUCCAAUGAAGGUGUGUGUGGCUCUGGGGCUGUUAGUUUCAGAGCUCAGUGAAGAUCCAUGGAAAGGUAAUGUAAUUACUUUCAGUGCAAGUCCUGAGCUUCACAAGAUCCAAGGAGACAGCCUUGUAUCCAAGACUGAAUUUGUGAGGAUGAUGGAAUGGGGUGCGAACACUGAUUUUCAGAAAGUUUUUGACAGAAUCUUACAAGUAGCAGUGGAGGGAAAUCUGAGUGAAGAUCAAAUGAUAAAGAGGGUUUUCGUUUUCACUGAUAUGGAGUUUGAUGAAGCUUGUGGGAGGUAUAACUAUUGUGAAUAUGACUAUGAUAUGGAGGAAAUUGAUGAGAGUCAGAAGGCAUCUCAGAAGUGGGAGACAGAUUAUGAAGUGAUACAGCGGAAAUUCCAGGACAAAGGAUAUGGAAAAGUUCCGGAGAUAGUGUUUUGGAACCUUAGAAACUCAUCAGAGACUCCAGUGAUGGCCACAGAGAACGGGGUGGCCUUAGUAAGCGGGUUUUCGAAGAAUCUGUUAGACCUUGUUUUUGGAAGGAGGUGGAAUUCUGACCCCUCAGGAUGUGAUGGAAUUAGCCAUCUCUGGUGAAGAUUACAAGAAACUUGUUCUAUUUGAUUAAGAUAUCAAGAGAUUUAUCAAUAAUAAUAUGUUUUUUUUUUUCUAUGUGAAAUACAUGUAAUAUUAACUAUGGAGUUAUCAAAGUUCUGGAAAUUUAAUUAUUUCUUCUUUUCAAGUUUUGUUUGUCUUUGUUAGGAAUUCCCCUUGGGCGGACCCAGCUGGGGACUUGGAUUGAGGAAGUAAGGAGGCGAAAUUGUGUUCUUCUAUGGACAGAGAAAAAAGAUAAAAAUAAAAAAUAAAAAAGGAGGUUAUUUGCAUUUGGAUGUCAUGUGGUUUCAGGGUACAACUACAAGUUCGAAAUUGUACAUAAUGUGAAAAUUCCUGUGUGGAGAACAGCAUAAAUAUGUAUCUCAGUGUGUUUUGUUUGAGCUAAUUGGCAAAUUCGCUUUAAACAUGGUCACAUGGAUGCAUAUUUAUUUGUGAAAUGAUAGUAGUCGAUUACUUGGUCAGUAAGGUUUGUAUCUCUAACUCCAACAUCUUAUUGUAGUCUUUUAAAAUGUCAAAAGUUUAAUGCUAGCUUGAGAAAUUUUGGAAUGGAGACAUUCUAAACAAAGUUAAUAAUCCAUGAGACUUGGUAAAACCGAUCAGAUGAUGCUUACGUACAUGAAUGCCUUCUUUAAGCCGUAUCCUAUUUUCAUUGAAUGAGACGUGCCAUCUAGUUUUGUUCUUGUCUUGAUUGGAUCAUGAUCCCGGGAAUUGAUUACUGUUCUGAAUUUGCGAAUGUUCAAGGUAUUAGAGAAAGUUAAUAUUAUCGUUAAUUUACAUAUUAGUAUUUAUCUAGUUAUUAUAUAUUAGUUUGAAUUAUAAUAUAAUAUAGAAUUUGAAUCAAGUUUACUAUUAGUUUGAAUUACAAUAGGAAAUAAAGUUUGAAUUAUAGUAUAACUCAAAUAUAUUUGUAUAUAAAUAUCCAUCUUUAUCAAUGAGAAUAGUAAACCAUAUUUUUCUCUAUCUUCUUCUUUCUCUAUAUAUAUGGUAUCAAAGCCUCCAAAUCCUAAACCUAGUCUCAACUUAGAGCAAAUUUAGGGUGCAGGGUUUAGGCCCCGCCUCCCCCAACCCUUACCACAAAUGGUAGUGACCUUGUUAUGCCUAUGUAUUGUCAAUGCCUCAUUUUCUAUGGUCUUCAAUACAAUAUCUAGUUUCAAUGUCUCUUUCCUUACUAUCUCCAAUGCAAUAUAUUGAUUUCAAUAUCUCUUUACAACCAAGAGCUCCAAAUUUUCCUGGUUCAAAUCUACCAUAAUUUUUAUUCUCCUUUGCUUUUUACCAAUAUUAGUUCCCCUAAUUUAAUAUAUAUCUCUUUAUUACCUUCAACUCUACCUCUCUCUUUCUUUAAAAGCUUCCUCAAAGAUUUGAUUGCUUUCUUGCAUGUUUUGGGAAAACAAACAUGCUCAUAUUCUAUUACCUCUACUUGAGAUCUGCCUUAUACUCUACCUUCUUCUUUACCUCCUAUAUCAUCUACUACAUUAGCUUCAAAAACAUUAUUUAGUUUGAUGCUAAAUAAGGCUCCUAAUCCUACCCUUCCUUCAACUAACUUUCUUUUACAAGUCCCUCAAAGUUUUUUUUUUUUUUUUUUUGGAAAUUUGGCUUAGAAAGAUUUCAUUACUCUUACCUAAUCUUUCAACCAUCAAGUCGAAUCCACUUAUCUCUUGAAUCCAAGGAGACUACCCUCCACAAAAACAAGGAGAUUGACCCCCACAAUAACAAAGAGAUUGUCCUCCAUAGAAACAAAGAGAGCUUCCUUCAUGGAAGCCGAAUACAUCGCAAUCUAUUUUCUUUCUCUCAAGAUCAAAUCUCCAAUCGGAGCUCCAUCUUGUGGGGAUAUAUUAGAAAAAGUUAAUAUUAUCCUUAAUUUACAUAUUAGUAUUUAUCUAUAUUAUAUAUUGAAUUAGAAUAGAAUAUAGAAUUUGAAUUAAGUUUACUAUUAGUUUAAAUUACAAUAGGAAAUAGAGUUUGAAUUAUAGUAGAACUCAAAUAUAUUUAUAUAUAAAUAUCCAUCAUUAUCAAUGAGAAUAGUAUUCCAUAUUUUUCUCUUUCCCUGAGGCUUCAGAAUGUGAUCUUGAACAUUUGAUCUUUUGGAUUCUUCUUGUUUCGGUGGUUUAAUAUAAUGGAAUGUUUAAUUAUAGCCUACUUUAUCACCAUGGAUGUGCUCCUGCAGAUUUCUUGAGGGUGAUGGUUAUUUUGUCAUGUUUCUUGAAUGGUUUGCAUCAGCUGCCUGAGCUGUUGUUGCUGGUCACUUUUGCAACCAGGGAAAGAAUCAUGGCUUUGGAGAAGCCAGCUUCUGUUUUUGUUGCCCAGCUGUUAGUUCACUAAGAUUGGGGGUCCUAACAUGUAUGUAUAAUCAUAAGCAAGGAAAUUUUAUGUCUUACGCUAGAUAGGUACCAUGAUAUGAUGUUUGAUUGAUUUAUUAACUCUACCUGUUUCAAAAGGCAUCAACAUUAAUUUUACCCUUUUAACACAUUGGAUUGUUUGACCUUACGAGAUUUUCUAUUUCUGUACUAUUUGAACUGCAAUCGUUAUGGUCCUUAGGUCUCUAAACCUUCGUUUAAAAUAAAAGUAAGGAGCACACAUAGUAAAAGUUAAUUUUGGGUAACUUUUAAAACAAAGAGAAAAGUAAAAGUUGUUUUUGAGAAAAACAUAUAGAAAUUGAAAGAUUUUUUAUUUUGAGAAAAAAAAGUCAUAGAAAAGAAAUAAUAUCCCCAUAUAAGUAGAUAUGAUCUAUCCGAAGUGUAGCUACUCUCCUGGAUUUAUUCUAACAUUUUAAAAUUUUUCUCAAUGGGCAAAGGAAUAUCAAAUCAAGCUUGAGUAGGAUUAAUUUCUUAAUUUUUAAAAUAACUUAUAAUUAAAAUUUUUUGGUGUUUUCUUUUUUGGACAAUUUUUUAUGAAGACUCUGAAUCAUGCAAGAGAUAUGGUUAUUUUAAAAAAAAAAAUAAUUUAAAACUCAAAUACAUAAUCAAUGUCACAAAUUUAUAAACAAAAGGUUUUUAAAAAAUACUAUUAUUUCCCCUCUACACAUAAUUUUACUUUUCCGAUUUAUUUAUUUUUGUUGGAAAACAGUCUUCAAAUCAAGUAAAAUUAAUAUGUUAAAUUUGUUAAACAAAUAAAUUUUAAAAUACAAUUUGGAACUCAAAAAUCAAUUCAAGUAAUGCUAAAAUUCAAAAAAUCAAAUUUGGAAUAAAAUGACUUUGUAAAUUUUUUUACUAAACAAAUGAAUUUUAAAUCAAGUGAGAUUUAAUACAUUGGAUUUUUAUGAGAAUAGUAAUUUUAAAAAUUAAUUUGGAACUCAAAAAUAGACACAAUAAAUACCAAAAAUCAAUGAACCAAAAUUGGUUUGGAAUAACUCCAUAAUUUUUUAUUUAUUUAUAUAUUUAUUUUUUUGUGCACACGAAUUUCUUACUAAGCAUAUUGCUUCCAAAUUGAGAAAAAUUUACUAUUUAGAUUUUUUUAAUGAGUUUAAUGGUAUUUAAAAAUAAUUCAAAAAUUCGAAAAUUGACUAAUUUAAUAUUAUAAAUUCAUAAACCAAGACUAAUUCAAAAUGCAUUGGGGGCUAAGGGGGUUGAAAUUAAUGCUCCAUUUGGUUGUGGCCACCAAUUGGCAAUGGCCACCAAUCAACCAAUCAAGGUGGCUAAGGGGGUUGAAAAUAGGGACAAUGGGGUGGGUUUGGGACAGGACACUCAUAUCCCAUUCCCAUCCCAAUUACACAGUUAUUUCCCAUCCUUAUUCCAAACUUGUGUUGGGGCAAGUUGAUUUGUUCCCAUCUUUGUUAACGAAAUGACUAAUAACCUCAUCCUCUCCUUGUCUUAGAUGUACAUUUUCUCAAAUUUGGUCAGGUAUGAUUGAUUCAAGCCCUAACCUUAAUUGGUAAUGAGUGGAUACCACACCUAAUUGCAUUCUUCUUUCGUUGCAAAAUAAUGAGAUUAUAAUAAUCUAGCAAAUAAGAAAAAAUAGUAUGGAAGUUCAAAUUAACACCAUAACUAUCAAUAAUUUUAAGCUUAUAGAUGACUUAAAUGAUUGAAAACUAAUGCAAAAUACUAAAAAAAAAAAAAAUCAUCUAAAGAAUUCACAAGAGAAUAGAACGAACAAAACCAAAUAGGAACAUGGGUCAACAUUAGUUACAGAUUUUGAUCCCUUUCAAGGCCAAUCUUUGAACCAAGACUUCAUCAAAUCUACUACUUCAAAGGCUUUUGUGUUCUUCUUGAGUUGUACUCUGGAACAAAGACUUCGAGGUGAUGCUUUAGAUGAUUGCAUUACACAUAUUUAGGGUAGGGAGAUUGGAGAAGCUUGAAGAUGCCAACGAUGGGUACAAUUGAGUGGUCAAUAAGAACAAUGUGGCCUAUGACUAGUUUGAUGUCAUGGUAUAGGAGUUUUGGGCAUUGAGGUGAAAGCAAGAGCAACAUGGAAUUGAUUUCAAAGUCUUUCAAUUAGUGUAAAGGAGGAAGAAGAAGUGGUAUUGAUCCUAGAAAUAGUGUUUUAGGUGUUGCAUUAGAGGAAAAGAAAAAGAAAAAGAAGGAACCAUUGGAAUUAGUACGAGUGUGAAGAGAGAAGUGUAUACAUAAGGGGAAGUAAAAGCAAAGUUCUAAAAAUUUAUUUUUUUAUUGGUGGUGUAUGGUUGCAUGAUUAUCCCUAUAAAUAAUAGGAGUUUUUUGGUGUUCUACUAGUAGUUGAAGGAUAAUUUCAUAAGAUAAUAUUUAGAGCGGGGUGGGGUGAGUUGUGACAAAAUCCAUACCCGUCCCAAACAUUGGUUCAGGUUUUUAAAAUAUUUUCAAACUUAUCAUAUACCCAAUUUUAUAUUUCAUACUUGUCCUAAUAGAGACAGGUUAGUCAGGGUUACUUGAGUAGCCUACAAAACUAUCAUCCCUAGUUGAAAUGCUCUUUUUGGCAGUGGCAGCUAGAAGCUCGAUCGAUUGACCUACAAGACUAGUUGUCAUCAUUUUAAAAAGAGUUUUGGCUUUGGUUGUGAGUGCAAUUGAAUCUAAACUAACAUUUCCUUAAUGCAUCUACUUCAAUCCUAAACUUCUUACUUAAGCCUCAAUUGUUGUUAAGAUUUUGGAAAACCCAUUUCCUUAAAUUGUAAAUUUAAGAAAAAAAAAAUUAAAAGUGAGACAUUUCUUGAUUGAAUGUUGUUAAAGGUCCCUUGGAAUUAAGACUUGGUUGAAGCCUUGGAAGAUUAGCAGAACUCUCAACUUAUGUUUGAACCUUGAGGAGAGUGGACGUAGGCCAAAAUUUUGUCAAACCAUUAUACAAAUUGAGUUUGAAUUCUCAUUUCUUGAUUUCUUAUUUAUUUGCUUUUUCUUAUUAUUACUUGAAUUGUCAUUUGCAUUCAUUAAUGUUAAAAUUGGUUAUAAUUAGCCAACACUAAUUCUCUUUCCCCUUCCCUUAAUUUCUUGGGUGUAAACCUAGGUUGGAUUAACUAGAUUUUAUCAAAUCUAUUAAGAUGGUAAAAGAAUAAUUAUUCUUAACAUACAUAAGAUCAUCUUCAAUCAAAUGACUCAUUGGCUGAUAUGUUGAAUUUGCUUAUUACUUGCAACUCAAAAUUGUGUUCUAGUUGAUAUGUCAAGUCCUGAGUGUAUGGACAUUAAAUUUGUAGUACGUGAUGAGUAUUUAGAUGGUCCAAUUCCAAGAAAGUGAUUGAAAACUAGUUCAAGAAAGGUGCAAAAGGGAAUUGUUUUGGUAUUUUCGUUUUUAUUCUUGAAGGUGGCAGAGCUAAAAUUUGAGAAAUCAAGCAAAACAUACUGAAAUUACAUUGAAAGAAAGAAAAUGGGAGUUAAUGUCUUGCAGUACAUGAUAAGGACUUCAUGCAUGUAGUGUGACCCAUGUCUUGGACUGAUGCCACACUCACGGUUACACUUAUACCCUUAGUUCUCUCUUUACUACCUUAGCUAACCUAGAUCAGGUUAUGAGAUAGGCACCUCACCACACCAUUACUUGCCCAUUAAUUAGUGACAUUUUCAAGCAAUGAGGUAACAUGGUGACACCAAGAGGGUAUAUUCCUCACCCCCAACAAGCCUAGACCUGGUCUAAAAAAAAUGGAGAAAAAUGACGUGUUGUUAUGCAGAAAUAUAGCAACCAUGCCUUCCUCAUUACUUAGAUUCAGAAUGUGAAGGUGAAAUUGAGAAACAGAAACUCUUGAAACCAAAAUGAAAAUUGAUACUUUUACGAAGAAUUACAACAACAUUAGAGGAAGACUACAUUCUUCCUCUUUAUUCCUACAUUUCUACACUACUUCUACUCCACUCCAUAUUUCUACAUACAUCUUUAAUCAGUCUUCCCUCCUUUAUAUAGAGCCAUCUUCACACAAAUUCCGCAAGGUAGAAAAGAGGAAUGAAACUUGGAGCAAGGUUCGACUACUGGCUGUAGCUUGUCAAGGCUGAAAGUGAACUUUUUUUCUUGGCUUUUCUGGGCAUAGGUAGUAACUUGUAGGUUCCUUUUUGGAAUGAAAAUGGUACGGCUAGAACAUGUGGCACUCUCUUGUUGGAUGAUGUGUCAAGCAUGUGGCAGCCAUCUAGUGGAGAUUAUGUCAAUUUUGGGAUGGAGAGUUGGCAUCCAAUUGCAAAGAAAUAUGACAUCUACCAACAUGCAAUGUCAACCUAUGUAGAUCAUAUGAAGAUAGAGAGGAAAAAUAUAGAAAUGGAUAUAUAACUAGAACUAGCUUUUUAUUAAAUGAGACGGAGAGCCAACAAUGAAGGAAAAUCAAAAUUUUUGGCUCAUAUCAAAGAAUUCACAUUGUGUUACCCUAGGUUUUCUUAAAACUUACUUUUAUGAUAAUAAAAAAUCAUUAUUGUUUAAUCCUUUGUUUUAAACGCAUGUUUAGCAGGUUGUAAAAUGUAAAUAUCUUUCGAAAUUCAAAUAUGAAGAUAUGACAUCAUUUCAAGCAAUAUAGUCUCUAGGAAUUAAUGUAAAGCUAAAUUAAGGUGCAAUUAAGUUAGUUCAAUGCAUUAUUUUAAGAAACUUGACCUAUCAAAACCUUGUCUUACUUCAAAGCCUCUUUUUCUUUUCUUCCAACUAACAUUUUAAUAAGUGAUCGCAAAAGUACAAAAUUAGAUGAAAUCCAUUUCAAUGGUUAAAAUGAUCAAAUUCAAACUUUUUCUAAGUAUCUUUUAAAAGCAUCAAUAUUGAAAGACAAUUUUAUAUUUAGUCAAAGCUUGGACAGAGCCAAAAAGCACACAAAAAUUUAUAUUUUCUAGCUCUCUACCUUGGAUGGUCUCUUGAUCCUACUUGGAGAUGUGCAUAAAUAAAAGGAUUUGAAAAUGACAAUUGACUAAGUAUGUAGUCAAUCAAUUACUCAUUGAUUGACUAGUUGAUCAAUUAACUUUGCAACAUCAUAUGCAAUCCUAAUAGCUAGUCAUCUAAUCAACUAGGUAGUAAAUCAAUAGGCCAAAAAUAUGUUUAUAAUGACUAUUUUGUACAAAAACCACUUAUAUAGUUAAAUAUAAUGCAUUUCAUUUAUAAAUCUUCUAAUUCUUGAAUAACAAUCCUAUCAUCCUUUGAAAGUUUUUAUUACACCUUUUCUACAUUUGUUCUAAAACUUAUACAUCACCCUUAAUUGUACCAUGAGAACCUAGCAUUUUUUUUUUUUUUUUUGUAUUUCAUCAAAGUUAGCUCUUGUACUCAUUGUUGUAUUAUUUUUAUUGUAACUUAGAGAGCGAGUGUUUUCAAGUGAGUGAAAUUGACUUGUAAAUAUUGUAAAGAUUCAUUGAUAUGUAUCUCAAACUAGGUGUACAAGUUGAAACAUUUGCUAGUAGAUUUUCUCAAGAUUUAGAAUGAGCUUAAGGCUAUCGAAUUAGGUGGGGUUGCGCCAAACCAUAUCACAUCGUUGUUUGCACCUUUUUUUUCACUCUCUUUUACUUAGUUGCUCUAUAUAUAUUGUCUAGCAAUAUCCUAAAGGCUUGAUGGGCUAGGGAGCAUCCCUCUGAAUGAAAAAUUUUCAUUCAAUUCUUAGUUGUAUUACGCAUAUAUAAAAUGCCUCAUUGUUUUAAUGGUAUUCAGUCGUGGCACCACAGAUAUGGACAUCUAAAUUUUAAAAGUUUGAAACUUUUAGCUAAAGAAAAUAUGGUGCUUUGCCUUUUUGGAAAGCAUGUUGAUGAAAUCCAUGAGAAUUGUAUACUUGGAGAGCAACAUCGAGAUAACUUUUUUUUUUUCUUUUUUUAUAAUGCAUUGUUUGUCCAAAUUCCGUACAAAUUAGGCCACCACAUGUUCAUAAUUCUCCCUUCUUGAAUUUGAAAACUCGGACAAUUUGACAAUGCGACACCUAAGUCCGGUUUUUAAAUGCUAAAGUGAAAGGGCAGGUAUGGACCAUUGAAAUGUGAUAACAACUUUUGGCCUUUUCCUUUUCUCUGUAGCCAUGUUGUCUCUUUUUAAUUUCUUUUGCAUGAUUUUCUUACCUAAACAGAAUCAUAGACUUGUUUAAUCUCUAAGUGGGAUUUCAUCCACCUUAAGCUACUGUAUUAUAUCUCGGUGGAGGACAACCGACAUAGAGCACAUGCAAGUGGGUAUAUGGGACAUGAAAUAUCUUCUUAUAAAGCUUGUUUUGCAGUUAAAUUAAUUGGAUAAGUAGACACUGGCGUUUCUAAAUUUCCCACCUAAGAUAAUGACCUUAUCCUUGACUGCUAGAUACACAAACAAUUAUACCUUCAAAAUCUACUGUGAAGUGCUUCAUGUAUGUGUGAAGUAUUAGAAAUUUCUUUCUUGGCAACUUGUUUUUUUCUUUGCGGUCUACUGAUAGGUUUGACUAAAAUUAUAUUCCCUGUCCUGCUAAUUAAUUUUCACGUGCAUGCUCAAAAGAAGAGUAUGACCUUAGUGCACCAAAAUCACUUUCAAUAAUUUGUGAUAAGUUUUUUUGCAUGACAUUAACCUUAUUCAUUUAGAUAAUGUUUAGUUCUCAUAAAUAUUAAGAAAAUGAAAAUAAAUAUUAAGAAAAAUAUUCUUAUAUUUGAUUGUAUUAUGAAAAAUAUCAUAAAAAAUCAAAUAUAAUUAAAAUUAAUUAAUAAUUUAUAUAUUUUAAAAUUAUUUAAUUUUUAUAUUAAAGAUAUAAUAUAAAUGAAAUGAGUUUUAAGUAUUAUAUAAAAAUGAUUUAUUUAUUUAUUUAUAUAUAUAUAUAUAUAUAUAUUUAGUUUUUCUCUUUAUUUUAUUUUCCUUAUGUUUUCCUCACAUUUUCCGGAAUCAAAGAUAGGGAAAUCCACAAUUACCUUCAACUGAGUAGAUUCUAUUGUUUUAGCAAUGUUAGGCUGCUAACUUGUGGUGGUACGAACCAAAUGAUCCAUGUUAAUCUUGGCUUGAUUUAAUUUGGCUCUAUCUCAGAGAACUCAAGGAUCACGUCAACUCUGGUUUCUACUAUUCAGGUCCAUUCCCAGAUGAACUGGUUCAAAUUUGAGAAAAUGGUAACAGACCUUUAGUGAUAUUGGUUUGGAGCCAGUUGCCAAACCUGCCCUGAGCUUUACCACUAAUGUCAAGGGACAAAGCCAUUUGAACAAAAACAAUAGCUUCAAGAGACUGAAUCGUGGAUGAAAUCUGAUCCACAUUUCUUCUCAUUUUGGGAAAAAAUGAGGACUUAACCACAAAGAUUCUACUGCCUCAUAGUGCUUUUCCUGAUCUAAGGUUGGCUCGUUUCCCAAAUUGUGAGGUGCACGUGCCACUCUCACGCUCAGGAGUGUAUCCACGUGGUGGACAUAAGAUGGUGGCUUAAUAUCUGGUGUCGGUGGCUUUACUUUACUAGGAGAGUAGUGUGUCUUCAUCUCAUUCACUGCCAGAGGGUGGCGUAAGCAGUGACGCUAAGGUGGGGCACAGUCAAUAUCAUUUGCAUUUGACCAUUAUAAUUUUCUCCCGGCUUUAAAGUAACCUUAUCGUGAUAAUGGAUUACUAGCACUAGUUCAGAUGACAGUCAUGUUAAAUUCGGACCAUGUUUGUGUCACAUUAUCAGCAACCAUGUGCUUGUGGUUCAUGCUAUCUGCAACUAAACUUGAUAUAUAACCAGGUGAACUUCAAUCUAAAUUCUGGAAGUACUCAUGUGAUAGAUGGUGCCUGUCUGCAGUGAGUGUAUCUAUAAGAGGGAAGGCUUGGCAAAUGUUCAGUUUUCUGGGAAUUCAACAGGGAUCUAAAAUAGAUUGUUUUCUUUGCUGAUUUCAAUGGUUGAAAUUUGAGAAGAUUGUGUCCACAUAACACAACUAUUACUGGUCCUUCUGUUGCAAUUUAUCCUCUAAGGCUCUAACAUGUCUUCCAAUUCCCACUUCCCACUUCCCUGUUACUCCAGGAAAGCUGUUUCUGUCAUUGUGAAGAAGAAAAGAGACUGUACAUAUCGAUGCUUUUAAGUGGACUGGAGAAUUCAUAUCAGGUGGUCUGCAGCCAUACAUGCCACUUUGUGAAGGUUGGAACAGUCAAUCACUAGGCUAUAUUAGUGGGGCCCAGCCACUUCAAUCAAGGACAAGUCUUCAUACUUAAAGUCAAAUUCUGCCUUUAGUCUCAUUAUAAAUUGCUGUUUAAAUAUCAAGCAAACAUUUGUUUAAUGCGAUUAAGACAGCACUAACUCAAUACUUGUUCUAUUUUUGGAUGCAAAUGCUUGAUAGUUUCAUCAUUGGAGGGGAUAAAGGUGCAUUCAUGAUUAUGAAUACUUGUAGUUAUAUUUUCAUUCUCUUUUUUCUCAAUGGGACUUGUUGGCACAAUUUUGCUGUUCAGAAACCUACCUCUCCAUGGAAAAUCAGUUGUGAUUGAUAUUACUGGAUAUAUUCAAGAAAGCUAAAUGUAGAUAGCACAAAAUAUUAUCGACAUAAAUAGCAUUAACAGCGUACGUAUGUCUCAAUGCUCAUCAGCUAUAAGCAAGGGGCAAACACUUACUAUGAGCAACUUACGUCAAAAUUCCGGAAUAGGACAUAGAAGUGACAGGUCAGUAAAUAUAGAACACUGCAUAUGAGUCACAAGAAAGGAAAUUACGGGUACAUAGCAGCUCUUAUUUUACAUCCUACUCAUACUGAUCAAAGUCACUCAGUUGGGAUGGGUGGGAGUGGGAGGUUUGUGGGGUGGCUUGUGCGGAGGAGUUGGCAGCUUCUUUCCAGGACCUGGUUGCUUCUCUGCUGGAGUUGAAGGAGGCUUAAUCUUCCGAGGUGGCUUGUAUGAGUCUUCAGCAUUCUCAGCAGGAGGGUGACCAGGGUUGUGACCACAAUGUGGUGGCUUCUCUCCCUUAGGUGGUUUGCCAACUGGGGUUGGUGGCUUGUGUUCCGGAAGUGGCUUCUCUUUGUGUUCAGGAGGUGGCUUCUCCACUGGAGGCUUGUGUUCAGGAGGUGGCUUCUCCACCGGAGGCUUGUGUUCAGGAGGUGGCUUCUCCACCGGAGGCUUGUGUUCAGGAGGUGGCUUCUCCACCGGAGGCUUAUGCUCUGGUGGUGGCUUCUCCACCGGAGGCUUAUGCUCUGGUGGUGGCUUCUCCACCGGAGGCUUAUGCAAUGGUGGUGGCUUCUCCACCGGAGGCUUGUGUUCAGGAGGUGGCUUCUCUACCGGAGGCUUAUGCUCUGGUGGUGGCUUCUCCACCGGAGGCUUAUGCUCUGGUGGUGGCUUCUCCACCGGAGGCUUGUGUUCAGGAGGUGGCUUCUCCACCGGAGGCUUGUGUUCAGGAGGUGGCUUCUCCACCGGAGGCUUGUGCUCUGGUGGUGGCUUCUCCACCGGAGGCUUAUGCUCUGGUGGUGGCUUCUCCACCGGAGGCUUGUGUUCAGGAGGUGGCUUCUCCACCGGAGGCUUAUGCUCUGGUGGUGGCUUCUCCACCGGAGGCUUGUGUUCAGGAGGUGGCUUCUCCACCGGAGGCUUAUGCUCUGGUGGUGGCUUCUCCACAGGAGGCUUGUGUUCAGGAGGUGGCUUCUCCACCGGAGGCUUAUGCUCUGGUGGUGGCUUCUCGAAUGGGGGAUGCGUAGGGUAAUCAGCUAGUGAGGGGGCGGUGAGAACCACCAGGCCAAGCAACACUACUAGCAAGUAUGUAGGAGACAUCUUUGGGUUUGGGCUCAGAUGGUGCAAAACUAGGAGAAUUGGCUAGCCUUUUAUAGCGGAUCGUACCCAAUAAUGAAAUGACACGUGUCAUUAUGACCCAUGUGUCAUGUGGUCGAUUUGGGUCCUACAGUGUUGAAAACUUCGACAUCCACUUUUUUGGCCUUUUGCUUUCUCUACAGUCGCCUUGCUUUUUCCCUCUUUUCUUUUGUUUUCCUCCUGCCCCAUUCUAUCAACUAAUCACAAUUAUGUAGUUGUUUAAUUCUUAAAUGAGAUAUUAUCCGUCAAUCAUAUUAUCUUUUAUCAAGAGAGAACGGAGUGAAAAGUGGCAAUCCAAAGAAAGAAGAUCCAUAAUGCAGCUGUAAUUUUAUCGUUUACUUUUAUCUCUAGGACCACUGCAUUUUUGUUGAGAGGUGCAAUAAUACACGUCUUUAUCUGCCAUUCAAUGUUUACAGUAAAGAGAGGGCACAAAACUCUUCACUGCUCUGCAUGUGCCCCAAAAAUGCAAUUGGACAAAUUAUGAUUUGCAUGCUAAAAAGAGGCAAAUGAGGUUAAUUAGCACCAAAAUUAUUUUGUUUUCUGGACACCCCGGGGCCCUUUGGUUGGUUUGGGGGUCAGAAAAUGAACAUCAUAGGGGGUUUUUCCCUAAUGUGCAUUUGCAUUUGUAUCUGAUGGCUUUAACUCGCCUUGUUACUACAAAGAAAUUGUCACAGAUAGGAACUUAUUCCAGGCUGAGUAUCUCCGCAUGGACCCUAUAAAAGAAGACAAGUCAUAAUGAACAUCUAACCUUUGUUCAAUUUGAUUCAAUGCCCCUAUUGUGUCCAUCUCACAAAUCUGAAUUAUUAUAUCCAUUGAAUACAUAAAUUAAUGAAGAAAAUAUGAAACCCAAGAUACAUCUCUGCACAACCUCAACCCUGGUUGCUAUGUUUCACUUCUAUUCACAUGAGGAUAUUGAUUACGGAAUAAGGAAACCUAGCAAGGGUUUACUCGGCUCUGGUUUGAUGCUAAUUGCCAAACUUGCAACAAGCCCUGAGUUUGACACCUAAUCGAUGGGCGAAUUAAAAGUCUCCUCCAAACAUAUAUUCCACAGCUUGAAGCUCACAGAAGAUGCUAUACAGGCAGGGAAAAACCUUCAGAGUUAGCUACCAAAGAUAAUUAUCAAGGAGAUAUCACCAAGAGAAUUCCAUGGAGUCUGAAUCAAAGACAAAUUGCUCGCUCGUGGGGGUUCUUACUUAAUUUCUUUUGGGUAUAACUCACUGAGGGCACUGGCUUUGUUAUUUGCAUUUCGCAUUUAGAGUUCUGUUCUGGAAGGUUUGUUCUGGAAACAUAUAAAAGGAGCAUCAUUUUGUUCUAGGGUAACCCAUAGUUGUGAGUGGGUCCAUUUGCAUGCUACUUAGUUGAAAAGUUGGACAAUUUGCUCCGACGCCUACCUCCUGGAUUCCAUGCUCGGAUAAAGCAAGAAUAAUAAAAUAUUUAUAAUUUACAAAUGGGGGAAAGAAAAAAAUGUCAACAACAAACUAGGAAAAAAGAGUAGUAAAAUUUAUGCCACAUGCUAUUGAUAGAAGGGGCAUGUAUUAGAUCCAUCACCAUUUGGUAAGAUUUUAGUAUUAUAUUUUUCAAGGUUCAUUAUUUGAGGGUGUGUUCUUCAUCUCUGUUGCAUUGCUUCUUACUAGGCCCACUGAGGUGGGUUCUUCACCUUUUGUAUAUUCUCUGCACUAGAUCAAUGAGAAAGGGGGAAUUUUGGUGAAUUUGCAGCCGUUGGAUGAUUGAUUCUAGGCUCAGUCCACCAAUGAUGCUCUCUUCACUCUUUCUCAUCUAGUGUCAUUCACAACUAUGUUUUGAUUCAUAUUUGUACUAUCAAAGAUAUCUCAUUAUUCUAGCUCAUUAGGUAGAGUUCCUAAUCUUCCUCCUUUUUGGUCUAUGGACAGUAUUGGCUUCAUAUUAAGAUCAUGUUUCAAUAAUUGCACAUUAAUGAAUGGAUCAUGACCCACAUAAACAGAGUCAGGGUUGAGUCAGUGAACCCUAAAAUUUCACAAUUCUAAAUUUGGGUUCUUUAACAAUGCAGGGUCAAGGACGCGUGGUGAUGAAGGAAAGCUGGUAAGCUCAGUGUUACUUCAAUUCCUGCCAUGUAGGAUGGUGAGGAGAUAUUCACUAUGCAAUUAAUAAUAGACAAUAUUCACUAUGCAAUAAUAAAGCAUAAAUUAAGUUGAAUGAAAAGCAUUUUCUUUGCAAGGAGUUGAUUUUGGUUUCAUAGUUUGUUCAACUGCUAUUUUGGAUAGGAAAGUGUGAGGAGAAGAAAAUAAAAAAUAAAAAUAAAACAAAAAAUAAAAAAUAGAUUUUAUAAAUUCAUUUAAUUUAUUUUUUUUUUAUAAAAAUUAACUAAUUUAAAAUAUAUGUAAAUUUCUAAUUAAUUUAAUUACAUUUUUUUUUUCAGUUUUUCAUAAUAAACCAAAUAUUAGAAAAUUAUUUUUAUUAAGACACCCAAGAUGAGGUAAUAUGCAAUGAAAACAUGAAUUAUAUUAAAAUUCAAAACAAAUUAAGAGAAAUCGGAAAAUAUACAUAGAUAUCUAAACAAAGAAAUUUAAAGAGAAGGAACCACAAACUUUAUUUACAUAAUUUGAAAAUAAAAAACAUAAAACAUACUUAUAGUAAGGAGAAAUUGAAUAUCUUACAAUGGAAGAAGGGAGAAAAGCUUUGAAGAAAGCUUUUGCUUGGAAGCUUACAUGGUGAGAGGUAGAGAAAGGAGAGAGAGAGAAGAAAAUGAAAAAUGAGAAGUGGAGAAAAUUGGAAGUUUUGUGUGCUUACAACUGAGGAUAGAGCCUCCUUAAAUAGCAAAAAAUGGAAUAUUAAAUAGUACCAAUCAGGAGACAAAAUAUUGUUUGCUUUUGAAACCCGUGCAUGAAUAGUAAUCCCGUGAGUGAAUAGUGAAUAAUAAAAGUGAAUAGUAAAAGUCACUUUCUACUAUAGCACUUUAGACUUUUUCAUCGAGAAUCUUACUUUCGGCUGAGUGAUGAUAGCUGAUAGGUUGCUUUGGAUUGUGGAGUCAUAUGUUUGAUGUUUUCGGUGCUGAAACCGCUUAGUUGGAGAAUAAUCUCGUCAGUAGAGCAUCAUGAGAAGCUUGAAUGGAGAGAGCUUAAUGAUGCCAUAUGAUUGGAAGGAAUCCUAUUUUAAUUUCCUUAUUGGAGGGAGAAUACCCUCACAAUCAUCUUCAUUAUCUUGAAGGUAGUUUGAUAUAGAGUCAUCUGACUCAGCAUAAGAGUCCUCUUGGGAGAAGCUUGAACUGCUUUUGUCAAGGAUUUUCUGAAAUUCUUGAGGGGUUUUUGCUAUUGCUAACAUGGUUUGGAGUUGCUGUUUCUUAAGAAGAAACUGUGCAAUAUCAUAAGAUGAUGAAGCUUGUGUAGGAUGCUUUAGGAAAUAUUGCUUUAUUGCUUGUAGUGAGGUAUCAUUUUUCAAGGCAUCCCACCACUUAGACUUGAAAGUCCUUCCAAGGGUUGGAAAGGCUGCUGAUUCAUCUGCUAUAAUGAUAUAAUCCCACUGGACUAUCCAGGCAAGGCCAAAUUCACUAAAAAAGAAUAAUAAUUGGGGAAAACUGAAAGUUCUCUAGGGAUAACAAAAGAACUUUGGAAUAGCUCAAAGCCAUCCAAAAUGGGUUUUGGGAGAAUUUUAAUAGUUGGACCAAAAUAUGUCCACCAAUUGUGGAACCAAAAUGGAAAAGAGGGGAGUUGAUGCUUAGAUGGGAAAUAGAACAUCCCUGAAUGAUGGAAGUCCUUGUUCUGGAUCAGAAAAGCAUUGAACCAUACUCUUUGGUAGUCUCAAUAAUUGAAAAUUUUAGGUUUUGAAGGCUUAGAAAAUUCUCUUGAAAAAUUAGGAUUCCCACCCCACUGCUUAACUGUAAGGAUUUUAUAAAUAUGGUAAGUGGAGAAUGCCAAAUCCAAAUUGCUGAAUUUAUCAGCAUUGUGCUUGAUUUUAACAGAGCCGGUUUCCAUAAGGAUUGCUUCAUAAAAUUCUCUUGUUUUUAAAAGAUCACCAAAGGGAUAAUGAAAAUUUUCAUGAAAAGCUUUUGCUGCAAUAUCUCUAGGGUUUUUAGAGAAAAACUCUUUUUCAAUAACCAAAAGAGGUUGAUUUAAAUCUUUUUGCCAAUAUCUUGCUUUUGCUGAAAGAGGUGUGGGGUUGGCUACCACCACAAUUUGCUUAUUUGAAAAAGAAGAGCUUGAUGCUAAUUCAUUUUGAGAGGGAUUAGCUUUAGUAACCUGCUUAAAGGUCUGAGACACAGUAAUAGUUGGAUACUGAGUAGCCUUGACUGGUUUAGAAGGAUUCGAAGGAUCAUAGUACAAGGACAAAAUCUUAUUAGGCAUAUGGUCAGAAGAAUGAAGCCUUGCUUCUUCUUCUAGCUCAACUUGUUGGCUCCAAAGUAUUUUAUGGGGAGAAGGUUCUUUGCUGGUUUUAGAAGACUAGGAUUCUGGAAGUUUAGGAGCUUGGGUAUUCUUUUUAGGGGCCAUGGUUUCGUGAAUCCUGUAAAAUUCACAAGUUAAGAAAUCAGGGCUCGAAGAAUGUUCUCCUUUAAUAUACUCAAUUUGUAAAUUAAAAUUGCUUAAAAUAGCUUGAUAUAUAGCAAAAAUAUGCUUAGAAGUUAUAUUCUUAACAUCCUUUUGUAAAACUAAUUUUGCAAAUUUACAAUCAACUCUUAAUAAAAACUUUUGAUUCAAAAGAUCAUCUUGAAAUUUUGAAAUGCAUAAAACAACGCUUAAAGUCUCUUUUUUAAUGAUGUUAUGAAUGAGUUGGGUAGUAUUCCAGGUUCUUGAAGUAUACCUAACUAACAUCUCAAGGUUACCAACACUUUGCUUAAGAAUCCCACCAUAACCUAUGUCUGAGGUAUCGAUCCCAACAAACUCAAAGGUUUCUGGAUUGAUAGAGCCUAAACAUGGUAGGGUCUUGACUUUGGACUUAACAUCAAUAAUGAAAACAAUGGUGAAAACAGAAAACUGGUUAAAGUUUUCAUCCAUUAUAUUCUGGAAUUCUGAGGUGCAUUCUUAAGAUCAAAGGGCAUUAUGAACCAUUCAUAAUGUCCAAGAGAUACCACAAAGGUGGUCUUAUUUGGAAUAGGACACCUAAUCCAACUUAAUGUAUCAUUAAGAGGCAUGUAGUUGACGACUAGUCUAGGUGUUCCUUUUUCUGAUUCAACUUGUUCCUGAACAUAGAAGGUUGAACAACUCCAAAGGGACUUAGACUUCCUUAUCAACUUUUUAUCAAGAAGAUCCCAAAUCUCCUUAUCACAAUAGCUUAACAAACCCUUGUUCAUCUGGAUAGGUCUUGAUUUAGUGGGAAUAUUCUUGUCACUAAAGUCUAGUUCAUAAGGUAAUUCUACCUCAUGUUGUUUCCUAUGCCAAAAUGCAUUAGGAAUGUUAGAGCAAACUUCUUCAACAAUCAGAUUAAUUUCUUGCUCAUGACUUUCCUUAGCUUGAAUCACCUGAUCCCUUAAGGUGUUUAUAUUUUUCUUAUUAGGUGGUUGGCAAAUUCAAAAAUAAUUUCCUUAUCUAAGAGCUUUGUUCUUAUACUUUGGUCAUCUACCCACAUGGGAUAGAUGGAGCUUAAAAAGGGGAUUCCAAGGAGAGCUUUCUCCUUAAGAUCCUUAACUAGAAUGAAGGUUUGCUUGAUGCAAAUGCCUUGGUUAUUUAUGUGAGCAUCUGACAGCUUAUACUCAAUGUCAAGCCUUUUACCAUUAGCUCCAAAGAGAGAUUCUUUGGUUUUCUUACAAAACUUAAUAGGACCUAGACCUUCUUGUAGGCAAUUCAAAGCUGUUCCUGAAUCAAUCAAAGCAACAAUAUCAAUGACAAAUUUACUCUUAAUUACUAUAGUAAGGGAGACUUUCCACCUCUGGAAAAUAACCCUACUAACAGUAUUUAAGUAUCCAUCCGUCUUUUCAUCAUUAGCAUGUGAAGAUUCUAGAACCUCUUCAAGGUUUUCCUAGUUAUCAACAAGAUUUUCUAUAACAAUCCUAUUUAUUUGUUCUUGGAGAUCUGAAAAACCUAAGCUUGUGUAUUGUCUUAAAUCUUUAAUUUCCUUCUUAUACUGUCUUACUUCUUCUUGAAGAUCCUUAAUGGUUACGUCUUUGGUAGACUACUGGUUAAAUCUUCCUAAGAUUUCAUUUAAGUUAUAAGAAUUUACUGUCUUCUUAAUCUCUUGCUUAUCGACAAAUUUCUUAAAAACUUCAUAAAGAUCUUGUUUAGUUUUUUCAUCUUCAACUUUCCUUAAAACAUCUAGGACAAGUUCUUGAUCUUGGCUUAUGACAUUUAUAGUCUUAGGUUGGCAAUCACAAUUAUCCUUAAUGUAUUCUUCUUGGUCACUAGAAGUUUGGCUUGAGAUUUCCUCACCACUACUAUCUAGUUGGUUAAUACCAUUUUCAUUAUCUGAAUCAAUCCUUGAUUCAGACUCUGUGGAAUUUAACAUUACUUUACAAAGCAUAUCUUUUAAGUCUUCUGUGACAUUUAAGUUAUUAAUUUUCUGCUUAACCCUACAAUCUUUCUUAUAGUGGCCUAUCUUACCACACUUAAAACAAACUGGCUUAGAUUGUGAAGGAGCUUCUAGCUUUUUAUGGGCUUCUUUGUUCAUCAUUCUUUGGAUGUGCCUUUGUUUCUUAGUUUCAUUCAUCCUAUAGUUGCCAUGAGUUCCUCUCUUGUUGUGAUAGGACUUUUCCUUACUAGGCUUUGUACUUACUUGUUUCUUACGUUGCUUAGAGGGGGGCUUAGUUUCUUUUUGGUUGAAUCCAAACUAGCUACAAAAUGAACCAAACUCAUUCUUGUAGAUCCUUUGUUCAUUUUUCAUCUGUUGCUUAAGCUUAAAGUCAUUGCACAGUUUAAUUGCUUCUGAUGUGACAAUGCUUAUAAUUUCUCCAUAAGAAAGCUUAUCAUAAGGGAUUUGUCCAUUAAACUGUUCCCUUAUCUUAAUCCUAAUCCUCUCAGAGAAAAGUCUAGGUAGUCCUAAGAUGAAUUUUUCUUUCCAAAAAGACUGGUUAUAGUUUGAUCUUAGUAUGACUUUGGUUAGGAAAACUUCUCUAUACCAUCUAAAGUCAUGAAGCUUGGGACACUUAAGGUUGGUUAAGAGAUCUACAAUCUUAUCCUUAAUCUUUGCAGGAUCUCCAAUGAAGUGCUUUGAAAUUGAAUAGAUUAGAGUAGCCACUACAUCCUCUAUAUCUUGUCCAUCUUCAUCCUUAACCACUUCAUUUUCCUCAUUAAUCCUAUAGGCUUUUAGGAUACCAUUUCUAUCCUCAAAGGUGAGAUAAUUAUCCCACCAACCCUAAAGUUGACCUGUAAACCCAACAACAAUUGUUUGAGCUACAGCAUGGCCUGACAAUCUAUUGUUUAACUUAUAGGUUGUACUAACCAUGGUCAUUUCUUGAAGCUUAGUGAGUAUGUUGUACUCAAUCAUACCAUCUAUGUUCCAUUCAUAGAUAGUGUCACUAGUGUAGGAAGCUUGAGUAUGCUGGUUUCUUUCCUCAUACUACAUAUCAGGAAAAGUUGGUCUAGGGUAGUAAUUCCUAGUUCUUGGUUGUUGAUAAUCCUCAUAACUGUUUGGUUAGGAGGUUCCUUAAAAAUCUUAAUUAGUUCAUCAGCCUCUGCUUCAGAACUAAUUUCUCCUUUAACCAUAUUGAUUCUCUUGUGAGAUGGUUGAGGUGUCUCAGAGACAACAAGGCUAUCCUUAACCUUUUGGCUUAUCCUAUCAAUGAGGGCUUGAUCAAUAUGGAGAUUCUCUAGGAAUUUCUUAGAGAAUUCAAAAGGCUUAAAUAAAGACUUAUUAUCUUUCUUAACAAACGUAGUCUUAAUGUAGUCUUGUGUUUCAAUGAUAUCCUCAAACUUGUUGAGUUGAUCGCCUGUAGUCUUAAGAAACAUGUUAGUGUAGUUGUUUUGUUCCAUGAUUCUUCUAACGUCAACAACACUAUCAAUUCCUUUAUUCUUUGGCCUAGUCUUAAAAGGUGAAGCUUUGACUAUGGUUCAAUUAAUGUUCUUUUAUAUCUUAGCUUCUAGAGGGUGGAUGGAUUCUAUGAUAGUAUCGUCACUAGUUUUCCAUAUCUUAGUUUUUUUGGAUGUGUCAUUGACACGCUUACUAGGGUAAUCUAGAUAUUCCUCUUGUUUGAAGAGUUCAAACCAGAUCCAAUACUUAAUGUUCUUCUUUUCUUGUCUUAAGUAUGUGUAGAAUUCUUCUUGGUAGAGGGUUCUAAUGUCUUUAAGGACCUUGCUAAAGAACCAAACUCUCCUUUUCUUAUUGACUUCAGAAUAGAAGUCUUUCCUUAAGAGGUCCUUGUUGAUUCAAAGUCUUCGUUAAUUAGGCUUACAGUGUUAAUCAACUGAGAAUAAGUAGGAGACAUAUCAGGAGAUUCGUCCUGAUGUGAUUCUUGAGUAAACUCAUUUUCCUCCAUGUAAAAGGGUUUGGCCACGUUGGUGUGACUUCUAACACCUGUUAGCUUAAUAUUCUUAGGAUUUGCUGAACUAGAUCCUUCCUCUAUCCUAGUGGUUCUUAUUGGGAUAGAUGAACUUGAAGCUCUAGAGGGCUCAUAAUAUGAAAUUCUAAGGCUGCUAGAAUGAUGAAAAGAGUUGGAGAAAAUUAGAUCUCGUUCUCCAUCAGGAUAUUGAACAAUCUGUUCAAUUCUUUCAGAUCUUUGCUCUAUGGCUGGGACAACAUUAGCAAAAUGCCAAUUUUCUGGAAACUCAACCUCAUUCCACUUGAUUUUCAUGGGGACUAUGAAAUUAGACUUGUUUAUCAUAUCUAAGUGGAAGAUAGUGGUUUCACCCUUGGGACUGGUGCACAAUGCUCCAAAUCCAACGCUUAUGGUCAUGCUCUUAUAGGCAAAUCUGGUGAUGAUGGAAACAUGAUUGUUUCCUUGCUUGAACUUAAAGUCAUGGGUCUUAACAUGAAGGACAACUGAAUCUAAGAUGUUGACAUCUCUUAGUCUAACUGUGAAGUUAGGGAAACACUGGAAAUAAACAGGACCAUCAUUUAAUCCUGCUUGGGUAGCUCCAAUAAUAGAAUCUCGGUAAUCAAGAUGUCUAUUAUCUCUUAAACACAUGACAAUAAAGGUGUUUAGACCUAGUCUUGUCAAGGGCUUAGCUGCAACUUGAAUCAUGCCAAAGUGUAUGAAGUUGUAGUCUCGCUUAUGCUUAUCAAUGGACUUACUAUCCAAGAGUCUUAUGACUUGAUCGUCGUGUUCUAAACUUACUGACAUUUCAGGGGUUUUAAUGGUGUAAUCUGUAAAGAACUUAAAGGUUCCUUUCUUAUAAAUUUCUUGAUUAGGUACCUUGGGUAACUUCCAAUCAUCUAAAUCAUCUUGGAUCUUAGGAUAAUUGAUCUCUUCAUUGUUUACUCUUGAGAAUUUGUGGAUUUCCUAGACAUGGUUCUGAAAAUCAAACUCAUUUUAAGGUUUUAAUCUAGAGCCUAAUAGCAGAUUAACAGACCUAGUGAGUAAUCACCCCAACCCUUUUCCAACCUUAACAAACGCCUAUCUCCAGCUAACAAUGGGCUCAACUCGGCAAGGAUCGCACUCAGGCACACUACUAUCUUUCCUAGGAUAGAUCAAAACACCCAAAACAAACCCGACUUCCUUUUCCUAGGAUAUAUAUAGUAUUUUGGGUUUGAGUAGGAGUUCAUGUUUUGUAUGUAAUUGUAGUCUACGUUGGACUAGGUUGUUUGCUCCUAAUUGAAAUAGGAAUGGUUGGUGUCACAUCUCAUUCAUUUUCUCAUCUAUUUCCAUGUUUAGAUAACUCAAGUAAUCAUAGGAAUGAAAUUAAGAAUGAUUUGAGGGAAAUGAAAUCUCACUUGUAAGUGGGAUCUCAAUUCAUCAUUAAUAGAAGGUAUUUUGAUUACAUAGUGCAAGUUAUUUUUAAAAACACUUUUCAAAAAUUGAAAAACCAAAAACUCUCUUGGAUAAGUUGUUUUUAAAAAGAAUUUUUGUAUUUUUAUUUUGUAAAAAAAAAAAAUAGUAAUUCAAUUUAUAUAAUAUAAAUAGACUUUAAUUUUAUUAAAAAUAAAAAUAAUUUUUUAAUUACAAAUAAAUUAAAAAAUAAAUAUUUGUAAUAAAAUAUGAAUAGUAAUAUUAUAAUAAAAUCAUAAAUAAAUUAAAAAUAUUUUUAAAAACAAAUAAGUUUAAUUUUUUUGAGGUACAAAUGAGCCAAAUUUUUCAUUAGGUACACAACCAACAAUUUUUAUUGGAAACAUUCCUCAAAAAAGAAUUCGUUUCCCAUAUAGCAAAGAUAUUUAUUAUUUAGUAUCUAACCAUCCGUAGUAAUCAUAUCAAUUCUACUAAGUUAUUUAAUAAUUCAUUUAUAUAUAGUACUCAAUUAUGAAUUUUUUUAUUUGAUGUAUAAUUAAUUAAUCAAUGUUUUGAAUUUUGAAUUAUUCUUAAAAUUUAAAACAUUAAUUAUGUCUAUUACUUUUUAUAGUCAUUAUAUAUAUAUAUAUAUAUAUAUAUAGAGAGAGAGAGAGAGAGAGAGAGAGAGAGCUUAAAUUUAUCUUUAAAAAUUAUUAAAUUUAUUAAUAAAUUCAAUACAAAGACUCAUUUGAUUUGAAAUUCAUUUCUUUAGUGAAAAUUUUGAAACUAAAUAGUACUUUGUUUUACUUUGUUUUUAAAUCAUACUCACAAAUAAGUUUUUAUCAUUUAGCCAAAAAAUCUCAAAGAUGUUUCUAAUUUUAUUUAUUUAUUUAUUUGUAAAUGAAAAUAAAAAAUUAGUUUAAACUAAAUAUGCGGAUAUUAUUGUUAAUUUAUUUCAUUUUUUAUUUCCAUUGUUAUUUAACAUUGAAACGGAAACAAAUAAUCAUUCCAAUCUUACAUUCUUAUAUGCAUCUAAACACAAGAAUUGAAAUCACCAAAUUCAUAUUCAAGGCAAAAUAGAAAUGGAAAAAAAAUAUUCAUUUUCAUUCCUCAUUCUCAUGUGCUAAACAUGACAUUAGUUCUACUACCUAUUUCACCAUUCUUCUUGAUAAAUUUGGUAUAUGCAAUAUUGAUCUAAGUGUGAGGUGAAUAAGAAUGAUGAUGGGAUGGGCUUGGAAAUAAGGGCAAAGUUUCUAGGUGCUAUCUAGAGGGGCAACGCGACUUUUUCAAAUUUCGAAUAUUUGUUCUCAACAUAAAGCAAAACUUUACUCACACAAUAGAUAAGACUCUGUUUGUUUUCUUCAUCCACGACUAUAUAAUGUAUAGCUCUUACUCAAGGGAUGAGCUACUUACUAUUAAGGAUUGGGUAAGAUAUUGCCUAAUGGCCAAGAAGGCAUGUCAAAAAAUAAAUCUAAUCACCAUAAAAAAUAAUAGGGGAAAAUUAAUAUAUUAUGAAUGAUGACUUUACUAUUUCUCUAUAUACAUAAUUAUAUAUUUUGAAUUUUCUCACUAGGUAAUGAGAUUCUAAAUCAACUGAAACAUAAUUAAUAAUUUAUAUUUUUAAUGAAUCUUUUAAUUUUUAAAAAUAAUUUAAAAUUUUAAAAAACAAUUCAAUUAAUUACAUAUUAAAUCAAAACAUUUCAAAAUAUUGUGUUUGUAGAUGAGUACUAAAUGCUUGCAUAUAAUAAUAAUAAUAAAAAAAUUGACUCAUUUAGAUGUUAAAAAAGUUAAAUGUUUUUCAUUAUUCAUUUUAAGUAAAAUAUUAUUGACAUUAUUAUUAUAAAAUUAUUAUUAUUCAUUUUUAACAAAAAACAAAAUAAGUUAUUCUUUUACCAAGAUGUCAAUAUCUAUAUUUUUCUAACAUAUAUUAAAAUAGUAUACUUUUCUUUUAUUAAAAAUAAUAAUUAUUAUUAUAUUAUUAUUCAAGUUUUAUUAAAAAAAUUUAUCUUUUAAUUCAUUUGUAAUUACAAAAUAAUUUUAUUUUAUUAAGAAUUUAAUUUAAUUACGCUUUUUUUUUUUAUAAAAAAAACAGUUAUGCUUUUACCAAGAUGUUAAUAUUCAUAUUUUUCUAGCUAACAUAAAUAGAAUAGUACACUUUUUCAUAUAAAAAAAUAAUUUAUGAUUUUAUUAUAAUGUUACUAUUCACAUUUUACUAAAAAUAUUUAUUUAUUUUAUUUAUUUUUAAUUAUAAAAUAAUUUUAUUUUCAAGAAUUUAAUUUUAAAAAAAUAGAAAUCAUUUAUUCUUUUACCAAGAUGUUAAUAAACAUAUUUUUCUAACAUAUACUAAAAUAAAAAAGUUUACUUGUUCAUUAAAAAAUAUAAUUUAUGUUUUUAUUAUAAUACUACUAUCUAUGUUCUACUAAAAAUAUUUAUUUAUAAUUAAAAAAUAAUUUCAUUUUUAAUAAGACUUGAACUAAAUUAAAUUUAUAAUUUUUUUUUAAAAUAAAAUAGAAAAUUAUUUUUUAAAAACAACUUAUUGAAAGAAAUUUUUUAUUCUUUACUUUUAAGAACUGUUUUUAAAAGCAACCUAUAAACCCCUUUGGGUCUGUUUGGCUAUGUUUCAUGCAACUUGUUUUUAAAAAUUGUUUUUUAUUCUUUAAUUUAAUUUUUUUUAAGUUAAAGAAUAAAAAACAACUUUCUAGUGUUUUAUAAAAAUGAGAGCUUUUGACAAGUUGUUUUUAAAAACCAUUUUUAAAAAUAAAAAAUAAAAAACUUAUUUAGAUAAAUUGUUAUAUAUAUAUAUAUAUAUAUAUUUGUAAAAACAUUUUAAAUUCAAUUUAUAUAAUAUAAAUUUAAUUUAAUUUAAGUCUUAUUAAAAAAAAAUUGUUUGGAUAAGUUUUUUUUUUUAAAUAGUUUAUUAUUUUUGUUUUGUAAAAACAUUGCAAAUUCAAUUUAUAUAAUAUAAAUUAAUUUAAUUCAAGUCUUAUUAAAACCAAAAUAAUUUUAUAAUUACAAAUAAAUUUAAAAAUAAUUUUUUUAGUAAAACAUGAAUAAUAAAAUUAUAAAUUAUAUUAUUGUGGACCCUGCAUUUAUGCUCAUGCGCUUCCACUUGUUGGCGAACUCAUUUUUUAUUUGAAAAUGAUUUAUUUUUUUAGAAAAUGACUUAGAGUCGCCACUUAUUUUUGUUUUAUUUUUAAAGGGCAAGCAAAAUAAGAAAGAAAACCCUAAGUGUGACUCCUUAUUCGAAAAAGGUAGUCUGUGUAAAACCGGAUCAGGGUUCAGGGAUCAGGUUACUUAUUGGGAAGGUAUGACAAUGACCGUAGCACUCCUCUAAGUCCUUAAAAACGGGCCUCUACUAAAAAAAAUAAAGUAAUCAUGGCAAUCAGUAAGGAAAUCACUGGAUACCCAGAACAAUUAUGCACAUGUGAGAAUUAAAACAUGCAUAAGAAUGGACAAAGUGAGAGUGGGUGCGUACCUUGACAACGAACCACAAUGCGUUAUCAAGAAAUGGGGUUAGUGCACGAUCAAUGAACAUAAAACACGUCACACAUGUCACUAAGCAGAGUGAGAAAUCAUCAGAUAUUACAAUUCAAUCAAAUUUAUUUUUAGAAGAAACAUCUGUUGAUGUAGAGCCCCUACCAAAGCCUAAUUUAUUUUUGCAUGAAUCAAUUUCAUAAAUUCAAUCGCUUGGAAUUACAGAAUUAAAUUCAUGCUUAUUUUAAAACAUCUUUUUAAAAUCAUGGAAGAUGUGAAAAUGGUUUUCCAAAGAGAAAAUGACAACUGAUUUUAUUGAAAAUGGGAUUUUGGGGACCUAAACGUUAAAGAGGGAUUAGGAAUUGAAAAUUAAAUCAUUUGAAAAUUGAAUUUUUCAAAAAUCAGUUUUGAAAGCAUGCAUGCAAGUAUGGACUGUGAAAGUGGGCCUAGGGAGGGUGGCCAUGCAAAAUGAGGUCAUACACGUGGGCCUUGGGUACAAUUGGGACUACUUUGCUGGUGCCAGUGGUGCUUGCAGCUGUCAUCCAUGAUUUCUUCAUUGGGAUCAAUUUCCAUUCUUACUGCCAAACAUUCCAUAACAAUUGACCAAACUAGUAACCCUGACCUUGCAUGAAAAUGAACGUUACCUAGAAACUCACUGCCAGUGAGAUUCAUUGCUCUUUCAAAAGGUCUCAUUUUCUUUCUCAUCCAAUUGCUUUAAGGAGCAUUCUAGCGUCACGAUUGGUGACUGCGCAUCAUCUAGAGCCUUCUUUCUUCUCAGAAUCAGGUUUGCGUGCAGAGGCCUGUGCUUGUUCAAGGUUGACCUAAAUUCAUCUAGGUUUAGAACCGACCAGUUGAGCUUGGGGAGCAACGACAAGAAUAUCAGUCACUUGCGAAGAGAAAACUCGAGAUCUUUCAAGUAAUGCCUGACAUAGAUUCCUCCAACCUGUGGCCAAUAUCUCAUUCCUUGUUGGCCAGACGCCUAUUAGGGCGUAUCUCAAUCAAUAAUAUGAUUUUUCGUUUGUUCACAAUAAAGACCGGAAGCCAUGGUUGUGAUUUAUGCAGUACAGAAGAAGUUGCCAUGGCUGGUAUCCUUACAAAUUCUGGUGUUUCUGCUAUCUGUUCAAGUGCAAAACACAACAGCUUUAUCAAGUUUGUCCCUAACAACUGAUAUUGAGCCCUCUGGAGGAAACCUUGAUAAAUUCAUAAUCACUUUUGACUCAUGCAUGGGCUGCCCAUCAAAUUUUCCUAGCAACGAGACGACUGCUGUCAUCUACUGCAAAGAGAAUUUCUUCUCGCAAAGACAAGAGGAGUUUAAGAAUACACACUAUUCUGCCAUUUCAUUUCCUCUUUCUCCACAACCAACAUAAACCAUAGUGUCUACAUUAGAGUACUUAGAAAGAGCUUAACUGAUGACCGUUUUUCCACAACCAAAUGCCCCAGGUAUGGCACAAAUUUCACCGAAAACAGAAGGGAAAAGGGCAUCAAGAACACGCUGUCCUGUAAGUAGUGGGGUAUCAGGACUACUCUAGGGAAGUUAUUUCUGUCAUUUUGAAAAAGAAAAAUUAAAGAAUGUACACAUGCUUUCAAGUGGACUGGAGCAUUCUACAUAUCAGGUGGUCUGUAGCCACAUGUGCCACUUUGUGGAAGUUGGAACAGUCGAUCACUAGGCUAUUUAGUGUGGCCAAGCCACGUUAAUCAAGGACAAGUCUUCAUACUUAAAAGUCAAAUGGUGCCUUUAGUCUCAUUACACAUGGCUAUUUAAAGAUGAACUAAUCUUUAGUGUAAUGUGAUUAAGACAGUACUAACUGAUCAAUAUUUUUUCUAAUUUUGGAUGCAAAUGCUUGCUGGCUUCAUCAUUGGAUGGGAUAAAGGUGCAUUCAUGACUCUGAAUACUUGCAGUAAUACUUGCAGUAAUACUUCAUUCUCUUUUUUCUCGAUGAGACUUCUUGGCACAAUUUUGCUUCUCAGCAACCUACCUCUCCAUGGAAAAUGAGUUGCGAUUGAUGGUACUGGAUAUUUUCUAGGAAGCUAAAUAUAGAUAUAUAGCACUCAAUGUCAACGAUAUAUAUAGCAUUAACAGUAUAUGUCUCAAUGCUCAUCAGCUACAAGCAAGGGACAAACACUUACAAUGAAUAACUCACGUCAACAUUCCUAAACAGGACAUAGAAGUGACAGAUCUAUAUAUAGAACACUGCAUAUGAGUCACAAGAAAAGAUAAUACGGGUGCAUAGCAGCUCUUAUAUUACAUAUUACUCAUACCGUUCAAAUUCACUCAGUUGGGAUGGGUGGGAGAAGGAGGCCUCUGGGGUGGCUUGUGCGUGUGAGAAGUGGAAGAAAGUUGAAUGGAAUGAAACUGAAAAACAGGGUAGAAUAGAGGUUUCUUGAAUCUUCUGAAAUCUUUAUUUUUCUGAGAUUUAUUCUCUGUUUUUGUGAGUCGUGACUCUACAUAUAUACAUGUAUUUAAAGUUAGUUAUGCCUUAUAACUAAUUAUCUAACAGUACCAAAACUAAUCAUCUAGUUGCAUGUUUCUAAUUAAUGCUAUUUAGUUACAACUAUAUAUGGCUUAACAUCCUCUCUCAAACUCAAAAGUCUAGCUAGAACAGUGAGUUUGCUUCAUAGAUUGAGAAAUUGUUGAAUAGGUAAGGCUUUGGUAAGAGCAUUAGCAAUCUGGUCAUAAGAAGGAAUGUGUUGAACCACCAAAGUCUUAUUGAGCACCUUUUCCUGAACAAAAUGGCAAUCUAGUUCCACAUGCUUAACUCGAGAAUGAAAAUAGGAUUGGCAGCAAGAAAGGUGGCUGAAAGAUUGUCAUAGAACAAAACAAAAUAGGAGAAUAAGAAGAUGAGAUAGAAAACUCCUGAAGAAGAUGUUGAAUCCAUUGAAGUUCAAAAGCAACAUUUGCUAAGGCCCUAUACUCAGCUUCAUUGCUGGAACGAGACACAACUUUCUGCUUACUGGAGUUCCAGGAGACUAGAUUAGAGCUAAAAAAGAUGCAAUGACCACUUGUACUUCGACGAUCAUCAGGGCAACCAACCCAAUCAACAUCAGCAUAAGCAGUAAGUUGAAAAUCAGGAGAAGAAUAAAAGGAAAGACCAAAGGAAGUAGUGCCCUUAAGAUAAUGCAACAAUCGUUUAACAACUUGCCAAUGAAGAUCAGUUGGUUAUUGCAUGAAUUGGCAAAGUUUAUUGAUAGAGAAAGAGAUGUCAGGCCUUGUAAUGGUACAAUAUUGCAGGGCUUCAACAAUGUUGCGAUAUUGAGAAGGGUCAGCCAAGAGGGAACCUUUAGAGGCAGAUAAAGUGUGAGAGGUAGUCAUUGGUGUAUCAAUAGGUUUAAAAUAUGGAAGACCAGCACGAGUUAACAAGUCCUGAAUAUAUUUGGUUUGGGAAAGAUGAAGAGAAGAUCCUUGCCAACAUACUUCUACACCCAAGAAGUAAUUCAGAAUACCAAGGUCCUUGAGAGCAAACUGAAAGUGUAAAGACGAAACCAUUUGGUGGACUAGCACGGUAUUAAGACCACUAACAAUAAUGUCAUCAACAUAGAUGAGAAUAAUGAUCAUGUCAGUCCCUUUCCGAAGAGGAGCUUGCUUCAGACCCUACAAGGCUUUGCGAAGUUUACAGAAAAAACCGGGUUUAGAAUGAUCAACAAAGCCUGGAGGUUGAACCAUGUAAACCUCUUCUUCUAACUCACCAUUGAGAAAGGCAUUAUUAACAUCUAAUUGUUCCACUAACCAACCAUGAGAAAUAGCAAGAGAAAGAACAAUUCAUAUAGUAGUUGGUUUAACAACAAGGCAAAAGGUUUCAAAAUAAUCAAUACCAUAUGUUUGAUUAAAACCCUUUGCAACUAAGUAGGCUUUAAAACGAUCAAUUGAGCCAUUAGCUUUGAGUUUCAGCUUGUAUAUCCAUUUACAACUAAUAAUGCGUGUAUUAACAGGUUUAGGAACCAAUGUCCAUGUGGAAUUGGUGAGAAGAGCAUCAUACUCAGUCUUCAUAGCAGCUUGCCAAUUAGGAUGCAAUAUUGCUUCUUUGAAAGAGGAGGGUUCGACAACAGUAGUUUGGAUAGCAAGGCUAAAUAUUUUUUUGGGUUUAAAAAUACCAUUUUGGCUACGAGUAACAAUAGUUCGGUUUGGAAGUGAAAGAGGAUCAGUGGAGGAGGCUGGAACAAGGGAUUGUGGUAAAGUAGGAAAGGAAGGUGGAUGAGAUGGAACAAAAUCAGUAGGGACAAUAAUGGGAGAAGAAAAAUUAGGUGGAGAAUGAUGAGGAUUCCUUGAAGAUGGUGUAGGAAUAGAGAGAAUACCAGAAUCAAGAAGUGUUAAAGAAGAGUUGGAUGAUGAUACUGGUUGACAGGAUAAAGACUUUGUUAAAAAUGGAAAUCGAGUUUCAUCAAAUACAACAUGACGAGAAGCAUAUAUCCGAGAGGAAGCCAUAUCCAAACAGAGGAAUCCCUUGUGUUUAGCACUAUAACCCAAAAAACAGCAAACAACAAAUAUAUUUGCUAGCUUGUGAGAAGCAUAAGGGCGAAGAUAAGGAAAACACAAGCAUCCAAAACUUCAAAGAGAUGUAUAAUAAGGUAAACGAUUAUAAAGAACUCCAUAAGGAGAAUUUUGUGAAAGAACAGCAGAGGGAAGGCAAUUUAUGAGAAAAAUGGCAGUUUGAAAUGCAAAUGACCAAUAUUUGAGAGGGUAUACCAGCUUGUAUUAACAAAGAAAGACCAACUUCCACAACAUGACGAUUCUUUCUUUCAACUCUUCAAUUUUGCUAAGGAGUAUAAUGACAAGAGACUUGAUGAAGAAGACCAUUUGUAGCCAAAUAAUUCUGAAAAGCUGAAACUGAAACUCAUCAAAUUGAUUUUUAGUAUCAAAUUUUCUUCAGACUGAACACAUUGAUUUUUAGUAUCAAAUUUUCUUUCAACCAUGGCUUGAAAAUGUUGGAACAUAAGUAAAGCUUCAUCUUUAGUUUCCAAAAGGUACAACCAUGAGAAUAUGCUAAAAUCAUCAAUUAGCAAGAGGAAAUAUUGAGCAUUACCAUUGACAGAAACUAUAGGAGUUGCACCCCAAAGAUCAACAUGGAUGAGACCGAAUGGUUUUAUUGCUCUAGAAGUGGAUAUUUCAAAUGGAAAACGAUGGCUUUUAGCCAACUGACAAGACUCACAUACAGAGUUAUUAUUGUCAUGUUUCAAAGGUAUUUUAUAAAGAGAUAAGAUUUUGGAAACUACAUUAAUAGAGGGAUGACCAAGUCUAUUAUGCCAAAGCCUCAAAGAACCAACGGCUAAAGUACUACUAGUAGAGUAAAAUACUAGUGGAUGACCAACAACUCUUGGUGUAGCAAGAAGUUUAUAGAGACCCUUCUCAAUUUUUCCUUGAAGAAGAGCAAGUCUCGUUUCCUGAUCCUUUACCACAAAAUGAGAAGAACGAAAUUCAAUAAAGGUGCCAUUGUUUGAGUAAAAUCGUUGCACGCUAACUAAGUUGGUGGUAAUAGAAGGAACAUGUAAGACAUCAUUGAAAAACAAAGAACCACUUGAAGAGGCAAGAGAAAAUUUACCAAUAUUUGCAAUGGAUAAACCCUUACCAUCUCCAACAAUUACUUUGUCACCACUGGUAAAUGGAUUAUGGAUUGUUAAAUUGUUAAGAUCAGAUGUGAGAUGAUGGGUAGCCUUUGUAUCAAGAAACCAAUAAGUGUCUCCCAUUGUUGCAGAAGUUGUAGUCAUAGCCUCAGGAUUGUUAGAGGUGGAAUGUUUAGAAUCUUUUGGCUGAUAAUCAGAGUUAAACCGAUACCAGCAUUGUAAAGCGGUGUGUCCGAACUUACAACCGAGAGAAAUAAUCUUUACUUAUUCUCUAAAAACUGUUCUUUAUUCCACACAUUAUUUCUAAAAACUGUUUCUAGAUAACAAUGACAAAAUAGUAUUAGGAAUUUUUAAAAAUAAAAAUUGUUUUUAAAUUACAUGAUCUAUAUCAUUCACAUUUGACCAUUAUAGCUUUGUUCAGGAAAACACUUGAAAGUAACCUUAUCGUGAUAAGAGAUAUAAGUUGGCUGUAGUUUCAAACUGAAAACAGAGGAUGGCAAUAGAAAGCAAAGCAUUAGUUAUCUGCAAUCAGUGGUGAUCAUGCCCCAUGUCAAUUUCGGACCCAUAUCUUAAAACCGUAUAAUUUGCAUUUCAACAUUUCUGAUUUCUCAGAUGUUUCAUACUCCACAGAAGAACAUUGUUUGUGAAAGCAUGCAUUUAUGCUGGAUUUUGGAUGAUGUGGGAACUGGGGCAAGGAUCAUAUGGAAGAGUGGUCGAUUUUUUCUGUACUUUAACAUUUGAAAUAGGAGCAGCACGGGCAUUUGUGGGGCUUAAUUGAUUUUGAAGCCUGAAAUUGCGUUUCUGUCAUUUUGUAAAAAAUAUGGCAGAUUCCAUGCUCUCAUAUGUUUGGUCUGUGGCCAUGUAUAGAUGCCACUUAGUGACCAGUUUGUAACUGUCAAUCAUAGUGUUUUGACUCUGGCUCAACAACAUCAGCCAUUGACGGAUUUUCAUACAUGCAAAUCAAAUAGUCUUCUUCCUCCCUUAGGAAUUUCGGUUUAAAUGUUAUUAAGCAUACAUUUGGCUGACAAUUAUUAACCACUUCAUGAUAUGGUUUCUUACCCUUAAUCAAUGGUUUCUAAGUGAAUAUAUGCAGAAGGAAAUCUGAACUGUAGACAGCAGUAUUGAUAAUUAUCAAUAUUCUUUAUAUAAGAGAAUAAACAACGUCAUAGUGAUCGUCGCCUACAAGAAAGGUACAUUUCCCAACAAGAUGUAGUUGUGACUGGUACAUGGACGUAAUUAACUCGUAGAAAAGGAUAAGACCAGUGCACGGCAGCUCUUAUUUUACAUGCUAAUUAUGCUAACCAAAGUCACUCAGUUGGGAUGGGAGGGAGAUGGAGGUUUGUGCGGUGGCUUGUGGGGCGGAGUUGGUGGCUUCUUUUCAGGAGCUUGUGGCUUUUUCGGAGCUGAAGGAGGCUCAAUCUUAUGAGGCGGCUUGUACGAGUCUUCUUUACUCUCGACAGGAGGGUGGCCAGGGUUGUGACCAUAAUGUGGUGGCUUCUCUCCCUUAGGUGGCUUGCCAACUGGGGUUGGUGGCUUGUGUUCAGGAAGUGGUUUCUCUCCCUUGGGAGGUUUACCAAUUGGGGUUGGUGGCUUGUGUUCUGGGAGUGGUUUCUCUCCCUUGGGAGGUUUAGUGGGUGACUUGUGUUCUGGAGGUGGCUUCUCCACCGGAGGCUUGUGCUCCGGUGGUGGCUUCUUGGUUGGAGGGGGCUUGGGGUAAUCAGCAAGAGAUGGGGGGGUGAGAACCACCACUCCAAGGAACAACACUAGCAAGUAUGUGGGAGACAUUUCUGAGUUUGAGCUGAUCAGAUGAUGCAAAACUAGAAGAAUUACGUGACCUUUUAUAGCAAGUAGCUCCCAAUACCCACAUGACACGUGUUACUGUGACCAUAAAUAUUAUAGGGUCCAUUUGUGCCCUACCGGGUUGAAAACUUGGACGCUUGGCCGAGGACACACCGAACUAUGGAGGACUAUUGACGUGUGAUCACAGCUUUUGGAUUUUUCUUCCUGUGCAGCUGUCUAGCGGUUGGCAUUAUUUUUUUAAUCUUAAAUAAAGGCAUAGUUAUAGAGUACAUUUAUAUAUCUUCAGAUAGCCAUUAAUAUAUUUGAUGAAGAAAGACAAGUGCAUACAACAUGUAUACGGCUUGCUUCAAUCGAGUACAUUUAUGAUCAGUUUUCCAGUGCAAGUAAACCAGUUUUUUGUUCCACAACUAUUUUGGAAUCUUGUUUAUCAGUUUCUAUCAUUAUAAUGUCACAUAGGCUGCAAACUUGGGCACCCAAAGAUCUAGUUGGGCAAAUUUGUUUCAGAAUUUCAAUGGUGGAUUCAGUAAUUGUUAAAAGGUGUUUCUUCAUUAAGGAAAGAGUCCUGUAAAAAUAUUGUUAAAAGGUGUCAUAGAAACUAUAAUAAUUAAAUAACUUCUUUUCCCCGUGGGUGGUGUUUCUUCUGGGGAUACCCAAAAUGAGUUCAGAUUAAAAUUGGUUCGAGUCAAAGCUGUCUCUUUUGUCCAGAAAUCAACUAUUUUGCGCAUUGCAUGAAUCGAUAAAGAAAAAAUGAAAGCCAAAUCACACCUCCCCUGCAAAACCUAAACCCCGGUUGCUAACUUUCUAUGUUUCAGUCCUAUUCAUACAGGAAUAUUGGUUCAAGUUUGAGAAAAAUGGCAACUUACCUAGGGAUUACUUGGUUGUGGUUUGCGACGACUAUUUACGCAACCAACCAUGAGUUUGACUUUAACGUCAUGGGUUGAAGCCUCCUACAAUCGUGUAUGAUAGUUCAAAGCUCGUAGUAGAAAUUAUACAGGAAGGAAGAAACCUCCAAAGCUAGCUCCAAAAGAGAAUUAUCACAUCGAUAGCUCCAGAGAUUCCCAAGGGGACUGAAUCAAAGACAAGUUCCUCACUUUUUCUUCUUUUGAGGCCAAAUAUGAACCAAGGAUCACACGACCUCAUUCAACUUCAUAAGUUUGAUUUCAUGCAGUUGAACACUGGGUGAAGGCCAUGACAAGAAUUGAUUAAAAAAUUCUACCACUGUUUUAAGUAAUGGAAGAUUAUUAUCUCUGAUUGGCACCACAACAGCACAUGCUGCUAGAUCUUUCUAGACACUCCAUGCAAUGAAAGUACAAUGGAUCUUGUAACGAUAGAAACUAAGCCAUGCUACAGUACUAGAUGACGAGGUAAAACUAUUAGACAUGGGUGGCAGCCUAUAUGGGAGGGACACAAGUCUAAUUGAUUUGCAUUUCAGCGUUCUAGAUGGGUAUGUUUUGGAAGAUUUGUUCUGGAAAUACCGCACCAAGUAGGAUUCUUUUUUCUCUUGAGUGGGUCCACUUGCAUGCCAAUUAUCGAGUUGAAAAGUAGAGCACCUACCUCGUGCUCGUGGAACCGAAGGUCAGUGAAGUGGGGCUCCUUUUGGCCUCUUGUGUUUCUGUUCCAACCAAGGCGGCGGAGGGAAAAACAGCAAUAUGUCUCCGCUAAAUAUCAACGCAUGAUAGCGAAUGAGGGAGAAAAAAAGUAAUUGGCAUCUCAAUCUCACAAACUUGGUACAGUAGUGACAUUAAUAGUCUUCCACAUGGUUUUUAUUUUAUUUUAUUUUAUAUUUUAUAUUUUCCAUUUUUUUAUUUUUUUGUAUGUCAAGGCUAAUGAAUAAAAUGCGUUAGCUUGUUUUGUGAUUGGAACUGCAAAUGUCCAAAUUGGAGUUUCUCCAUUUCUCAGUUCGGAUGGUUAACUUUAUAAACAAGAUAUAGGAAACAUGUGAACGUCUUGAGGAACAAUUCGAAUUAUUGAUUAGAACUCCUAGGUUGAGUUCCAAGAUUUAAAUCAGACCCCUCUAGCAGCUUCAGGGGUACCUAGCAAUUAGAACAUAUUAAUGAAGAUUUAGGAUUUAGACUCCGGAAUACAAAUUAAUAUGUAUCUUAUGCUCUGACUAGCUUCCCUGCAUAUGCACAAAAUGGAGAUGACCCAAAAAAUAGCAGAAUCGCCUUAGUUUAUGUGGUUAAGGUGAUUCUCCGGUUAAUAUCCACAUUGGCUCAUUAUGCAAAUCAACUGAGCUAUUUUUUUUUUAAUGUCAAAUAGGAACUCCUAAUUAACCUAACCAUUGGCCUGUGUAAAUUGAUUUCACAUGCACAAUGUUGUAGUAGAAGUCCACAUUUUGAAUUUUAUUUUUGGAAAGGUAAGGAAAAUGAAGCAUUGUGUAAUUAUAAAAAUAACUUCAUUGGAAUUCACAAGGUUCACCCAAAAUGGAGCUACAUCCGUAUUCUAUCUUACAGUAGACUAUAUAGAUUGUACAAUAGUAAAUUGCAAAUACAAUUAAUAAGUCUUGUGUUUCCUUACUAAUAAUCCUUUGACAUAAACAUUGCAGCACUAAGGUCCUCUUGGGCAGACACCUUGCACCCAUGAGAGCACUAAGAGGAAGCAAGGCGGAGUCAUGGGUGCAAUGUCAUGACUUGUUGCACUAAGAGAGGCUUGGUGAUGGCAUAGUGCUGCAGUAGCAAGAAUGUUGCCUUGGCAGGGACACGAUCUAGGGACAGAUGCCAAGAAAGGCUUAGCACUCACAUGAGUUGCACAAAGAUGAAUGAAAUAGAACAUCAAAGAGACAUCUUGGCAAGCUCAAGAAAGACAUGUGGGUUGGUAAAUGAAUGGAUGCAAGAGGCAACAACAUGAGGAGUUUCAAAUGGAUAGGGAAUGAGUCAAAGACAUUUGAAAGCUACAAGUUGGAUUCUAAUUACGAUUGCAAUUUGAGUUUGAGUAGGAGUUUAUAUUAUGAUUGUAAUUGUAGUAUGAGUUGGACUAGGAUUGCUUAUCCCUAGUCAAAAUAGGAGUUGUUCAUGCCACACCCUAUGAAAAGAGUUUGAGUAGGGACUAGGAUUGCUUGCUCCUAGUCAAAUAUGGAGUAGGUGGUGCCACACCUAUAAAAAAAAAAGGGACAACAUGAGAGAGAGAGAGAAUGAAUUCACCAAAGAUAUUGUGGGAGUUUUGCUUUGUUACAUCUUGUAUUAUUAUUUAGAAUAGUAAUAAAAUACAAGUUGGGGCUAGAGCCCCAUAAUCUCGUGUGCCUUUGUGGGUUAUUCUUUAUUUGCCAUCUCGUGUGGAUUGGAUUAGAUUGAUGAGGCGAAAUAUUAUGUGGGAAAUUUAUGUUGGGACACUUACCAUAACCAGGUAAAAUCUACCAAGUCUUUUGUAAUAUCUUCUACAAAUAUUUUAGACCAGUUCUUCACAAAACAUCAUAAUAUGUUUUGUGUUUCUCUUGGAUUUUGAGUUGAAUUGUCUUAGAUCAAUUGAAUGCAUCUCAAUAUUAUUAUCUUGUUUGAAGGCUUGAUGAUUUUCCAUUUAACUUUACUUUCUUUAGGUUAUGCUUGAUUCCUUAAAAGUACUAAGGAAAACAAAAAAUAAAAAAAAAUAAAAAAUGCAGAGGGUUAGGACAUGUGUUAUCUAAUUGUCCUAUCCAAAGAUAUUAAGAAAGUCAUGUAGGAAAGUAAUUGAAAACUAGGUCAAGAAAGGAGCAAAAGGGAAUUGUUUUGGUAUUUUCUUUUUUAUUCUUGAAGGUGGCAGAGCUAAAAUUUGAGAAAUCAAGCAAAACAUACUGAAAUUACAUUGAAAGAAAGAAAAUGGUAGUUAAUGUCUUGCAGUACAUGAUAAGGACUUCAUGCAUGUAGUGUGACGACCCAUGUCUUGGACUGAUGCCACACUCACGGUUACACUUAUACCCUUGGUUCUCUCUUUACUACCUUGGCUAACCUAGAUCAGGCUAUGAGAUAGGCUCCUCACCACACCAUCACUUGCCCAGUAAUUAGUGACAUUUUCAAGCAAUGAGGUAACAUGGUGACACCAAGAGGGUUUAUCCCUCGCCCCAACAAGUCUAGACUCGGUCUCAAAAAAAUGGAGAAAAAUGAGGUGUCGUUAUGCAGAAAUACAACAACCAUGCCUUCCUUAUUACUUAGAUUCAGAAUGUGAAGGUGAAAUUGAGAAACAGAAACUCUUGAAACCAGAAUGAAAAUUGAUACUUUUACGAAGAAUUACAACAUUAGAGGAAGACUACAUUCUUCCUCUAUAUUCCUACGUUUCUACACUACUUCUACUCCACUCCAUAUUUCUACAUACAUCUUUAAUCAGUUUUCCCUCCUUUAUAUAGAGCCAUCUUCACACAAAUUCCGCAAGGUAGAAAAGAGGAAUGAAACUUGGAGCAAGGUUCGACUACUGGUUGUCGCUUGUCAAGGCUGGAAUUGAACUUUUUUUCUUGGCUUUUCUGGGCAUAGGUAGUAACUUGUGGUUCCUUUUUGGAAUGAAAAUGGUACAGCUAGAACAUGUGGCACUCUCUUGUUGGAUUAUGUGUCAAACAUGUGGCAGCCAUCUAGUGGAGAUUAUUUCAAUUUUGGGAUGGAGAGUUGGCAUCCAAUUGCAAAGAAAUAUGACAUCUACCAACAUGCAAUGUAAACCUAUAUAGAUCAUAUGGAGAUAGAGAGGAAACAUAUAGAAAUGGAUAUAUACCUAGAACUAGCUUUUUAUUAAAUGAGACGGAGAGCCAACAAUGAAGGAAAAUCAAAAUUUUUGGCUCAUAUCAAAGAAUUCACAUUGUGUUACCCUAGGUUUUCUUAAAGCUUGCACAAAGCCAAAAAGCACACAAAAAAUUAUAUUUUCUAGCUCUCUACCUUGGAUGGUCUCUUGAUCCUACUUGGAGAUGUGCAUAAAUAAAAGGAUUUGAAAAUGACAAUUGACUAAGUAUGUAGUCAAUCAAUUACUCAUUAAUUGACUAGUUGAUCAAUUAACUUUGCAACAUCAUAUGCAAUCCUAAUAGCUAGUCAUCUAAUCAACUAGGUAGUAAAUCAAUAGGCCAAAAAUAUGUUUAUAAUGACUAUUUUGUACAAAAACCACCUAUAUGGUUAAAUAUAAUGCAUUUCAUUUAUAAAUCUUCUAAUUCUUGAAUAACGAUCCUAUCAUCCUUUGAAAGUUUUUAUUACACCUUUUAUACUUUUGUUCUAAAACUUACACAUGUACAUCACCCUUAAUUGUACCAUGAGAACCUAGCUUUUUUUUUUUUUUUUUUUGUAAUUCAUCAAAGUUAGCUUUUGUAUUCAUUACUGUACUAUUUUUAUUGUAACUUAGAAAGCGAGUGUUUUCAAGUGAGUGAAAUUGACUUAUAAAUAUUGUAAAGAUUCAUUGAUGUGUAUCUUAAACUAAGUGUACAAGUUGAAACAUUUGCUAGUAGAUUUUCUCAAGAUUUAGAAUAGAGCUUGAGGCUAUUGAAAUAGGUGGGGUUGCACCAAACCACAUCACAUUGUUGUUUGCACCUUUUUUUCACUCUCUUUUACUUAGUUGCUCUAUAUUUGUUGUCUAGUAAUAUCCUAUAGGCUUGAUGGGUUAGGGAGCAUCCCUUUGUGAAAAAUUUUCAUUCAAUCCUUAGUUGUAUCACGCAUAUAUAAAAUGCCUCAUUGUUUUAAUGGUAUUCAGUCGUGGCAUCACAGAUAUGGGCAUCUAAAUUUUAAAAGUUUGAAACUUUUAUCUAAAGAAAAUAUGGUGCUUUGCCUUUUUGUAAAGCAUGUUGAUGAAAUCCAUGAGAAUUGUGUACUUGGGAAGCAACAUCGAGAUGACUUUUUUUUUUUUCAUUUUUUAUAAUGCGACACCUAAGUCCGGUUUCUAAAUGCUGAAGUGAAAGGGUAGGUAUGGACCAUUGAAAUCUGAUCACAACUUUUGGCCUUUUCCUUUCUCUGCAGCCAUGUUGUCUCUUUUUUCUUUUGCAUGAUUUUCUUACCUAAACAGAAUCAUAGACUUGUUUAAUCUCUAAAUGGUAUUUCAUCCAGCUUUAAGCUACUGUAUUAUAUCUUGGUGGAGGACUUUUAAGAGUGAAACCGACAUAGAGCACAUGCAAGUGGGUAUAUGGGACAUGAAAUUUCUUCUUAUAAAGACUGCAUGGUUUUUAUAUUAGAGUUGUUGAGGCGCAAUGUAUUUAGCUUGUUUUGCAGUUAAAUUAAUUGGAUAAGUAGACAUUGUCGUUUCUAAAUUUCCCACCUAAGAUAGUGACCUUAUCCUUGACUGCUUGAUGAGAUACACAAACAAUUAUACCUUCAAAAUCUACUGUGAAGUGCUUCAUGUAUGUGUGAAGUAUUAGAAAUUUCUUUCUUGGCAACUUGUUUUUUCUUUGCCCUCUACUGAUAGGUUUGACUCAAAUUAAAUUCCCUGUCAUGCUAAUUAAUUUUCACGUGCAUGCUCAAAAGGAUCACGUCAACUCUGGUUUCUACUAUUCAGGUCCAUUCCCAGAUAAACUGGUUCAAAUUUGAGAAAAUGGCAACAGCCCUUUAGUGAUGUUGGUUUGGAGCCAGUAGCCAAACCCGCCCUGAGCUUUACCACUAAUGUCAAGGGACAAAGCCAUUUGAACAAAAACAAUAGCUUCAAGAGACUGAAUCGUGGAUGAAAUCUGAUCCACAUUUCUUCUCAUUUUGGGAACAAAUGAGAACUUAACUACAAAGAUUCUACUGCCUCAUAGUGCUUUUCCUGAUCUAAGGUUGGUUCGUUUCCCAAAUUGUGAGGUACGUGCCAUUCUCACGCUCAGGAGUGUAUCCACGUGGUGGACAUAAGAUGGUGGCUUAAUAUCUGGUGUCGGUGGCUUUACUUUACUAGGAGAGUAGUGUGUCUUCAUCUCAUUCACUGCCGGAGGGUGGCGUAAGCAGUGACGCUAAGGUGGGGCACAGUCAAUAUCAUUUGCAUUUGACCAUUAUAGUUUUCUCCCGGCUUGAAAGUAACCUUAUCGUGAUAAAGGAUUACUAGCACUAGUUCAGAUGACAGUCAUGUUAAAUUCGGACCAUGUUUGUGUCACAUUAUCAGCAACCAUGUGUUUAUGGUUCAUGCUAUCUGCAACUAAACUUGAUAUAUAACCACGUGAACUUCAAUCUAAAUUCUGGAAGUACUCUUGUGAUAGAUGGUGCCUGUCUGCAGAGUCCAUCAAUUGAAAAAUGGAGUGAGUGUAUCUAUAAGAGGGAAGGCUUGGCAAAUGUUCAGUUUUCUGGGAACUCAACAAGGAUCUAAAAUAGAUUGUUUUCUUUGCUGAUUUCAAUGGUUGAAAUUUGAGAAGAUUGUGUCCACAUAACACAACUAUUACUGGUCCUUCUGUUGCAAUUUAUCCUCUAAGGCUCUAACAUGUCUUCCAAUUCCCACUUCCCUGUUACUCCAGGAAAGCUAUUUCUGUCAUUGUGAAGAAGAAAAGAGAAUGUACAUAUCGAUGGUUUUAAGUGACUGGGGCAUUCAUAUCAGGUGGUCUGCAGCCAUAUAUGCCACUUUGUGAAGGUUGGAACAGUCAAUCACCAGGCUAUAUUAGUGUGGCCCAGCCACUUCAAUCAAGGACAAGUCUUCAUACUUAAAGUCAAAUUCUGCCUUUAGUCUCAUUAUAAAUUGCUGUUUAAAUAUUAAGCAAACAUUUGUUUAAUGCGAUUAAGACAGUACUAACUCAAUACUUGUUCUAUUUUUGGAUGCAAAUGCUUGAUGGUUUCAUCAUUGGAUGGGAUAAAGGUGCAUUCAUGAUUAUGAAUACUUGUAGUUAUAUUUUCAUUCUCUUUUUUCUCAAUGAGACUUGUUGGCACAAUUUUGCUGUUCAGAAACCUACCUCUCCAUCGAAAAUCAGUUGUGAUUGAUAGUACUGGAUAUAUUCAAGAAAGCUAAAUAUAGAUAGCACCAAAUAUUAUCGAUAUAAAUAGCAUUAACAGCGUACGUAUGUCUCAAUGCUCAUCAGCUAUAAGCAACGGGCAAACACUUACUAUGAGCAACUUGCGUCAAAAUUCCAGAAUAGGACAUAGAAGUGACAGAUCUAUAUAUAUAUAGAACACUGCAUAUGAGUCACAAGAAAGGAAAUUACGGGUGCAUAGCAGCUCUUAUUUUACAUCCUACUCAUACUGAUCAAAGUCACUCAGUUGGGAUGGGUGGGAGUAGGAGGUUUGUGGGGUGGCUUGUGCGGAGGAGUUGGCAGCUUCUUUCCAGGACCUGGUUGCUUCUCUGCUGGAGUUGAAGGAGGCUUAAUCUUCCGAGGUGGCUUGUAUGAGUCUUCAGCAUUCUCAGCAGGAGGGUGACCAGGGUUGUGACCAUAAUGUGGUGGCUUCUCUCCCUUAGGUGGUUUGCCAACUGGGGUUGGUGGCUUGUAUGAGUCUUCAGCAUUCUCAGCAGGAGGGUGACCAGGGUUGCGACCAUAAUGUGGUGGCUUCUCUCCCUUAGGUGGUUUGCCAACUGGGGUUGGUGGCUUGUGUUCUGGGAGUGGCUUCUCCCCCUUGGGAGGUUUUUCCAAUGGGGUUGGUUUGUGUUCAGGAGGUGGCUUCUCCACUGGAGGCUUGUGUUCAGGAGGUGGCUUCUCCACCGGAGGCUUGUGUUCAGGAGGUGGCUUCUCCACCGGAGGCUUGUGUUCAGGAGGUGGCUUCUCGAAUGGGGGAUGCUCAGGGUAAUCAGCAAGUGAGGGGUUGGUGAGAACCACCAUGCCAAGCAACAGGACUAGCAAGUAUGUAGGAGACAUCUUUGGGUUUGGACUUAAGACAGUGGAAAACUGCGAGAAUUCUCUAGCCUUUUAUAGCGGGUCGACCCAGUACUCACAUGACACGUGUCAUUAUGACACAUGUGCCAUGGGGUCGAUUUGGGUCCUACAGUGUUGAAAAGUUGGGCAUUUGAGGUGUGAGCACAACUUUUGGCCUUUGCUUUCUCUACAGCCGCCAUGCUUUUCCCUUUUUUCCUUUUCCUUUUGUUUUCCUCCUGCCUCGUGUUCUCAACUAAACACAAUUAGGUUGUUUAAUUGUUAAAUGAGAUUUUUGUCUGUCAAUCAUAUUAUAUCCUAUCAAGAGAGAACAGAGUGUAAUGUAGUACACAUAACACGAGGCAGUAGUAAUUUUAUCAUUUAUUUUUAUAGCUUGGACCACCGCAUUUUUUCUUCUAAAAUAUUCUGUCUUGUUAAGAGACGCAAUAAUACACAAUUUUAUCUGCCAUUCAACAUUUACUGUAAAGUUCUUUUAUCUCUUUGUAGUUCUAGAAAAGUACAAAAUGGAACAUCAUGUAUAUGGUGCCUUCUGUCCUAAAAAAGAAACUGGACAAAUUAUGAACUGCAUGCUAAAAAGAGGCAAAGGAGCUUAAUUCGCAGCAUAAUUAUUUUGGUUUCUAGAGAGCCCGGGGCCUUUUGGUUGGUUUGGGGUCAGAAAAUGAACAUCAUAGGGAUUGUGCCCUUAACUGGCCUUGUUACUACAAAGAAAUUGCCAUAGAAAUUUAUUCCAGGCUGAGUAUCUCCGGAUAGACCCCAGAAAAGAAGAGUCAUAAUGAGAAUCAACCUUUGUUGAGUUUGAUUCCAUGCCUCCAUUGUGUUCAUUUCAUGAAUCUGAUUUGCAUUUAACAUUACAGUUUUGUUCUGGAAACAAUCAAAGGAGCAUCGUUUGCUUCUUGGGUGACCCAUAGUGGUGGGUGGGUCGAUUUGCUUAGUUGAAAAUUGGACAAUUGGCUCCAUCGCCUACCUCUUGGAUUCCAUGCUCGGAUAAAACGACAACAAAUAAAUAUUUAUAACUUACAACUGGGGAAAGGAAAAAAUAGUACUAAAUUCAUGGUACAUGAUAGUGAGAGAAGGGGGUGUUACACUCAGCUAAAGUUCUUUUCUAAAUAUUGCAUGGUGUUUAAUUUUAUGUGUCGGCGCGCGUGUGAAUGGAACCUGCAAAAGUCCAAAUUGGCGUUUCUCCAUUUUCCACAUAGGAUGGUGACGUUAAUAGACAAAGAUACAAUAUCUGUAGACAUUGCUUAAAAAUCGAUGUGAAGUAUUAGAAAUUACAGGCCACUGUACUGGGGGAGCGGCUGCCCCGCCAAAGGAAGAAUGUAGCAAUUUCUUCUGUUAGCCAGGCCUUAGGAUUUAUGCAUGGGAUGCCUAAUAACAAACAGAGAAAAUAUGCUUUUGGGGAAGGUAUCCAACAACAGACACCAUCAUUCAGAUGGUGGGAAGGUAUCCAACAGAUGCCAUCAUUCAGAUGGUAACAUAUAUAUACAUUUAUUAGUGAGUUUUUUUAAUACCUAUAAAAAAAAUAUACACUUUGAUAUUGUGGCUGAAUCCAUUACAUACUCAACUAACCUUGCUCAUUAGGGAUUUGACGUAACAAGGGCAACGUUGCAGUAAAAGCUCGAAACUUUAUGCAGGUGACAUUACAUUUGGUAAAGAAGAGGAAAAUAAGGAAAGCCAUCCAUAAAAGCAAAAUUCCUCAUGGGAUGAAAUUCACAAACUUCAUUUACGUUAGAGUCGCAUCCAGGCAAUUAAUUCCACAUUAGACCGCCUUUUGACAUGUGUACGGAUCUUUUUUCAAAAAUUAUUUAUAAAUAAUUGAUACUUACAAAAAUAAUUUAAGAUUUAUAAAGGAUAAAAAAAUAUUUUCAAAUCUAUGACAAUUUAUAAAAUAUUAAUAAAAAAUUAUCUCUUAAACUUAGUAUAGUUUUAUCGUAUUAAACUUUUAUUUUGAACAAAUAAUUUUAAUCUAAGUUUUAAAUUCUAAAAUUAUUUCCUUAAAAUAAAAUUUUAAAAUUCAACACUUCAAUUGAAAUUGUCUUUUAAAAAAAAUAUCUUCUUAUUUUAAUCCUUAUAAACUAUAGUUGAUUGAAAAUACUAUUGAAGUUCUCUCUUCAAAAAAAGUCUUAUUUUAAUCUUCAUAAAUUGCCCUUGAUUUGAAAAUAAACUUUGGGUUAUCAUAUUUUAAAUAAUAUAUAUAUAUAUAUAUAUAUAUAUAUAUAUAUAUAACAAAUACUCUAUUUUUUUUUUAAAUGAACUAAUUUUAAUUAUAUUUUAUUUUAUUUUUUUAUAUAUUUUUAAUGAUAAACCAAACAUAGAAAAUCAUUUUUCUAAAUAUUUUAAAAUUUCUAAGCAACCAAACAUAAUCUUCAAAAUAAAAGGAGAAUAAGGAGGGACAAGUGAGAAAUGGCGAUUAAAAAAAAGUGUACAAAAGCUCAAUUAAUUUUCUUCUAGUCUUUUAUAUAAAAAAGUAUUGGUAUGUAAAUUAAUAUUUGGAUUUUAAUAGUAUUUUAUUUGUCUUUCUCUAUCUCAUGUAAAAGAGAAUUUAAGAUAUUUCCUAAAGCAAAGCAUUAGUUAUCUGCAAUCAGUGGUGAUCAUGGUCCAUGUCAAUUUCGGACCCAUAUCUUAAAACCGUAUAAUUUGCGUUUCAACAUUACUGAUUUCUCAGAUGUUUCAUACUCCACAGAAGAGUAUUGUUAGUGAAAGCAUUUUGUAACUGUUACUCAUAGUGUUUUGACUCUGGCUCAACAACAUCAGCCAUUGACGGAUUUUCAUACAUGCAAAUCAAAUAGUCUUCUUCCUCCCUUAGGAAUUUCGGUUUAAAUGUUAUUAAGCAUACAUUUGGCUGACAAUUAUUAACCACUUCAUGAUAUGGUUUCUUACCCUUAAUCAAUGGUUUCUAAGUGAAUAUAUGCAGAAGGAAAUCUGAACUGUAGACAGCAGUAUUGAUAACUCUCAAUAUUCUUUAUAUAAGAGAAUAAACAACGUCAUAGUGAUCGUCGCCUACAAGAAAGGUACAUUUCCCAACAAGAUGUAGUGGUGACUGCUACAUGGACGCAAUUAACUCGUAGAAAAGGAUAAGACCAGUGCACGGCAGCUCUUAUUUUACAUGCUAAUUAUGCUAACCAAAGUCACUCAGUUGGGAUGGGAGGGAGAUGGAGGUUUGUGCGGUGGCUUGUGGGGCGGAGUUGGUGGCUUCUUUUCAGGAGCUUGUGGCUUUUUCGGAGCUGAAGGAGGCUCAAUCUUAUGAGGCGGCUUGUACGAGUCUUCUUUACUCUCGACAGGAGGGUGACCAGGGUUGUGACCAUAAUGUGGUGGCUUCUCUCCCUUAGGUGGCUUGCCAACUGGGGUUGGUGGCUUGUGUUCAGGAAGUUGUUUCUCUCCCUUGGGAGGUUUACCAAUUGGGGUUGGUGGCUUGUGUUCUAGGAGUGGUUUCUCUCCCUUGGGAGGUUUAGUGGGUGACUUGUGUUCUGGAGGUGGCUUCUCCACCGGAGACUUGUGUUCUGGAAUUGAUUAAAAAAAUUCUACCACUCUUUUAAGUAAUGGAAGAUUAUUAUCUCUGAUUGGCACCACAACAGCACAUGCUGCUAGAUCUUUCUAGACACUCCAUGCAAUGAAAGCACAAUGGAUCUUGUAACGAUAGAAACUAAGCCAUGCUACAGUACUAGAUGACGAGGUAAAACUAGUAGACAUGGGUGGUAGUUGAUUACUACUCAAAAAGUACUCUUUUAUAGUUUGAAACUAACUGUUUUAAACACUUUUGAGUAGUAGUUAAUAAAUUUUAACUCAAUUGGCACAUUAAGGAACCUAGCAAGGGUUACUAAUAAACUUUUGGCAAGUUUUGGUGUUUUUGGUAGUUAUUCGAUCAUUGAAACAAGCCAAGAAUGAGGGAGAAUUUUGUGAAGUCCAUGGCAAUGCAAGUUAAAGCUCAAAUACACGAAGAAUCCAAGCUUUGGAGCACUACAUAGCCCUUUGCCAAGCCAAUUAGAGAUGCAAGGAACAAAACCAAAGGAAGAAAUCCAACAACCAACAUUUUCGCAUGGUUGUGUGAAAUUUCGCACACCAUGCGAAACCACAAGAGGUAGCCAAAGAAUUUCACAUGGUAUGCGAAAUCUUCUCAUGCACCGACUCCGUUAGAUUUUUAUCUUCAGAUAUUUUGUGUAAUUUCCUAGUUUCUCCUUGUAACCAACCUAGAUAUUUUCUUUUAUAUCUUUUUUUAUAUUUUUUAGGUAACAUCAUAUAUAAGGGGAGAGACAUAAGGAGGAUAUGGAUGUUUUUCAUAGAACACUUGUAAAUUUUCAGUAGUAAGAAAUAUACAAAGCUUUUUGCUAUGCCUUACCUUCUCAUUUUGUUUUCACCUGUCUUUCUAGCCAAACAACCUCUAAGGAUGAUUUCUCAGGGGAUGAGUGGCUAGGUUUUACGUUUCUUGGAGUGAGGGAAGCUAGGUGAAGGACCUGAAUGCAAAGAUGAGAGUUUUCCUUGCUUUAAAUGAAAGUAGUUGUUAAACAUUAAUGGUUUUUAUUUUAAGGUUUAGCUUUAAAUCCCUUAAAAACACCUUGAAUGACCAAUACUUGGUAAGCUUUUCGGAUUCUAUGGAUGCUUAUUGCUAGAUCCAUGGAUGUCUAUUAGUUAUCAUUUACGAGCCUUUGGAAGGUGAUUCAAGGUGAGGGUCUUUAGUGUUUGAAGCCAUUAAUGGGAAGCAAUUACCAUUUUUUCAUGAAUCCUUUGGAUCAAAUCUUAAUUGCUAAAUAUAAAACCGAUUUGGGAAAUAACCAUCCUUUAUGUUAUUAUCCCCAACGCAAGGAGAAGAUCCGGAAUCUUCCCUUUUGUCUAAGGAACCCGAUCCUAGUGACCUAAAGCUCCAAGAGACCUUUUCUUUGUAGUUAACUUCAUUUAUUGUUUUUGCUUAACUUAAAAUCAAUCUUUGCAACCACAAUUCCAUUUUCUUUAAAAGCUAAUUUUUAUAAGGAAAAACACCAUUUUAUUUCCUUCACUAAGUCAACUGUACGAUGAAAACCCAUCCCUGUGGACGAUCCUAGAGCCAUUAUACUAUGUUAGCUAUGCUACCCUAGUGUGAGGUGAUUUAGGUUUUAUAAAUUUUGUUGAUAACACCCAUCUGAGCCAGAAUCAAAUGGCACAACUGAACCAGGGACGAAUCAAAUGGCGCCGCUAUCGAGGAUGGUGCCAAAGUACAUUGACAUGACUUUUGGUGAACACUUGUGAUCUUCAUCACAAGUUUGGUGAUUUUUCUAUUACUAAUUUUUUUCUUUGUUUUUAUUUUAGCUUAUCUUUUAUUUAGUUUUUAGCUAACCUUAACUUUUUCUUAGAAUUGUAUUUCUUCUAUUUUCUUUGUUUUUGUUUCAGUGAUCUUUAGUUGUGCAUGCCCUAUUGGAUAAGAAAUAUUGAGGGAAUACUUGUGAAGAUUGAAAAUCCUCGAGAAACUGAGUUGGAAGUGUGAUUGAACAUCAUGGAUGUUCCACCUGAAGACCAGAAUAGCCAACAUGGUUAAGAGGAUAAUUUCAAAGCAUACCGAUCCAUGAGGGACUGCAUGCAUCCACCUCGUAUGAGUGCACCGUCAUGCAUAGUGCCUCCCACUGAGCAACUAGUAAUCUGACCUCACAUUGUGCCACUCCUACCUACUUUCCAUGGGAUGGAGAGUGAGAAUCUCUACUCGCAUAUUAAGAAAUUCGAGGAGGUUUGUAAUACAUUCCAAGAAGGAGGAGCUUCAAUUGACUUGAUGAGGCUCAAGCUAUUUCCUUUCACUUUGAAGGAUAAGGCUAAGAUUUGGCUUAAUUCUUUAAGGCCAAGGAGUAUCCGAACUUGGACUAAUUUGCAAGCCGAUUUUCUUAAGAAGUUCUUCCUUACCCAUAGGACCAAUGGUUUGAAAAGGCAAAUUUCGAACUUCUCAGCUAAAGAGAAUGAGAAAUUCUAUGAGUGAUGGGAGAGGUACAUGGAAGCUAUUAAUGCUUGUCCUCACCAUGGCUUUGACACAUGGCUCUUAGUGAGUUAUUUUUACGAUGGUAUGUCUUCUUCAAUGAAGCAACUCCUAGAAACUAUGUGUGGAGGAUACUUCAUGAGUAAGAAUCCGAAGGAAGCCAUGGACUUUUUGAGUUAUGUGGCUGAAGUUUUAAGAGGAUGGGAUGAACCAAAUGCUAGAGAGGUGGAAAGAAUGAAGUCUCAACCUAAUGCUAAGGGUGGGAUGUAUGUUUUGAAUGAAGACAUUGACAUGAAAGCAAAGGUUGUAGCUAUGGCAAGGAGAUUGGAAGAGCUAGAAAUGAAGAAGGCACAAAAAGUGGAAGCCAUUUCUGAGACAUCAGUGCAAGCUAUGCCUUGUUCCAUUUGUCAACCUAAUGCUAAGGGUGGGAUGUAUGUUUUGAAUGAAGACAUUGACAUGAAAGCAAAGGUUGUAGCUAUGGCAAGGAGAUUGGAAGAGCUAGAAAUGAAGAAGGCACAAAAAGUGGAAGCCAUUUCUGAGACAUCAGUGCAAGCUAUGCCUUGUUCCAUUUGUCAAUCUUAUGAGUACCUAGUGGAGGAGUGUCCUACAAUUCCAGUAGUGAGAGAGAUGUCUGGUGAUCAAGCAAAUGUUAUUGAUCAAUUCAAGCCUAAUAAAAAUGCUUCAUAUGGCAACACCUACAAUUCAAAUUGGAUGAACCAUCCAAAUUUCUCUUGGAAACCAAAGCUACCUCAAUACACACAACCUGCUCAAGCACCUUAGCAAUCCUCGAAUCUUGAACAAGCUAUUGUGAACCUUAGUAAGGUUGUGGGAGAUUAAAAGUCCAUCAAUGCUCAACUGAAUCAGAGAAUUGACAGUGUAGAGAGUACAUUGAACAAAAGGAUGGAUGAGAUGCAAAAUGAUCUGUCUCAAAAGAUAGACAAUGUCCAAUAUGCAAUCUCAAGGCUUACCAACCUCAACACAGUGCAAGAGAAAGGAAAGUUUAUUUCUCAACCUCAUCAAAAUCCCAAGGGUAUCCAUGAAGUGGAGGCUCAAGAGAGAGAAUCUUCAAAGGUGAGGGAAGUCAAAGCAGUUAUCACCUUGAGGAGUGGUAAAGAGGUUGAUCAACCCACAUCCAAGCCAAAGCAUAAUGAAGAGAGUUUUGUAGAAAAAGAAAAGAGAGGAAAAUAAAGGAAAGAGAAUAGAGAAAAGUACAAAGAAAGAUGACCAUGAGUCUAGUGUGGAUGAAGAGCCCAAGAGGAUAGUGAUCAAGGAAAAUAUGAUGAAGAAACACAUGCCUCCACCUUUCCCCUAAGCUUUGCAUGACAAAAAAGGAACCAAUAAUACAUCGGAAAUUUUUGAAGUAUUGAGGCAAGUGAAGGUCAAUAUCCCUUUGCUAGAGAUGAUCAAACAAGUGCCGACAUAUGCAAAAUUCUUGAAGGACUUGUGCACUGUAAAGAGAGGGUUGAAUGUGAACAAGAAAGCUUUCUUGACCGAGCAAGUGAGUUCCAUCAUACAGUGCAAGUCUCCAGUGAAGUACAAAUAUCCGGGCUACCCUACCAUCUCAGUGAGUAUUGGAGGUACUUGUGUGGAAAAAGCUUUGUUGGACUUGGGAGCAAGUGUGAAUUUGCUACCCUACUCUGUCUAUAAGUAGUUGGGACUUGGAGAGUUGAAGUCAACAUCCAUCACCCUAUCUCUGGCAGAUAGAUCAGUGAAGAUUCCAAGAGAGAUGAUAGAAGAUGUCUUGGUUCAAGUUGACAAAUUCUACUAUCCAGUGGAUUUUGUUGUUCUUGAUACGGAUCCGAUUGUCAAAGGAACUAAUUAUGUUCCUAUCAUACGAAGACCCUUCCUAGCUACAUCAAAUGCAAUCAUCAAUUGUAGGAAUGGAGUCAUGAAACUCACGUUUGUCAACAUGACAUUAGAGCUCAACAUCUUCCAUUUGUACAAGAAGCAUAUCCAUUCAGAAGAAAAAGAAGGUCUAGAGGAAGUGUGCAUGAUUGACACUUUAGUGGAGGAGCAUUGUGAUCGACAAUGCAAGAAGAUUUAGUUGAGAGUUUUGGGGAUCUUGAUGAAGGGUUACUUGAACCCUCAGAUUUGCUUGCUACCCUACUCCAUUGGAGGAAGAGAGAAGAAAUUCUACCCUUAUUCAAUGAGGAGGAGACACAAAGAGCUGCUAAAGAUAAGCCCCCAAAGCUUAUUCUUAAGCCACUACCCACAGAGUUGAAGUAUGCAUACUUGGAAGAAGACAAGAAGUGCACUGUUGUUAUAUCUUUAGCUCUUACCAUUCAUCAGGAGGAUUGUCUACUUGAAGUCCUUAGAAGAAGUAAGAAGGUAAUAGGGUGGCAAAUUUCUGAUUUGAAAGGGAUCAGCCCUUUUGUCUGCACCCAUCAUAUUUACAUGGAGGAUGAAGCUAAGCCAAUUCAUCAACCUCAGAGAAGGUUGAACCCUCACAUGCAAGAAGUGGUGAGAGUUGAAGUUCUUAAGCUACUUUAGGCUGGUAUUAUUUACCCCAUAUCAGAUAGCCCAUGGGUGAGUCCUACUCAAGUUGUGCCAAAGAAGUCGGGGAUCACGGUGGUGCAAAAUGAUAAGGGAAAAGAUGUCUCUACAUGUCUCACUAUAGGUUGGAGGGUGCGUAUCAAUUACAGGAGGUUGAAUGUAGUGACAAGGAAUGACCAUUUCUCGUUGCCCUUUAUUGAUCAAGUGCUUGAGAGGGUCUCUGGGCAUCCUUUUUAUUGUUUCUUGGAUGGCUACUCGAGGUAAUUUAAGAUAGAAAUUGAUGUUGAAGACCAGGAGAAGACCAUUUUCACAUGCCCAUUUAGAACCUAUGCAUAUAGGAGAAUGUCUUUCGGCUUAUGCAAUGCACCCACAACUUUCCAAAGAUGCAUGUUAAGCAUUUUCAAUGAUAUGGUGGAGCAUAUUAUGGAAGUCUUUAUGGAUGAUAUCACCAUAUAUGGAAGUGCAUUUGAUGAAUGCUUGGUCAACUUAGAAGUUGUUCUGAACCGAUGCAUUGAGAAAGACUUAGUGCUUAAUUGGGAGAAGUGCCAUUUCAUGGUACACCAAGGGAUUGUCCUUGGGCACAUCAUCUCCAAGCAAAGCAUUGAAGUUGACAAAGCAAAGGUUGAACUCAUUGUUAAGUUGCCAUUCCCAACAAAUGUCAAAGGAGUAAGGCAAUUCCUUGGCCAUGCCGGGUUCUAUAGGAGGUUUAUCAAGGAUUUCUCUAAGCUUGCAAGGCCUCUUUGUGAAAUAUUGGUGAAGGAUGUUAAAUUCAUAUGGGAUGAUAGAUGCCAAAGGAGUUUUGAAGAAUUGAAGCUAUUUUUGACAACCUCACCAAUAGUGAGGGCUCCCAACUAGCAACUGCCCUUUGAGGUAAAGUGUGAUGUCAAUGACUUUGCUAUAGGAGCUGUUCUUGGGCAAAGAGAAGAUGGAAAACCUUAUGUGAUCUACUAUGCGAGCAAGACAUUGAAUGAGGUGCAAAGAAACUACAUAACCACCGAGAAAGAAUUGUUAGCUGUAGUUUUUGCCUUGGAUAAGUUUCGUGCUUACUUGGUGGGAUCCUUCAUCGUGGUUUUUAUUGAUCACUUUGCUUUGAAGUAUCUAUUGACUAAGCAAGAUGCUAAAGCAAAACUGAUUAGAUGGAUUUUCUUGCUUCAAGAGUUCAAUCUCCAGAUCAAAGACAAGAAAAAAAUGGAGAAUGUGGUAGUAGACCACAUUUCAAGGCUAGCUAUCGCACAUAAUUCCCAUGCUUUGCCCAUUAAUGACGAUUUUCUAGAGGGGUCUCUCAUGUUGGUGGAAGUUGUCCCUUGGUACGCUCACAUUGCUAACUACCUGGUCACAAGAGAAGUUCCAAGUGAGUGGAAAGCACAAGAUAAGAAGCACUUCUUUGCAAAAAUUCAUGCCUACUAUUGGGAAAAGCCAUUUCUAUUCAAGUAUUGUGCGGAUCAGAUAAUAAGGAAGUGAGUUCCUGAAGAAGAGCAACAGGGGAUCCUCAGUCAUUGCCAUAAAAAUGCAUGUGGAUGCCACUUUGCUUAUCAGAAGACAACCAUGAGGGUGCUGCAAUCGGGUUUCUGUUGGCCAUCACUUUUCAAAGAUGCCCACACCAUGUGCAAGAGUUGUGAUCGAUGCCAGAGGCUUGGGAAGUUAUCAUGUAGGAACAUGAUGCCUUUGAACCCCAUUUUAAUAGUUGAUCUUUUUUAUGUUUGGGGCAUUGACUUCAUGGGACUUUUCCCUAUAUCUUUUGGCUACUCUUACAUCUUGGUGGGAAUAGAUUAUGUUUCUAAGUGGGUUGAGGCAGUCCCAUGCAAACACAAUGACCAUAGAGUGGUUCUCAAGUUUCUUAAGGAGAACAUCUUCUCAAGAUUUGGGGUGCCCAAAGCCAUAAUUAGUGAUGGGGGUACUCAUUUUUGCAACAAGCCUUUUGAAACUCUCCUAGCCAAGUAUGGGGUGAAGCAUAAGGUAGCUACACCUUACCACCCUCAAACUAAUGGGCAAGUUGAGUUAGCAAACAAGGAGAUUAAAAACAUAUUGAUGAAGGUGGUGAACACAAACAGAAAAGAUUGGUCAGUCAAGCUCUUCGAUUCACUAUGGUCAUGUAGAACAGCUUACAAGACCAUUAUCGGGAUGUCUCUUUAUCACCUAGUCUAUGGAAAAAAUGCCAUCUCCUUGUGAAAUUGGAAUACAAAGCUUGGUGGUCAAUCAAGAAGCUCAACAUGGAUUUGAGCAGAGCUGGGUUGAAGAGGUUCUUAGACCACAAUGAGAUGGAGGAAUUGAGAAAUGAUGCCUACAUCAAUUCAAAAAUUGUAAAAGAAAAAUUGAAGAGGUGGCAUGAUCAGUUGAUUUCCCGCAAGAAUUUUCAAAAUGGAUAAAGAGUCUUGCUCUAUGACUCUAAACUCCACAUCUUUCCGAGCAAGCUGAAAUCAAGGUGGAUAGGUCCUUUUACCAUUCACCAAGUGCAUUCAAAUAGAGUAGUGGAACUACUCAACUCCAACAACAUCGGGAGCUUCAAAGUGAAUGACCAUUGUCUCAAGCCCUUUGUAGAGUCUUUUUUCUCGCGACAAGGAGGAAUUCAUCCUCCUUGAUCCACAUCAAGCUUGACAAGACCAGUUUUUUUUUAUGGACUUAGUCUUUCUAAAGACUAUCGAGUCCAUAACUUUUUAUUUUAUUUUUUAUUUGAGAGUUUUUCGGUAUUAUUACUUGUUUUGUUUUUUAUUUUUCGUUUUACUUUUAUUUGGUUUGAUUUAACUUAGAUUUUUUAUGAUCAAUUGCAGGGGGGAUUUCAAAUAGAGGAAAAACCAAGAUAAUUCGCACACCCUGCGAAAAUUUCGCAAGGCAUGCGAAAUUUAUGGCUCAUUUCGCAUGGGAUGCGAAAUUUCGCACACCCUACGAACCAAUUUCGCACACUUUGUGAAAAUAAACCAACCCUACGAAAUCAUUUCAAAUACUCUACGAAAUUUUCGCAGAGCAUGUAAAAAAUUUCGCAGACCAAACACCAUUUCGCAUACUAUGCGAAAAUGUAAGGGGUCUACAAAACCAUUUCGCACCUCCAAAGCCAUUUCGCACAUUGUGCAAAAAUGAAAAGUCGCCCUAUCAUCCAUUUUUAAACCCCUUGAGCCCUGAAAUCCCCAUUUCGCAAGCACCCCUGUCCUUGCGAAUCCCUCAUUUUCCUCUGCCACCUUGCGACCUUGUCCCUCUCCAUUUGAUAUCGUGCCCUGCGCACAUCUCAUUUCAAAGACUCGCACUCUGCGCCCUCUCAAAGCACGAACCCAAGGCUCACAUUCCAUUUCCGACAUGGCACAGACCCGAGGAGCCCUUCCCGCCCCUUCAUCGAGACGCACACCAAGGUAGAGAGCCUCUUUUGCUCAGAUGCCAAGUGAUUCUCCAUUUCAGGCCACGGAGGCCCUGCGGAUUCCACAUUCCAAGGGUAGAACAGCCACUGGUCCUUCCUCUUCUAUUCCUCAGCGUAGAUAUGAGACGAGGAGACCACCUACUACACAAAGGGCGACUACUUCGCGCCAUGAGAAUUCGGUACGACACCCUCCUGCCAAGAGGGCCAGGACUUCAGGCCCAGGCGAGUCAUCCAAAGCUUCACAGCCUGAGCCUCCUGCAGAUUCCGAGGUUCCUACUGACAUAUCAUCGGAGUCUAUUAUCAAACGCCCGAUGCUCACAGCACCGCCCAUUGAGGGCAACUCUGAUUGUAGAGCGAGACCUUUCCACUUGGAGCUAUAUUUUAAUUAAGAGGCCAUGCCACAGCAGCCUGAGCUCCAAGACUCUUAUGGCUUACUACAGAGGUACCAUCUUGAGGACCUUAUGACUCCUCGUGAGUUCUUUUAUCCCAGAGUAGCACUAGACUUUUACCAGUCCAUGACUACUCGUGGCGUCCCGAGUCCUACCGCGAUGCACUUCACCAUUAAUGGACGUCAUGGUAUCCUCGAGGCCAGACAUAUUGGAGAGGCUCUACAGAUUCCUUUCGAGCUAGAGGACCCAUCUGUUUUCUGCCAAUGGUCCCCAAUAUCUCAGAGGGACAUGGUCCAUAUUUUAUCCAGGGGGACAUCUACAUAUUCGAUCCUUCUACGGAAGGAGCUUCGACCUGGGAUACUCCUCGUAGAUGUGGUGCUACUUUCCAACCUCUUUCCCUUUUAGCAUUCGAUACAUAGGCGAGGAGCUAUUUUGGACGCUUUAUUCUGUAUAUCAGAGGGCUUCUACUUUGGCCCGCACCACUUGAUCAUGGUUUCCCUCAUCCAUUUUGAGGAGAAGGUCCAUAGAAAGAAGCUUCAGAGGGCGAACACCAUUCCAUUACUAUUCCCGAGGUUGCUCUACUAGAUCUUGGAGUACAUGGGCUUUCCUACUGAGCCUCGGCUUGUGUGCCGCCGCCUUUGUCAAGAGCGAUCCACUCUCGACAAAUGGAAUCAGUUGGCGGGCUAUUCUACACCUCCAGGAGCCCCUCCCAUGGUAGCACCUCUAGUGUCCCCACAGGCAGAGUAGGGCAAGCUCCCGGUAGAGACUGCACCCCUAGUGCCCACACCUGAGGCUACUUCUGCUGUUCCGCCUACGACUCCUACUGUUCCACCAGUUGGUCCUUUUACAUCUGAGUCUUCCAUCAACAUCUCGACUUCGGAGUUUCGCGCCCUUGUGCAUACCUUUCAGACACUCACCACCACACAUACUGCUCUCUUCUAGAAAAUGGCUGAGAUGCGUGCCCAUCAGGACCAGCAGACUACUAUACUCCGCCAAAUUCAACAGCACCUGGGACUUCUGCCUCUGCCUCAGCUUGACCUUCCCACAUCAUCAGAGCCUCUAGCUCCAGUUGAGGAUACUAUUCCACCUGAGGACACUACCACAGUAGAGGUUCAGAUUCCACCACCUCAGGAGGCCACCACAGCUACAUUAGAGGAUGCAUCAUCUCCACCUGAGGCUCCCACUACUUGAUCAUAGGACAUCUCUUUAUCUUAUUGUAUUUACAUAUUAUAUUACUGGAGAUUUGUCUUUGUUUUGAUACUUUAUAUUCUGGCAUUGAAUGUAUUGCCUAAUGAUAUCUCAAUUGUACUUUCUCAUAUUAAUAUAUAGACAUCAAUUUUUUUUAGUAUACUUAGGAUUUUUCUAUUUACUCUACUCAUUACUCUUUUGUUUUUUUUUUUUUACUCAUGUGGUUUCUCCUAUACGACUCAGACUCCAUUUCACUCAGGAGGUACCACUUCUUCCCUUUAUUUUCAAUUGCUCUUGAAACAUUGAGGGCAAUGUUGAUCUUGGUUGGAGGGAGAGUUGAGGAAGGAAGUGAUUACUACUCAAAAAGUGCUAUUUCAUAGCUUGUAAUUAACUCUUUUAAAACACUUUUGAGUAGUAGUUAUCACCUUUUAACCCAAUUAACAUAUUAAGGACCCUUGCAAUCAAUUCUAAUCAAAUUGUGUUAAGUUUUGGUAUUUUGAUAGCUUUUUUAUCACCAAAGCAAUCCGAGAUUGAGGAUAUUUAUUUGGAAUCCAUGGCAAAAGAUGUUUGGACAGGACGUCCGGACACACCAUCGGAGGGCGGCGGAACGUGGGCUGUGGCAGGCUGUCGGAAUGACGUAGCAAGGCUUGUGCACUUUAGCCAAUGAUCGGGAUAACAUAUCCGAAAUUCUGCUCCGCCGACAUUCCACCCGGAUGUCUCACAUCCGGAAUUCUGCUCCGCCGACAUUACACCCAGAUGUCUCACAUCCAAAAUUCUUCUCCGUCGACAUUCCAUCCGAAUAUUUCACAUCCGACGCUUGACGCCGGAUGGGAGAGGAGGGCGUUUCAACUUCCCCGGUCAGACAUAUCCGAAUCCUUUGAUAACGCUUACCCGGAGAGUUUCGCAGCCAUUUUGCACAGUGCCGCGGUGUUCUCUUGAAGCUUCCCGAUAUGUGCGACCGACAUUUUGAGAUAUUUUGCUUUAGAUAUUUGAUGUCUAAAUCCCCAAACUCUCCUUGUAACCCACCAAUUAUAGGAUUCCUUAGUUAUUAAGUUUGGAAAAAUGGUGAAUAACCCCUUAUAUAUAGUUUGCAAUUUUCAUAAAAAAGAUAUGUAGAAUCUCGGGAGCUUGUUCCCAGAGAGACGCAUCCUUUGUACAGUUUUGGAAGGAAGUAAAAUACAGAGCACUUGCUCUGCUUUUCAUAUAUAUUUUUGUUUUCUCGUUCUUUUUAUUUCUAGCCAAUCAAAGUCUGAGGAUUUUUCCUCAGAGGAUGAGAGGCUAGGCUCUUCGUCUCUUGGAGUGAAGAAAACUAGGUAAGUUUCCACAUGCAUAAAUUGAAAGUUUUGUUGUUUUAGUUUUUAAUGAAGAGAAAGUGUGACCCGUUAAUGGUUUUUAUCUUUUUAGUUAACUUAAAACGCCUUUAAAUCACCCGGGCCAACACUUGAUAAGGCAAGUGGUCUCCAUCCAUUGAGAUGCACUAGUUUAUCUCUUGCGAGCCUUUGGGAGGUGGUUUGAAGGUAGGAUUUUCUAGAAUAACCAACACUUGAUAAGCUUUUGGACUCUAAGGAGACAUCCAUUAGUUAUCUCUUGCGAGCUUUUGACGGGUAAUCCAAGGUUAAAGAUCACCUUGAAUGGCAAGUACUAGGUGAGAGGUAUGAGCCAUUGCAAGAUGCAUUAGUGAGAGGGAUUUAGUGUUUGAACCCAUUAAAGGGAAGCAUCUGUACCACACCGGUUCGGGAAAUAACUAUAUGUUAAAUCCCCAAUGAGAGGAAAAGAAACAAGUGACCGGAACUCCCUUUUUGUAUAAGGAACCUGAGCCUAGUGAUCUAAACUCCAAGAAACACUUUUCUUUGUAAGUAAAAUCAGUUACUAUUUUUGGUUAGUUUAAAACCAAACCUUUUUCAUUCAAACAUCUUUAUGUUUUCUUUUAAAGCUAACCUUGAAAUGAAAAGGCACCAAUUCAUAUUUGAAUUAAUAUCAAUUGUGAAGUGAAAACCCAUCCCAGUGAACGAUCCUAGAGCCACUAUGCUAUAGUAGCUUUGUCUUUGCUACCCUAGUUCAUGGUUUAAUAGGUUAUAAAUUUUGUUGAUUACUCCCACAAUCAAAGGAGCACCAGUUGGACAUGAAUCAACUGAGACACUAAUUGGGCACAAAUCAGGAAGUUUUGUUAAUAAUGCUAGGUUAAUUUGUUAAUUUAGUUACUUUCUGCUUAAUUUUAAAAGUUUUCACUUUACUUUCCAUAGUUAUUAAGGAAAAAUUCUCAAAAUGAAAUGGGAGAAAUUGAAUUCUUACAUUUUUACUUGAAUUUUAGAAUUUGUAUUAUGCUUAUUGAAGCUGAUGAAUUAUUGAAACUCCUAUUGAAUUCAACCUUAUUUCUUCCACUUUAAUCUUACCACACACGGUGCACAUUAGGUUCCGAUUAUAAGAGGUGCGUUCUUAGCCUAUUGGAGGUUGGUCAAUUUGUUAAAGUUUGAGAAAGAUCUAGGUUAGGGGAGAGAGAAUAGUCUGACAUACUAUAAUCGAAAACUAAUAAACUUAACACUUAGAUCUUUGUGGAAGAGUAAGGAUUGGACCUUUGGGAGUGGAAAUUCGUUUGAUGCUUAAAUUUGCAUAAUGCUUACACUUUAUAAAUUGUGAUUAGGCAAGAGAUUUGAUGACUCUUGUUCAAGGUUGGGUUUUGCCUCUUUGAUGUUCCAUGAGAGAGUAUAAUCCUCAUCAUGCCACUUGAAAUUUUUUUUGGAGUGAUUAACAUGAUUUUGUAAAUUACUUUACUGUCUAUUUUUUUUUUAUCUCUCCUUCAUUGCUAAUGGACUAGCAAUAUGUCAGUUGAGGGGAGUGAUUACUACUCAAAAAGUACUCUUUUAUAGCUUGAAACUAACUGUUUUGAACACUUUUGAGUAGUAGUUAAUACCUUUUAACUCAAUUGGCACAUUAAAGAACCUAGCAAGGGUUACUAAUUAGUUUUUGGCAAGUUUUGGUGUUUUUGGUAGCUAUUUGAUCAUUGAAACAAGCCAAGAAUGAGGGAGAAUUUUGUGAAGUCCAUGGCAAUGCAAGUUAAAGCUCAAAUACAUGAAGAAUCCAAGCUUUGGAGCACUUCAUAGCCCUUUCCAAAGCCAAUCAGAGAUGCAAGGAAGAAAACCAGAGGAAGAAAUCCAACAAUUAGCAUUUUCGCAUGGCUGUGCGAAAUUUCGCACACCAUGCGAAACCACAAGAGGCAGCCAAAGAAUUUUGCACACUAUGCGAAAUUUCGCAUGGUAUGCAAAAUCUUCUUGUGCACCAACUCCGUUAUAUUUUUAUCUCAAAUAUUUUGUGUAAUUUCCUAGUUUCUCCUUGUAACCAACCUAGAUAUUUUCUUUUAUAUAUUUUUUAGGUAACAUCAUCUAUAGGGGGAGAGACAUAAGGAGGAUAUGGAUGUUUUUCAUAGAACACUUGUAAAUUUCCGGUAGUAAGAAAUAUACAGAGCUUUUUGCUCUACCUUACCUUCUCAUUUUGUUUUCACUUGUCUUUCUAGCCAAACAACCUCUGAGGAUGAUUUCUUAGGGAAUGAGUGGCUAGGUUUUACGUUUCUUGGAGUGAGGGAAGCUAGGUGAAAGACCCGAAUGCUAAGGUGGGAGUUGUCCUUGCUUUAAAUGAAAGUAGUUGUUAAACAUUAAUGGUUUUUAUUUUAAGGUUUAGCUUUAAAUCCCUUAAAAACAUCUUGAAUGGUCAAUACUUGGUAGGCUUUUUGGAUUCUAUGGAUGCUUAUUGCUAGAUCCCUGGAUGUCUAUUAGUUAUCAUUUAUGAGCCAUUGGAAGGUGGUUCAAGAUGAGGGUCUUUAAUGUUUGAAGCCAUUAAUAGGAAACAAUUACCAUUCUUUCAUGAAUCCUUUGGAUCAAAUCUUAAUUGCUAAAUAUAAAACUAGUUCGGGAGAUAACCAUCCUUUAUGUUAUUAUGCCCAACGCGAGGAGAAGAUUCGGAAUCUUCCCCUUUGUCUAAGGAACCCGAUCCUAGUGACCUAAAGCUCUAAGAGACCUUUUCUUUAUAGUUAACUUCACUUAUUGUUUUUUCUUAACUUAAAAUCAAUCUUUGCAACCACAAUUCCAUUUUCUUUGAAAGCUAAUUUUCAUAAGGAAAAUCACCAUUUUAUUUUCUUCCCUAAGUCAACUGUACGAUGAAAACCCAUUCCCAUGGACGAUCCUAGAGCCACUAUACUAUGUUAGCUAUGCUACCCUAAUGUGAGGUGAUUUAGGUUUUAUAAAUUUUGUUGAUAACACCUGUUUGAGCCAGAAUCAAAUGGCGCAACUGAACCAGGGACGAAUCAACAACUUAUAUGGGAGGGACACAAGUUUAAUUGAUUUGCAUUUCAACGUUAUAUAUAGGUAUGUUUUGGAAGAUUUGUUCUGGAAAUACUGCACCAAGUACGAUUCUUUUUGUCUUGAGUGGGUCUACUUGCAUGCCAAUUAACGAGUGGAAAAGUAGGAGCACCUACCUCAUGCUCGCGGAACCGAAGGUCAGUGAAGUGGGGCUCCUUUUGGCCUCUUGUGUUUCUAUUCCAACCAAGGCGGCGUAAGGAAAAACAACAAUAUGUUUGUGCUAAAUAUCAACGCAUGAUAGAUGUUUUUGUUUUUUGGUAUGUCAAGGCUAAUGAAUGAAAUGCUUUAGCUUGUUUUGUGACUGGAACUGCAAAUGUCCAAAUUGGAGUAUCUCCAUUUCUCACUUCGGAUGGUUAACUUAUAAACAAGAUAUAGGAAACAUGUGAACAUCUUGAGGAACAAUUUGAAUUAUUCAUUAGAAGUCCUGGGUUGAGUUCCAAGAUUUAAAUUAGACCCCUCUAGCAGCUUCAGGGGUACCUAGCAACCUAUAGCAUAUUAAUGAAGAUUUAGGAUUUAGACUCUAGAAUACAAAUUAAUAUGUAUCUCAUGCUUUGACUAGCUUCCCUACAUAUGCACAAAAUGGAGAUGACCUAAAAAAAUAGCAGAAUCUAGCUUCCCUACAUAUGCACAAAAUGGAGAUGACCCAAAAAAUAGCAGAAUUUCCUUAGUUUCUGUGGUUAAGGUGAUUCUCCGCUUAAUAUCACAUUGACUCAUUAUGCAAAAUCAACUGAGCUAAUUUUGUUUAUUUAUUUAAUGUCAAAUAGGAACUCCUAAUUAACCUAACCCUUGGCCUGUGUAAAUUGAUUUCACAUGCCCAAUGUUGAAGUAGAAGUCCAUAUUUUGAAUUUUAUUUUUGUAAAGGUAAGGAAAAUGAAGCAUUGUGUAAUUAUAAAAAUAACUUCAUUGGAAUUCACAAGGUUCACCCAAAAUGGAGCUACAUCCGUAUUCUAUCCUGCAGUAGACUAUAUAGAUUGUACAAUAGUAAAUUGCAAAUACAAUUAAUAAGUCUUGUGCUUCCUUACUAAUAAUCCUUUGACAUGAACAUUGCAGCACUAAGGUCCUCUUGGGAAGACACCUUGCACCCAUGAGAGCACGAAGAGGAAGCAAGGCAGAGUCAUGGGUGCAAUGUCAUGACUUGUUGUUGCACCAAGAGAGGCUUGGUGAUGGCAUGGUGUUGCAGUAGCAAGAAUGUUGCCUUGGUAGGGACAUAAUCUAGGGAUAGAUGCCAAGAAAGGCUUAGCACUCACAUGAGUUGCACAAAGAUGAAUGUAAUAGAGCAUCAGAGAGACGUCUUGGCAAGUAAAUGAAUGGAUCCAAGAGGCAACAACAUGAGGAGUUUCAAAUGGAUAAGGAAUGAGUCAAAGACAUUUGAAAGCUACAAGUUGGAUUCUAAUUACGAUUGCAAUUUGAGUUUGAGUAGGAGUUUAGAUUCUGAUUGUAAUUGUAGUAUGAGUUGGACUAGGAUUGCUUAUCCCUAGUCAAAAUAGGAGUGGUUCGUGUCACACCCUAUGAAAAGAGUUUGAGUAGGGACUAGGAUUGCUUACUCCUAGUCAAAUAUGGAGUAGGUGGUGCCACACCUAUAAAAAAAAAGGGACAACAUGAGAGAGAGAGAGAGAGAGAGAGAGAGAGAGAGAGAGAGAGAGAGAGAGAGAAAGAGAUAAUGAAUUCACUAAAGAUAUUGUGGGAGUUUUUCUUUGUUACGUCUUGUAUUAUUACUUAGAAUAGGAAUAAAAUACAAGUUUGGGCUAGAGCCCCAUAAUUAAUCUCGUGUGCCUUUGUGGUUAUUCUUUAUUUGUCAUCUCGUGUGGAUUGGAUUACAUUGACUUAGAGGGCUUCUAAGCACCACCUUUGUGGGUUAUUAUUUAUUUUCCAUUUCUUGUGGAUUAGAUUAGGUUGACUUUGAGGGCUUUUAAGCACCACCUUUGUGGGUUAUUCUUUAUUUUCCAUAUCGUGGGGAUUGGAUUAGGUUGACGAUGAGAAAAAUUAUGUGGGAAAUUUGUGUUGGGACACUUAUCAUAACCAGGUAAAAUCUGCCAAGUCCUUUGUAAUAUCUUCAACAAAUAUUUCAGACUAGUUCUUCACCAUAAACAUCAUAUUGUGUUUUGUUUUUCUCCUGGAUUCUGAGUUGAAUUGUUUCAAGUCAAUUGAAUGCAUCUGAAUAUUAUUAGCUUGUUUGAAGGCCUGGUGAUUUUCCAUUUAACUUUACUUUCUUUAGGUUAUGCUCACUAUAAGAAAAAUGAGAAAUAAUGACGCUUUUUACGCGUUAAGAAAGGCAACAGAUGAUGCUUCUCUAAAGCGUCCUCUUCGGCUCUGUCAUUAUAUGUGUUAGCCAAUAAUGACGCUUCUAGGAAGUGCCAUCUUUGAAUAAUGUUAAUAACGACACUCGUAAAAAGUGUCAUCUUUAAACAUAUUCUGGUCAAAUAAUUUUUACAAAAUUAGUAAUCUUCAAGCCGUUUCUGAAUCAUAUCUGAGCCUAUUUCUGGGGACCAGAAAACCAUCUUUUUUCCAUUCGCCUGAGAGGUCUGAUUAGCAUUUCUGGAAUCAAUCUCUAAACCCAAGCUUCCCUCAUCUACCCAUUUAACCCUCAUGCCCUCCUGUUUGAACAACUUUCCCACUAUAUACACAAAUUUUUUACCUUCUGUUGUUGGUAUUCGACCUCUUCCCAUUCCCAGCACAGAAUCCACCAUUAGUGCCACUUUGUGAAUAAAAUCAUCGAACCAGAUCUUUCGGGCGGAAGAUGAGCUCCAGAGAAAUAAAAUUUUUGGGGUCUUCCCAGCAUGAAAGUCAUAGGUAGCAUUAAUGACAUCAAGAAAUGGGGCACUGUUGAGAAAAAACAUGUUCCCAUCAACCACCCAAGAAUUGUACCAGACUCCAAACACUUCUGGAUUACAUAUGCCUUUACUAAGAUAUAUUUCUUGAUCUCCAUAUCAGAAUCUUGGAGACUCUUCAUUUUAUGAGCUCUGACACUACUGUGAAAUUGGUCCACAUCAAUCACAGGAUGACCCCUUCUAGCAAGAUCAAGCAGGAAGUCUGAAUUCGGGCCCAUAAAAAUGUAGUUCUGAAUAUUGAAACUCUCAAAGUGGCACAACAAAUUCCUUAUGACUCUUUCAGAUGCUCCAAACAGGCUCACAAGUAUAAUGGUAUCCUGUUUUUGCACAGAGUAAAGAAAAUAUCCGAGUUCUUCAAAACUCCUUACAACUAUUCCAGGAUGUACUUCUUUGAAACAGAAAUCGUACCACUUUAGCUUAGUCAGAGGUUGAAUCUAAAAUAACAAAACCCAAACUGAAAUCAAAAUCGAAAUCAACCCUAAUAGAUUUCAGAAACAACAAAUUAAAAGAGUAAAGCACAAAAGGGGGAAAACACAUAUGAAGCAAUCUCCAUACAAGCCCUAACCUUAGAUAAACCCAAAAAAAAAAAUCAAAGCAGAGAGUUACCAUAGAGCAUCUCUGUUUCAAGCUUAGAAAAUGUUUAAUGCCAUUGAUAACUAGUUGGCUAGUGGUGGACUUCAAGCUUCUCUAUUUCGGUGUUAGUAGCUCUCAAUGGCUAUGGUGAGAACAAAGAAAUGAGAGGCUUAGGGUUUGGGAUGUGAGGUUAUUGAUGAUGAUGAGGAUAAAGUUAUGGGCUCUUGGAGGGGUUAGGGAAAUUGAAGAUGGCUGAGAGUAAAGGCUAGGGUUUUUGAGAUAGUUAAUAGCUUUUUAGGGUGUGACUGUCCAUAGAUAGAAGAUAAAUGAGGGUGUGAGAAUUUAUAGAUCUCUAGGUGAUAUGGCGGGUGUGAGAAUGAAAUUUUAGAGGGAAUUGUGUGUUUGGUAGAAAUUUCACACAUGCAUAUAUAAUGUUUCAGAACAUGGCACUUUAAAAAUACGACAAGGAAGAAAUUAUUUAUUGACGCUUAAAUAAAGCGCCAAGGUCUCCAACAUUUUUGCAAUCAAUGACGUUUGUAAAAGGUGCCAUUGAAUAGGAGUGCCAUUGCUUUCCCACAAAGCAUCAUUGUUAAUCAAGCCUUUAAAAAACGCCAAGAUAUGUUGCCACUUAGGUUAAAUAUUGACGCUUUUAAAAAACGCCAAGGAAAAAAACGUCAUUAUUCAUGUUUUUUGUAGUAGUGGCUUGAUUCCUAAAAAGUAAAGGAAAGCAAAAAGUAAAAAAAUAAAAAUGUGGAGAGUUAGGACAUGCGUUAUCUAAUUGUCCUAGUCCCAAAUAUAUUAAGAAAGUCAUGUAGGUUACUUGGAGUAACGAGUCAAGUAAAGCAAGCCUUCUAGUGUUUAAGACAUUAGAUAUUACCGAACUGAUUAUGUCAUUAAUGUAUUGCAUUUGUUGUUUCUAAUAUAUAGAAGAAGAUGAAAUUAUUGGAAUAAGUGGGAAAUAGGAAUAAAUCCAAGGUACCAAAAAGUCACUUUAUCUUAGAUGUUGUUGGAAACAUAAGUGAUUUCACAAUAACGACUAUGAGACAAUCAAGGAUUAAUAAGAUAGACUUUAUAUGAUAUACCUCCCAAUUAGAGCCUAAAAAUAUGGAUGAAGCACUUAGAGAUGAAUCUUCAAUUUUUGUACUAUAGGAAGAAUUAAAUCAAUUUGUUAGCUAUUCUUUGGAUAUUUGAUUCAUCACAAGCUACAAAUCACUUUUGAUGACCAAACACGAAACUAAGAGGAUUGGGCCCAAUUCGAUGCCUAUCAACAAUGAUUUGUAUUCCACCUCAUUAAUUAUUCAAAGUUGGGAAGCUAGGUCUAACCACUUUCUCUACCUGUUCACCCUUAGAGGAGCAGAAGAAAAUUCUAACUUUGGUGCCUAAUGCCUUUGACAAUCUUUCGACAAAGAGAGUUCACUAAUUACUUUGAUUAUUUCUCUGUUGGUCACUGGGGGACAAGACUUUUGUAAUGAAGUCAACUAGAACUUGCCCUUUGAGGGCCAUUCAUGGACGAUAUUACACCAUGAAUUCCCUUAGGUCAUGUUUGGUAUGUGAGAAUGAGGAGUGGAAUGGACAUCUUAUUCAUUUUUUCAUCUAUUCAAAUGUUGGGAUAACUCAAGUGACCAUGAGAAUGAAAUCAAGAAUGAUUCAAGGGAAAUGAAAUCUUACUUAUAAGUGUGAUUUCAAUUAAUCUCUAAUAGAAAUUAUUUUGAAUCAAUAGUGCAAGUUAUUUUUAAAAACAUUUUUCCAAAAUUAAAAAAAUCAAUUUUUUUUUUUUCGAUAAGUUGUUUUUAAAAGGAUUUUUUUUAUUUUGUAAAAAGAAAAUUGUAAUUCAAUUUAUAUAAUAUAAACUAAAUUUUAUUUUAUUCAAAAAGAAAUAAUUUUUUAAUUAUAAAUAAAUUAAAAAUAAAUACUUUUAAUAAAAUAUAAAUAGUAUUAUUAUAAUAAAAUCAUAAAUAAAUUUAAUUUUUUUUAUAAAUAUUAUAAAAAUAUGGAUAUUAACAUUGGAUAAUUGAUUUAUUUUGUUAAAAUAAAAAAUAAUAAUUUUUAAUAUUAUUUUAUGUUAAAUGAAUUUUAAAAUAAAGAAAGUUUAAUUAUUUUAAGGUAUAGAAGAGCCAAAUUUUGCAUUACAUACAUAACAAACAAUAUUUAUUAGAAACAUUUCUCAAGGAGAAUCUUAUUCCAUCUCACAAAGAUACUCGUUUAUUCGAUGUUUGACCAUCCGUAACAAUCAUGUCAAUUCUACUGAUUUAAUAAUUCCUUUACAUUUAUUACUCACUUAUGAACAUGGUAUUGUGAUUUAUUUAUUUAUUUGAUGUAUAAUUAAUUAAUCAAUUUUUUAAAUUUCAAAUUAUUUUUAAAAACUAUUCAUUAAGGAAUUUAAAGCAUUAAUUAUGUCUAUUAUUUUUUAUAGUCAUUAUAUAUAUAUUGAGUUUUAAUUUAUUUUUAAAAAUUAUUAAACUUAUUAAUAAAUUCAAUAUAAAGUCUCGUUUCAUUUGAAAUUCAUUUCUUUAGUGAAAAUUUUGAAAAAAAAAUUGUUAUUUAUUUUACUUUGUUUUAAAAAAAUUGUUUCUAGAGAACAAUAAUCAAAUAAUGGUAUGAAUUUUUAAAAACAAUUUUGUUUUUAAAUCAUAUGCCCAAAUAAUUUUUUUUUAUUUAGCAAAAAACUUUGUUGUAGUAUGUGGCUCAUAUUGAGGGAAAGACAUAUAUGGAGAAAAAUGUGCAAAUGUUGGAGUGGAGCGGAGUGGAAUGACGACAUUUGUCAUUCAAACUUGUAUUUUUAUUGUUAAGGGUGACCGAUAGGUUGGUACGGUUUAGGGGUAUUUUUGGAAUUUCAUUACCUGAGGGUUAGUAUAAAUACCAUUUUAUGUAACCCUAAUUUUACAUAUAAUGUAAGUUUUCUUCCUUGUUCUUGUGGACAUAGGCAAUCCGUCGAACCACGUUAAAUCUGUGUGUUUUUUUUUCUUUUUUCUUUUUCUCUAAUUUCUUCACCAGGAAUCGUUACACUAAGAUCAACAAACUCUCAAAGAUGAUUUUUAAAAUGAAAAAAAUAAUGUAUAGUGUGAGAAUUUUUUAUUUUUUAUUUUUUUAAAAUGAAAAUAAAAAAUUGCUUUAAGGUAAAAGUGUGGAUAUUAUUGUUAAUUUAUUUCAUUUUUCAUUUUCAUUUCCAUUGUUACCUACAAUUGAAAUGGAAACAACUAAUCAUUACAACCUUACAUUCUUAUAUGCAUCCAAAUACAAAAAUUGAAAUCACCAAAUUCAUAUUCAAGGCAAAAUAGGAAUGAAAACAAAUAUUCAUUCUCAUUCUUUAUUCCCACGUGUCAAACAUGACCUCAAAGUUAUAAACAUGAACAAGAAGUCCUUGAAACACCAAUGAUCUCUUCUGGUAUAUAUAUGAGCUUGAUUGACAACUGUUUUAAAUACAGUUUUUUUUUUUUUUGUUUUCAAAAUCAAAACAAAUUUAUUUUUAUUUUUUAUAAAUAGUAGUUUUUUAAUAUUUUUUUUAAACCUUAUUAUGAAAAUAGGAUGUUUUCUAAUAUCAUAUUUUAAUUAUUUUCAAUUAUUUUCCCUUCUUUUAAGGAGGGCUAUUUUAAAAAUAUGAAAAAUGAUACAAAAUAAAGCAUUACAAAUAAAAAUCAUUUUUAAGAAAUAUAUGAAAAUAAUUUGAGAACAUUUGAAGUUCCUUAAUUAAACUUUUGUUCUAGAAAAUGCAAGAAAACUGUUUUUGAAAAUUGUUUUCAUAAUGAUAUGCAUUGAUCGUUUAAAAUUUAAUUACAUGAUAAAAAGACCUAUGUAAAAACCAGAGUUAUAUAAUCAGUCAUAGAUCAAAUCUACUAAAUAUGAAAAGUAAGUACAUAGUUGUAUAUGACUUAGAUGGAGCCUUCUCCGAAUGACAUUCUUUAGUCGGUACUCAUAUUUUUUUGUUUCGUGUCUUCAACAUAACACCUCAUGAUCCUUAAUAAAUCACCUGAAAACUAUAUUAGCACCUUAUUGUUUAAUAUUUCUCUAAAUUUUUUUAUUAAGCAAAUAAAUUCCAAAUUUAAAAUGACAAAUAAAAUUUAUUAAUUUUUAAAAAUAAUUUAAAACUCAAAAACCAAUUUAAUUGAUAUUAAAAGUCAUGAAACUUAAUAAUAUUAGAAAGUCAUGUAUCCAAAUUUAUUUUAAAUGACUUGUUUAAUUUCUUGUUUAUAUAUAUUAUAUUUUUAUAAUUUUUUUUACUAUACAAAUAAAUUUUAAAUUAAACAAAACUUAAUGCGUUGAAUUCAUUAACGAGUCUAAUAAUUUUUAAAAGUUACUUAAAAUUUAAAUACUAAAUCAAUUAGUACCACAAAUUCAUGGAAAAAAAUUGAUUUAUUACUACUAUAUUGUUUCUCUAUUGCAUAGAACCAUUAUUUUUCAAUUUUUUCAUUUGGCAAAUGAACAUCAAAUUAAACAAGACUAAGUGUAUUAAAUUCAUUAAUGGGUCUAGUAAUUUUUUAAAAUAAUUUAAAAUUCAAAUAUUGAUACUCCAAAUUAAACAAGACUUAGGUGGUGUUUGUUUUUUGGUUGAAUAGAAAAAGGUAAAAUAUUUGACUUUUUCUAUUUAGUUAAAAGUAACUUGUUGACAUCGUCCAAUAUAAUUAAAGUAAACCUAUUGAGGGCAAGUUCACUUUAAUUAUGUUGGACGAUGUCAACAGGUUACUUUUAACUCAAUAGAAAAAAUCAAAUAUUUUGACUUUUUUUUUAACUCAAAUAAUAAAUCCAUUAAUACAAAAAAAUUAUGGAUAAUUUGAAACUUUCUUUCUUUUUUUUUUUUUUUUUGCUACACAUAGCUAUAUUUUUAUAAAUUUUAUCAUUAGAGAAAUGGAUUUCAAAUCAAGUGAAACUUUGUAUUGAAUUAAUGGAUUUAACAUUUUUUAAAAAUAAUUUGGAACUAAAAAAAAAAGAUUUAAUUACUAAGAAAAUCAUAGAUCAAAACUAAUAUAUUCUGAUCCAUGAUUUUAUUAUUUUUCCUAUACAUACAAUUAUAUUUUUAUAAUUUUCUCACUAGGUAAAGAUAUUAUAAAUUAAGUGACACAUAAUUAAUAAUUUAAAUUUUUGAAUGAAUCUUUUAAUUUUAGGAAUAAUUUGAAAUUUAAAAAGUUGAUCCAAUUAAUUGUAAAUUAACUUAAAAUAUUAUAAAAUAUUAUGUUCAUAAUUAAGUACUAAAUGUAUAUAUGUAAUGAAAACUUAACUAGUUACAUGUUACAAAAGCCAAAAUUUAUUCAUUCUUUAUUUUAAAUAAAAUAUUAUUAAUAAUUAUUUUUUUUAAAAUAAUAUUUAGUAAUUAUUGUUUUUAAAUUAUUAUUAUUAAUUUUUAAUAAAAAAAUUGCAAAGUUAUUAAUAUCAUUAUAUUUCUAACAUAAAUUUAAAUAGUAUAUUUUUUAAUAUAUAUAUAUAUAUAUAUAUAUAUAUAUAUAUAUAUAUAUAUAUAUAUAUAUAAUUUAUGAUUUCAUUAUAAUAUUUUUAUUCAUGAUUGACGAAAAAUUAUUUAUUGUUUAAUUUAUUUGAAUUGCAAAACUAUUUUUCAAAAUUCAAGCGAGAAAAUAGGCCUGGAUUUGAAUUUCCUGUAGAAGAGAAGGAUGUGGAGAAUAUGUUGGGAGUAUUUGUGGAUAAAGAAAAGGCCAGGGUACUGAGAAAGGAGAGAGAACUUGCUCUUGCCAAAAGAGCCCUGCACAGGUAUUCUACUGAUUCUAAUUAUCGGUUCUUACAUGAUCAGAUUUCAGAUUUAUUUGCUGAGCUUCUGAAAUCUGAUACAGUAUUUAAACUCCGGUGAGCUUUACAAGAUUAGUCUCGCAUCCAAUUCCAAAUGGUGUCCCACAAUUGAUUCUUCUUAUGAUAAAUCCACCUUGAUAUGUGAAAAUAUUGCUCGAAAGGUUUAUCCUCGCGAGGAAUAUCCAGAAUACUAAGGAAUUGAGGAGGCUCACUAUGUUUAUAGAGUCAGGGAUAGGUUGAGAAAACAAGUAGUUGUUCCAUUACAUAAGGCCCUGGAGUUGCCAGAGGUUUUCAUGUGUUCGAACAAGUGGGGAUCACUUCCCUACAACCCUGUGGCUUCAGUGGCCAUGAAAUCAUACAAGAGCCUCUUCUCAAACCAUGAUACAGAGCGGUUUGGUGAGUAUCUUGAGAAAGUGCAAACUGGGAAGGCUAAGAUUGCAGCUGGUGCAUUACUUCCCCAUGAGAUUAUAGCUUCAUUGAAUGAGGAGGAUGCCGAGAGAGUUGCCGAGCUUCAGUGGGCAAGAAUGCUGGAAGAUUGAUCAAAGAAAGGGAGGCUCACAAAUUGCAUUGCAGUAUGUGACGUAUCAGGAAGUAUGAGUGGAACUCCAAUUGAGGUGUGUGUGGCUCUGGGGCAGUUAGUUUCAGAGCUCAGUGAAGAUCCAUGGAAAUUAAGGUAAUGUAAUUACUUUCAGUGCAAAUCCUGAGCUUCACAAGAUCCAAGGAGACAGCCUUGUAUCCAAGACUGAAUUUGUGAGGAUGAUGGAAUGGGGUGCCAACACUGACUUUCAGAAAGUUUUGACAGAAUCUUACAAGUAGCAGUGGAGGGAAAUAUGAGUGAAGAUCAAAUGAUAAAGAGGGUUUUCGUUUUCAGUGAUAUGGAGUUCGAUGAAGCUUGUGGGAGGUAUAACUAUUGUGACUAUGACUAUGAUAUGGAGGAAAUUGACGAGAGUCAGAAGGCAUCUCAGAAGUGGGAGACAGAUUAUGAAGUGAUACAGAGGAAAUUCCAGGAGAAAGGAUACAGAAAAGUUCCAGAGAUAGUGUUUUGGAACCUUAGAAACUCAUCAGCGACUCCAGUGACGGCCACAGAGAACGGGGUGGCCUUAGUAAGCGGGUUUUCAAAGAAUCUGUUGACCUUGUUUUUGGAAGGAGGUGGAAUUCUGAUCCCUCAGGAUGUGAUGGAAUUCGCCAUCUCUGAUGAAGAUUACAAGAAACUUGUUCUAUUUGAUUAAGAUAUCAAGAGAUUUAUCAAUAAUAAUAUAUUUUUUUUCUAUGUGAAAUACAUAUAAUAUUAACUGUGGAGUUAUCAAAGUUCUGGAGGUUUAAUUAUUUCUUCUUUUCAAGUUUUGUUUAUUUAAGGUUUUCUUUGUCUUUGUUAGGAAUUCCCCUUGGGUGGACCCAGCUGGGGAGUUGGAUUGAGGAAGUAAGCAGGCGAACUUGUGUUCUUCUAUGGACAGAGAAAAAAAAUAAAAUAAAAAAAUAAAAAAGGAGGUUAUUUGCAUUUGGAUGUCGUGGUUUGAGGGUACAACUACAAGCUCGAAAUUGUACAUAAUGUGAAAACUCCUGUGUCCAUUGCUGAGAACAGCAUAAAUGAUGGUGAUUUUCAAGUUGUGCCUGGUAUUCUACAGGAUGAAACAAGAAAGGAUCCAGGUGGUAUAUUGAACAAUAUCCCAAUCAUGUUGGUGGCAUCUUUAUUUAGUUAAUGGUAUUCAUUUGGUGGAAGCUGGUUGUUUAUGAUGUUUUUAAUUUUUUUUAACAUGAAGUUCGAUCAAAUACGUAUCUUAGUAUGUUUUGUUUGAGCUAAUUGGCAAAUGCGCUUUAAACAUGGUCACAUGGAUGCAGUUUUAUUUGUGAAAUGAUAAUAGUCGAUUACUUGGUCAGUAAGGUUUAUAUCUCUAACUUCAACAUCUUAUUGUAGUCUUUUAAAAUGUCAAAAGUUUAAUGCUUGAGAAAUUUUGGAAUGGAGACAUUCUAAACAAAGUUAAUAAUCCACAAGACUUGGUAAAACCGAUCAGAUGAUGCUUACGUACAUCAAUGCCUUCUUUAAGCCAUAUCCUAUUUUCAUUGAACGGGAUGUGCCAUCUAGUUUGGUUCUUUAAGCCUCCAAAUCCUAAACCUAGUCUCAAUUUAGAGCAAAUUUAGGGUGCAGGGCCUGCAUGCCUCCCCCUCCCCCUUCCACAAAUAGUAGUGACCUUGCUAUGCCUAUGCAUUGUCAAUGCCUCAUUUUCUAUGGUCUCCAAUGUAAUAUCUUAGUUUCAAUGUCUCUUUCCUUACUAUCUCCAAUGCAAUAGAUUGAUUUCAAUACCUCUUUACAACUAAGACCUCCAAAUUUUCUUGGUUCAAACCUACCAGAAUUUUUCUUCUCCUUUGCUUUCUAUCAAUAUUAGUUCCCCUAAUUUAAUAUAUACUUCUUUAUUACCUUCAACUCUACCUCUCUUUCUUUCUCUAAAAGCUUCCUCAAAGAUUUAAUUGCUUUCUUGCAUGUUUUAAGAAAACAAACAUGCUCAUAUUACAUUACCUCUACUUGAGAUCUACCUUAUACUCUACCUUCUUUCUUUACCUCCUAUAUCAUCUACUACAUUAGCUUCAAAAAUAUUAUUUAGUUUGAUACUAAAUAAGGCUCCUAAUCCUACUCUUCCUUCAACAAACUUUCUUUUUACAAGUUCCUUAAACUUUAUUUUUUAUUUUUUAUUUUUUGGAAAUUCGGGUUAGAAAGAUUCCAUUACUCUUACCUAAUAUUUCAACCAUCAAGUUGAAUCCACUUAUUGCCUAAAUCCAAGGAGUCUGCCCUCCACAAAAACAAGGAAAUUGAUCCCACAAUAACAAGGAGAUUGCCUUCCACAGAAACAAAGAGAUCUCCCUUCACAGAAGCCGAAUACAUUGCAAUCUAUUUUCUUUCUUGUAAGAUCAAAUCUUCAAUCGAGCUCCAUCUUAUGGGGGCAUAUUAGAGAAAUUUAAUAUUAUCCUUAAUUUACAUAUUAAUAUUUAUCUAUUUAUUAUAUAUUGAAUUAAAAUAGAAUAUAGAAUUUGAAUCAUAGUAGAAGUUUACUAUAAGAUUGAAUUACAAUAGUUAAUAGAGUUUAAAUUAUAAUAACUCAAAUACAUUUAUAUAUAUUUGACCUUACGAGAUUUUCUAUUUAUGUAUUUGAACUACAAUCCUUAUGAUCCUUAGGUCUCUAUACCUUCGUGAUGGGCUCCUUGACAUUUCAUAGGUUGUGCUACACAUGCAUUUGAAAUUUAGAGUGCAUUUGACAGUGAUUCUGGGAAGUGUUUUUGGCAUUUCUAACACUUAAAAUUUUUUAUUUUUCAAGUAUUAGAAAUGCUACAAACACUUUUGAAAAUUACUGUCAAACACACUCUUAGGAGCGCAUAUAGUAGAAAACUAGAAAUUGUGGUUUUUUUAGGAUUUACUGUAAUGUCAUUAGGAGGGUAGUAAGUUGAAACUGAGUAUGAAUAAAUAUUUCUUUCUUUGGGAUGUUCUUCUGGUAGGUGCUGAUGAAACUGUUCUUUUUACUGCCAAUGUCACAUAUCAGCCAGAAAUUGAAAAUUUCAGUCAAGGUGUCCUCGGUUUUAGUGGUGAGGAAAGCUAGAAAUUUUAAGGUGAAGUUCUGUUAAAAACCUUAAGUAGCUGGGAUAUCAGGCCUGUUUUGCUUGAAAAAAAAAGUUGCAAGAUAACUCAUAUGCCAAACAGGUUCUGAUAUUGUGAAUCUAUCGGCAGACAUCAGUAAUCUCAUCUUCUGAGAUGGAUGUUGGGGGUGCAUGUGGUGGUGGAGGGGCAAGGUUUCAUUUGGUUUAUUUUGUUGAUGGAUAUUGUCUAGCCCCCUGCGCCAAGUUUGAGGGGUGGUGGGUUGUGAUGGCCCUACAAUUACUAUUAAUUUCUUCCUCUUUUACCGAUUAAAGUGUCCGAACAGUCGAAGUUACCCUUAUGCAUGUCAACUUGAUCACUUACCUCUUCAAUGGAGUUUAUGCUGGUUCAUUUAGGAACUGAUUUUUAUUGUUAUGCAUUCUAUGCUGAUGUUUAGGCCUCUCCAUCAUCACUAUAUACAAAAAUUCUAGGUUGAUACUAUAGGUUGAGAUUUAUUUUUUAAAUAAAAAAUAAUAAAAAUAAAAAUUAUGGUGAUGUUUAGUUGUUUUAUGGAAAAUUUUAACAAGUUAUUUUUGGGCAAGUUUUCAAACAAAAAGAAAAGUAAAAGUUGUUUUGACAAAAACAUAUAGAAAAAAAAAAUCAUAGAAAAGAAAUAAUUUCCCCAUAUUCUAACUUUUUUUAAUUUUUCUCAAUGGGCAAAGGAAUAUCAAAUCAAGUUUGAGUAGGAUUUCUUAAUUUUUAAAAUAACUUACAAUUAAAAAAUUUUGGUGUUUUCAUUUUUGGACAAUUUUUUAUUAAGCAAAUGGACUCUGAGUCAUGCAAGAGAUAUGGUUGAUUAAUGGGUCAAACAAUUUUUUUAAAAUAAUUUAAAACUCAAAUACAUAAUCAAUGUCACAAAAUUUAUAAACAAAAAUAGGUUUAGAGAAGAUCUACACAUAAUUUUACUUUUCUAAUUUUAUUUUAUUUUAUUUUUUUGUUGGAAAAUAGUCUUCAAAUCAUGUAAGAUUUAAUAGGUUAAAUUUGUUAACAAUAAAUUUUAAAUUAUAAAAUAUAAUCUGGAACUUAAAAAUCAAUUCAAGUAAUGCUAAAAAAAAUCAAAUUUGGUAUAGAAUGACUACGUAAAAUUUUUUACAAAACAAAUGAAUUUUAAAUCAAGUGAGAUUUAAUGCAUUAGAUUUUUAUCAAAUAUAGUAAUUUUAAAAUUUAAUUUGGAACUCAACAAUAGACACAAUAAAUACCAAAAAAUAAUGAACCAAAAUUGGUUUGGAAUAACUCCACAACCUCUUUUUUUUUUUUUUGGUGCACACGAAUUUUCUUACUAGGUAUAUUGCUUUCAAAUUGAGAAAGAUUUACUAUUUAGAUUUUUUUUUUUAAUGAGUUUAAUGGUAUUUUAAAAUAAUUCAAAAUUUCAAAAAUUGACUAAUUACUAUUAUAAAUUCAUAAACCAAGACUAAUUCAAAAUGCAUUGGGGGCUAAGGGGGUUGAAAAUAGGGACAAUGGGAUGGGUUUGGGACAUGACACUCAUAUCUCAUUUCCAUUCCAAUUACAUAGUUAUCUCCCAUCCUUAUCCCAAACUUGUGUUGGAGCAAGUUGAUUUGUUCCCAUCUUUGUUGAUGAAAUGACUAAUAACCUCAUCCCCUCCUUAUCUUAGAUGUACAUUUUGUCAAAUUUGAUCAGGUAUGAUUGAUCCAAGCCCUAACCCUAAUUGGUAAUGACUGGAUACUACACCUAAUUGCAUUCUUCUUUCGUCGCAAAAUAAUGAGAUUAUAAUAAUCUAGCAAAUAAGAAAAAAUAGUAUGGAAGUUCAAUUUAACACCAUAACUAUCAAUAAUUUUAAGCUUAUAGAUGACUUAAAUGAUUAAAAACUAAUGCAAAAUACCAAAAAAAAAAGUUCAUAUAAAGAAUUCACAAGAGAACAAAAUGAACAAAAACCAAAUAUGAACAUGGGUCAACAUUAGUUAUGGAUUUGGAUUCCUUUCAAGGCCAAUCUUUGAACCAAGACUUCAUCAAAUCUACUACUUCAAAGGCUUUUGUGUUCUUCUUGGGUUGUGCUCUCAAACAAAGACUUCAAGGUGAUGCUCUAGAUGAUUGCAUUACACAUAUUUAGGGUGGAGAGAUUGGAGAAGCUUGAAGAUGCCAACGAUGGGUACAAUUGAGUGGUCAAUAAGAACAAUGUAGCCUAUGACUAGUUUGAUGUCGUGGUACAAGAGUUUUAGGCAUUGAGGUUAAAGCAAGAGCAACAUGGAAUUGAUUUUGGAGUCUUUCAAUUAGUGUAAAGGAGGAAGAAGUGGUAUUGAUUCUAGAAAUAGGGUUUUAGGUGGUGCGUUAGAGGAUGAAGAAGAAGAAAAAGAAGGAUCUGUUGGAAUUAGUGUGAGUGUGAAGAGAGAAGUAUAUAAAUAAGGGGAAGUAAAAGCAAAGUUCUAAAAGCUAUAUUUUUUUUUAUUGUUGGUGUAUGGUUGCAUGAUUAUCCCUAUAAAUAAUAGGAGUUUUUUUGGUAUUCUACUAGUAGUUGAAGGAUAAUUUCAUAAAUUUAUAUUUAGAGUGGGGUGGGGUGAGUUGUGACAAAAUUCAUACCCGUCCUAAACCUUGGUUCAGAUUUUUAAAAUAUCCUCAAACUUAUCAUAUACCCAACUUUUAUAUUUCAUACUUGUCUUGAUAGAGGCAGGUUAGGCCGGGUUACUUGAGUAACCUACAUAAUUGUCAUCCCUAGUUGAAAUACACUUUUUUGGCAGUGGCCACCAACUGAGCUAGAAGCUUGAUCGAUUGACCUACAAGAUUAGUUCUCAUCAUUUUAAAAAAAGUUUUGGCCUUGGUUGUGAGUGCAAUUGAAUCUAAACUGGCAUUUCCUUAAUGCAUCUACUUCAAUCCUAAAUUUCUUACUUCCUAAGCCUCAAUUGUUGUUAGGAUUUUGGAAAGCCCAUUUCCUUAAAUUGUAAAUUUAAGAAAAAAUAAAAUAAAAGUGAGACAUUUCUUGAUUGAAUAUUGUUAAAGGUCCCUUGGCAUUAAGACUUGGUUGAAGCCUUGGAAGAUUAGUGGAACUCUCAACUUGUGUUUGAAUCUUGAGGAGAGUGGACGUAAGCCAAAAUUUUGUCAAACCAUUAAACAAAUUGAGUUUGAAUCCUCAUUUCUUGAUUUCUUAUUUAUUUGCUUUUUCUUAUUAUUACUUGAAUUGUCAUUUGCAUUCAUUAAUGUUAAAAUUGGUUAUAAUUAACCAACACUAAUUCUCUUUCCCCUUCCCUUUCUUGGGUGUAAACCUAGGUUGGAUUAACUAGAUUAAUUUAUAAAAUCUAUUAAGAUGGUAAAAGAAUAAUUAUUCUUAACACACAUAAGAUCAUCUUCAAUCAAAUGACUCAUUGGCUAAUAUGUUGAAUUUGCUUAUUACUUGCAACUCAAAAUUGUGUUCUAGUUGAUAUGUCAAGUCCCCAGUGUAUGGACAUUAAAUUUGUAGUACGUGAUGGUAAUUAGAUGGUCCAACUCCAAGAAAGUGAUUGAAAACUAGUUCAAGAAAGGUGCAAAAGGGAAUUGUUUUGGUAUUUUCGUUUUUAUUCUUGAAGGUGGCAGAGCUAAAAUUUGUGAAAUCAAGCAAAACAUACUGAAAUUACAUUGAAAGAAAGAAAAUGGGAGUUAAUGUCUUGCAGUAGAUGAUAAGGACUUCAUGCAUGUAGUAUGACCCAUGUCUUGGACUGAUGCCAACUCACGGUUACACUUAUACCCUUGGUUCUCUCUUUACUACCUUGGCUAACCUAGAUCAGGCUAUGAGAUAGGCUCCUCACCACACCAUUACUUGCCCAUUAAUUAGAGACAUUUUCAAGCACUGAGGUAACAUGGUGACACCAAGAGGGUUUAUUCCUCGCCCUCCUCGCCCUCAACAAGUCUAGACUUGGUCUCAAAAAAAUGGAGAAAAAUGAGGUGUCGUUAUGUAGAAAUACAACAACCAUGCCUUCCUCAUUACUUUGAUUCAGAAUGUGAAGGUGAAAUUGAGAAACAGAAACUCUUGAAACCAAAAUGAAAAUUGAUACUUUUACGAAGAAUUACAACAACAUUGGAGGAAGACUACAUUCUUCCUCUUUAUUCCUACAUUUCUACACUACUUCUACUCCACUCCAUAUUUCUACAUACAUCUUUAAUCAGUCUUCCCUCCUUUAUAUAGAGCCAUCUUCACACAAAUUCCGCAAGGUAGAAAAGAGGAAUGAAACUUGGAGCAAGGUUCGACUACUGGCUGUAGCUUGUCAAGGCUGGAAGUGAACCUUUUUUCUUGGCUUUUCUGGGCAUGGGUAGUAACUUGUGGGUUCCUUUUUGGGAUACAAAUGGCUAGAACAUGUGGCACUAUCUUGUUGGAUGAUGUGUCAAGCAUGUGGCAGCCAUCUAGUGGCGAUUAUGUCAAUUUUGGGAUGGAGAGUUGGCAUCCAAUUGCAAAGAAAUAUGACGUCUACCAACAGGCAAUGUAAACCUAUGUAGAUCAUAUGAAGAUAGAGAGGAAAAAUAUAGAAAUGGAUAUAUACCUAGAACUAGCUUUUUAUUAAAUGAAACGGAGAGCCAACAAUGAAGGAAAAUAAAUUUUUUUGGCUUAUAUCAAAGAGUUCACAUUGUGCUACCCUAGGUUUUCUUAAAACUUACUUUUAUGAUAACAAAAAAAAAAAAAAACAUUAUUGUUUAAUCCUUUGUUUUAAACGCAUGUUUAGCAAGUUAUAAAAUGUAAAAAUCUUUCUAAGUUCAAAUAUGAAGAUAUGACAUCAUUUCAAGCAAGAUAGUCUCUAGGAAUUAAUGUAAAGCUAAAUUAAGGUGAAAUUAAAUUAGUUCAAUGCAUUAAUUUAAGAAACUUGACCUAUCAAAAGUACAAAAUUAGAUGAAAUCCAUUUCAAUGGUUAAAAUGAUCAAAAUCAAACUUUUUCUAAGUAUUUUUUAAAAGUAUCAAUAUUGAAAGACAAUUUUAUAUUUAGUCAGAGUUUGGACAAAACCAAAAAGCACACAAAAUCCAAGCGACCAUCUCUAGCUUGGAUGGUCGCUUGAUCUCUAGCUUGUGUACUUGGAAAGCAACAUCGAGAUGAUAUAUAUAUAUAUAUAUAUUUUAUAUAAUAUUGUUUGUCCAAAUUCCCUAAAAAUUAGGCCACCACAUGUUCAUAAUUCUCCCUUCUUGAAUUUGAAAACUCGGACAAUUGGACAAUGCGACACCUAAGUCCGGUUUCUAAAUGCUAAAGUGAAAGGGUAGGUAUGGACCAUUGAAAUGUGAUCACAACUUUUCUCUGUAGCCAUGUUGUCUCUUUUUUCUUUUGCAUGAUUUUCUCACCUUAACAGAAUCAUAGACUUGUUUAAUCUCUAAAUGGGAUUAAUUUCAUCCAGCUUUAAGCUACUAUAUUAUAUCUAGGUGGAGGACUUUUAAGAGUGCAACCGACAUAGAGCACAUGCAAGUGGGUAUAUGGGACAUGAAAUUUCUUCUUAUAAAGAUUGCAUGAUUUUUAUAUUAGAGUUGUUGGGGCGCAAUGUAUGUAGCUUGUUUUGCAGUUAAAUUAAUUGGAUAAGUAGACAUUGGCGUUUCUAAAUCUACUGUGAAGUGCUUCAUGUACGUGUGAAGUAUUAGAAAUUUCUUUCUUGGCAACUUGUUUUUUCUUUGCGGUCUACUGAUAGGUUUGACUAAAAUUAUAUUCCCUGUCAUGCUAAUUAAUUUUCACGUGCAUGCUCAAAAGAAGAGUAUGACCUUAGUGCACCAAAAUCACUUUGAUUAAUUUGUGAUAGGUUUUUGUGCAUCAUGACAUUAGCCUUAUUCAUUUAGAUAAUGUUUAGUUUUUAGAAAGUAUUAAGAAAAGGAAAAUAAAUAUUAAGAAAAAUAUUCUUAUAUUUGAUUGUAUUAUGAAAAAUGUCAUAAAAAAAUCAAAUAUAAUUUAAAUUAAUUAAUAAUUUAUACAUUUUCAAAUUAUUUAAUCUUUAUAUUGAAGAUAUAAUAUAAAUGAAAUGAGUUUUAAGUAUUAUAUAAAAGUGAUUUAUUGAUCUUGCAUAUAUGUAUUUCUUUUUUUUUUCUUCUAUUUUUUUUCUUUAUUUUAUUUUCCUUAUGUUUUCCUCAACAUUUUCCGGAACCAAACAUAGCCUUAGGAAAUCCACAAUUACCUUCAACUGAGUAUAUUCGGUUGUUUUAGCAAUGUUAGGCUGCUAACUUGUGUUGGUACGAACCUGUUAAGCCUAAAGAUGUAAUUAGUUAGGAUAUUCUUUUCCCUCUAGUCUUGUAGCUCCACGUGUAUAGUUGGUUAGGACCUCAUUGUAUAUAAUGCCUGCCCUGUUAUUGUUGAAGACAACAGAGAUAAAUAAUAUUAACAUUUUUCCUCUCAUCUCUCUUUGUUUCCCUCUGUUUUCAUCUCCUCUCUCAUCUUGGUAUCAGAGCCUCCAUGGAUUCUUUCAAAGAAACCUCCGAAUCACCUUCUGCUAGCAUUGUUAAUGUGCAAAACCCAUUAUCUCAGUCAAACAACCUUCCUUCACCAGCAGCCACACCCUCUUUUUCUUUCUUGUCUAUGAAUCAACCUCUCACAGUGAAGCUGGAUAAUGGAAACUACCUCAUCUGGAAGAAUUAGCUUCUGAAUGUCAUCAUUGCGAACAGACUCGAUGAUUUCAUUUAUGGAACUCGACCCUGCCCUCCUUGAUUUCUCAAUCUGCAACAACAAACCCUCACUCCAGAGUACUCGGUCUAGCAGAGAUACAAUCGACUUCUAAUGAGUUGGCUGUACGCAUCCUUGUCCGAAGAUAUAAUGACUCAGAUUGUUGGGUAUUCAACAACUGUGGAGAUUUGGAACGUCCUUAAUCAGAUUUACUCUGCCUCUUCAAUGGCGUGGGUUACCGAGCUUCACACCAAGCUUCAAACGCUCAAGAAAGAUGGACUCUCAGUUGGUGAAUAUAUUCAAAGGCUCAAAUCCAUUUGCAAUAGUCUUGCAGCAAUAGGAGAACUAGUUUCUGAGAAAGACCAGCUUAUCUAUUUGUUCAAUGGAUUAUAUUGUGAGUAUAAUUCUUUUGUUACCUCCAUUCAAAAUCGAUCUGACCAACCAACUAUUGAGCAAAUCCAUAGCCUAUUGCUUAGCUAUGACUUUCGGCUUGAACAACAAAACUCUGUUUCUCUCCAUUAUGCCCAAGUCCGUAUGGCUCAUCUGAACAAGAAACCUUAUAAAUCAACUCCUCAACCUACAUUCAAUCAUAUUCACAUUCAACCUAGAUACUCUUCUCCACCUUUUAAGCCAACCACUAGUCAAUAUCAACCCAGGAUUUUGGGCAAACCACAACCACAACCAUGACAGCCUCAACCUCAAUGGAAACCACAUUUUUCAAUCCAGAAUCAAAAGCCUCAGUGCCAAAUUUGUGGUAAAUUUGGACACACUGCUCUUAUUUGCUUCCAUUGCACAAAUUUGAACUAUUCACCCCAACCUUCUCCUAAAUCUUUCAAUACUGUUCUCACCACAAAUUCCCAGCUCCCUAAUCCUCCAAAAUUUUCUUACCCUACAAUGGCUCAUCCUGCUGCUACGCAUAACACGAUUCCUGAUACAAAUUGGUACAUGGACUCAGGUGCUACACAUCACUUUACUCCGGACAUCAACAUGCUUGACACUGUGACACCAUUUAGUGGUUUAGAACAGGUGACAGUUGGGAAUGGUAAGCAACUCUGUAUCUCACAUCUUGGUACUGCAAAACUACCAUCCUCGUAUUCUCCUCUUGUUCUACAUCAGGUAUAUCACACUCCAAAAAUUUCAAAUAAUCUUAUUAGUGUUAGAAAAUUGUGUUCUGAUAAUAAAGUUUUUGUUGAAUUUUAUGCCACUCAUUUUCUUAUCAAAGAUCAAGUUUCGAAGAGAGUUCUCUUUCAAGGUCAACUUGAUAAUGGCUUAUACAAAGUUCAGUCGUCAUGCUCUCCUUCUACUAUUUCCUUUCAUCCUCAAGUUUUCAUAGCCAACAUCAAGGAUCAAAAUUUGUGGCACAAGAGACUAGGCCACCCAGCUUUAUCUGUUAUUAAUCAAAUCUUGGAUUCUUGUAACAUUGCUCGAACACAGAAAAUUGGUUUUAAUUUUUGUAGUUCUUGUCAAUUAGCAAAAAGCCACAGGCUUCCUUUUUCUCUGUCUCCAUCCAUUGCAGAAAAACCUUUUGAGUUAAUUCAUACAGACCUAUGGGGUCUUUCUCCUGUUCGCUCUAUUUCUGGUGCUCGUUAUUUUUUACUUUUCAUUGAUGAUCAUACUCGUUUUACUUGGUUUUAUUUGCUCAAAACAAAAGAUGAAGCAUAUCCUACUUUUCUCAAGUUUCAAGCUCUCAUUGAAAAUCAAUUUAAUACCAAGAUUAAGGUUGUCCAAUCUGAUUGGGGAGGUGAGUUUCGAUCUCUCUCCAUACUGUUUUCAAAUAUGGGCAUUGUCUAUCGUUUAUCAUGUCCAUACACCUCACAACAGAAUGAGUGGGUUGAGCGAAAAAAUCACCAUGCGGUUGAAAUGGGAUUGUCCUUUCUUGCUCGCUCGGGUAUGCCCUUAUCUUAUUGGCCUUAUGCCUUUCAAACUGCCACUUACCUUAUUAAUCGUCUCUCUACCCCUGUGCUGCACCAUCAAUCCCCUUACUUCGCACUCUAUCACAAAUUCCCAGCUUAUACUCAUCUUAAGGUCUUUGUUCCUCUUGUUUUCCAUAUUUACGCCCUUAUAAUACCCAUAAACUCCAAUACAGGUCACUGGAGUGUGCUUUUCUUGGUUGCAGUUCACACCACAAAGGUUAUCUAUGUCUUGACAUUCAUUCUAGCAGGGUGUAUAUUUCUCGCCAUGUGAUUUUUAAUGAAGAUUCUUUUACAUUCAAGAAUUUGAAAUCUUCUCUCUCUUAGUCUAUUUCUUCUUCCUCUUCUUUAUUAGUUCCUCUGUUCAUUUCCUUGCCUCCCCUCUCCCCAUAUCCUCCUAUUUCUCCAUCUAUAUCUCAUUCUUUUCUCUCUUCUUCUUCUACCUCUAGUACUUGUUCCCCUCUCGUUGCUCCUACCUCUCUUCCUCCCUCUUCACACUUUGUGUCCCAUCUAUUCCACCUCCUUCUCCACCUUCUUCGAGUGUGGACCUGCUUGUACCUUGUGUGAAUACAAAUUUACUUACUUUUUCUCGCACUCACAAUAUUCAUCCUAUGGUGACCAGAUCUAAGGGUUUGUAUCUAUAAACCUAAGUUGCUAUUGAGUGUCUCCAUAGGUUCUCUCACUAAGCCUACUUCCUUUCUUCAAGCUAUUAAAGAUCCUUCAUGGAAGCAAGCCAUGGAAUUGGAGUUUGCUGCCCUUCAACACAACAAGACCUGGCAUCUAGUUCAUUCACCUUCCUCAGGCAAAGUAAUUGGUUGUAAAUGGGUCUAUAAGAUAAAGCUUUAGCCUGAUGGCUAAUUGAGAGAUACAAGGCCCGCUUAGUAGCUUAGGGUUAUCAUCAAACUGAAGGUAUUGACUACUUCGAAACAUUCAGCCUGGUUGUCAAGCCUUCUACUACCGUAUUGUGCUCAGUCUUACUUUUUCCCAGAAUUGGUGUAUUAGACAGCUGGAUGUUCAUAAUGCCUUCUUACAUGGUGACUUAGCUGAAGACGUUUUCAUGGAACAACCACCUGGAUUUGUUGAUCCUCUCUAUCCUACUCAUGUCUGCAAGUUGGAUAAGUCUCUCUACGGUCUUAAUAGUCACCUCGGGCUUGGUAUACUAAGCUGAGUACUUCUCUACUACACUUGGGAUUUGUUACUUCUAAGAAUGACUCUUCCUUAUUUAUUUGUCAUUCGUCUCAUGGGUUACUUCUUGUUCUUGUCUAUGUGGAUGAUAUAAUCGUCACUGGGAGCCACUCUCCUCAAGUUACUCACCUUAUCCAAUAGUUGCAUCAUCAGUUUUCUUUAAAGGAUCUUGGUCAUUUACACUAUUUUCUGGGCUUGGAGGUUCAUCACACCCCUACUGGUAUUCACCUCAGCCAAGCAAAGUAUAUCACUGAUCUCCUUACCCGGGCGGCUAUGUUGGAUGCCAAGCCAUGUCCCACUCCUAUGUCCUCCAACACAUAUCUUUCUCUUCAUGAUGGAGUGGCUCUUGAAAAUGGUUCAGAUUAUUGAAGUUUUGUUGGUGCCCUUUAGUAUUGUACCAUGACACGCCCAGAUAUAGCUUUUGCAGUAAAUAAAGUGUGUCAAUUCAUGCACCAUCCCUCUGAUGUUCACUGGCAGGCUAUAAAACGUAUUCUCCAGUACUUAAAGGGCACAUCUCAUUUUGGUCUCUUCCUACAGCCUUCCUAUGACUUCAACAUCACUUGCUAUACAGAUGCCGACUGGGCUUCCUGCCUUGAUGACAAGUGUAGCACCAGUGGCUACUGCCUCUUUCUUGCCUCUAAUCUGGUUUCUUGGUCAUCUUCCAAACAAAAAGUGGUCUCCCGCUCCAGCGCCAAAUCAGAGUACCGAGGGGUAGCAAAUGGGGCUGCUGAAAUUGCUUGGACUGAAUCUCUUCUUUGUGAACUUUCCACCCACUCGACCUCCCCUCAUUGUCUGUGACAAUAUCAGUGCCACAUACUUAGCUGUCAAUCCUAUUUUGCAUGCCCGCACCAAAACAUGUGGAAAUCGACUAUCACUUUGUCUCGGAACGUGUUCUUCAACGCUCUCUCUCUCUCCAGUUUACACCUUCGGAUGAUCAACUUGCUGAUUGCAUGACCAAGCCUCUCUCCACCCAACGUUUCAUCACUCUACGCUCCAAGCUCACUGUUCUCACUAGACCAAUGAGCUUGAGGGGGGAUGUUAAGCCUAAAGAUGUAAUUAGUUAGGAUAUUCUUUUCCCUCUAGUCUUGUAGCUCCACGUGUACAGUUGGUUAGGACCUCAUUGUAUAUAAUGCCUGCCCUGUUAUUGUAGAAGACAACAGAGAUAAAUAAUAUUAACAUUUUUCCUCUCAUCUCUCUCUCUGUUUCCCUCUGUUUUCAUCUCCUCUCUCAUCUGAACCAAAUGAUCCAUGUUAACCUUGGCUUGGUUUGAUUUGGCUCUAUCUUAGAGAGCUCAAGGAUCACGUCAACUCUGGUUUCUACUAUUCAGGUCCAUUCCCAUAUGAACUGGUUCAAAUUUGAGAAAAUGGUAACAGACCUUUAGUGAUGUUGGUUUGGAGCCAGUUGCCAAACCCGCCCUGAGCUUUACCACUAAUGUCAAGGGAGAAAGCCUUUUGAACAAAAACAAUAGCUUCAAGAGACUGAAUCGUGGAUGAAAUCUGAUCCACAUUUCUUCUCAUUUUGGAAACAAAUGAGAACUUAACUAAGAAGAUUCUACGGCCUCAUAGUGCUUUUCCUGAUCUAAGGUUGGUUCGUUUCCCAAAUUGUGAGAUGCACGGGCCAGACUUCAGAACUCUCACGCUCAGGAGUGUAUCCACGUGGUGGACAUAAGAUGGUGGCUUAAGAUCUGGUGUCGGUGGCUUUACUUUACUAGGAGAGUAGUGUGUCUUCAUCUCAUUCACUGCCGGAGGGUGGCGUAAGCAGUGACGCUAAGGUGGGGCAUAGUCAAUAUCAUUUGCAUUUGACCAUUAUAGUUUUCUCCCGGCUUGAAAGUAACCUUAUCGUGAUAAAGGAUUACUAGCACUAGUUCAGAUGACAGUCAUGUUAAAUUCGGACCAUGUUUGUGUCACAUUAUCAGCAACCAUGUGUUUAUGGUUCAUGCUUUCUGCAACUGAAAUUGAAAUUGAUAUAUAACCAGGUGAACUUCAAUCUAAAUUCUGGAAGUACUCAUGUGAGCGAUGGUGCCCAUCUGCAGAGUCCAUCAAUUGAAAAAUGGAGUGAGUGUAUCUAUAAGAGGGAAGGCUUGGCAAAUGUCCAGUUUUCUGGGAAUUCAACAAGGAUCUAAAAUAGAUUGUUUUCUUUGCUGAUUUCAAUGGUUGAAAUUUGAGAAGAUUGUGUCCCACAUAACACAACUAUUACUGGUCCUUCUGUUGCAAUUUAUCCUCUAAGGCUCUAGCAUGUCUUCCAAUUCCCACUUCCCUGUUACUCCAGGAAAGCUAUUUCUGUCAUUGUGAAGAAGAAAAGAGAAUGUAGAUAUCGAUGCUUUUAAGUGACUGGAGCAUUCAUAUCAGGUGGUCUGCAGCCAUAUAUGCCACUUUGUGAAGAUUGGAACAGUCAAUCACUAGGCUAUAUAUUAGUGUGGCCCAGCCACUUUAAUCAAGGACAAUUCUUCAUACUUAAAAGUCAAAUUCUGCCUUUAGUCUCAUUAUAAAUUGCUGUUUAAAUAUUAAGCAAACAUUUGUUUAAUGCGAUUAAGACAGUACUAACUCAAUACUUGUUCUAUUUUUGGAUGGAAAUGCUUGAUGGUUUCAUCAUUGGAUGGGAUAAAGGUGCAUUCAUGAUUAUGAAUACUUGUAGUUAUAUUUUCAUUCUCUUUUUUCUCAAUGAGACUUGUUGGCACAAUUUUUCUGUUCAGAAACCUACCUCUCCAUGGAAAAUAAGUUGUGAUUGAUAGUACUGGAUAUAUUCAAGAAAGCUAAAUAUAGAUAGCACAAAAUAUUAUCGACAUAAAUAGCAUUAACAGCGUACGUAUGUCUCAGUGCUCAUCAGCCAUAAGCAUGGGGCAAACACUUACGAUGAGCAACUUACGUCAAAAUUCCAGAAUAGGACAUAGAAGUGACAGAUCUAUAUAUAUAGAACACUGCAUAAGAGUCACAAGAAAGGAAAUUACGGGUGCAUAGCAGCUCUUAUUUCACAUACUACUCAUACUGAUCAAAGUCACUCAGUUGGGAUGGGUGGGAGUAGGAGGUUUGUGGGGUGGCUUGUGCGGAGGAGUUGGCAGCUUCUUUCCAGGACCUGGUGGCUUCUCUCCCUUAGGUGGUUUGCCAACUGGGGUUGGUGGCUUGUAUGAGUCUUCAGCAUUCUCUGCAGGAGGGUGACCAGGGUUGUGACCAUAAUGUGGUGGCUUCUCUCCCUUAGGUGGUUUGCCAACUGGGGUUGGUGGCUUGUGUUCUGGGAGUGGCUUCUCCCCCUUGGGAGGUUUUUCCAAUGGGGUUGGUUUGUGUUCAGGAGGUGGCUUCUCCACUGGAGGCUUGUGUUCAGGAG